CUUUGCCUCUACCUCUGUCUGCAGAUUUCAAAACAUCCCUGUGACUGCUCUCCAUCCCUCCGCUCACUGCCCUGGAAAUUGGAUCAGCAGCAGCACUUAUUCCAGCCAGAGCCAAGCAACUUUUUCUUGUGCUCCCUUGCUGAUCUUUUUCAAGCCCCCUUUUUUACCCUCUUUGACAAUGGCACAUACGGACUAGAUUGGAACUUCCCAGAACAGCUGGUAAAUAAUUGAGAGGUAAGUGGCAGUACCCACCAACCAGCUGAUGAUCCCUUUAGGACAGAUCCGUCAGUUUGGGGAAGGAAUACCCUGUACAAGCCUUUUUUUUUUUUUUACUGCAGAGUGAUUUAUUGGUAGACAGCUAGCAUUACUGCUGCGAUCCUGCAAUUAUUGUUAUACCUACAAAGAUAAUGAAUAAAAUAAUAAAAUUAAAGAAUGUCCAUGAUAAUUAAAAUAUAGCAGAUUUUUUUUUAUCUAUACACUCAGUAAAGACCCGCAUGUCUCAUUGUGCUUGCAGUUUGUGGUAAUUAAAGGACAAUUAAAAAAAAACAAACAGUAUUUAUUUAGUAUUUUACAGAUUCUUCUAGGUUGUCUCAAAGUAGCAUUCUAAGUUGCAUGUAGUGCUGUAGUGUUAGAGAAUGGAUUGCUGGUUGCAAAGCCAGUGACAUUUUGCUAAUGCACUACAGCUUAUAGAAAAACAAGUCAAUGUUCUGGGAAGGAAAGCAAUAAGUGACAAGCUGGCAUGUGUAAUUAAAGCUUCCAAUGGGGUGUCACAUUGGGACAUGCAGGUAGGAAACAGGUAGAUCAGUUUUCCUAUUCAAGAAACAUUUCUGUUCUGCUCUGUUUUACAUAAAGUAAUCAGGUUCUGGGGAGGUACUGUAGAUAGUCUUGUGGAAUAAUGCUAGCAGUUAAAAAAAAUUAUAAACAAUAAUGUAUGUUAGAAAAUAAAUUAUUAUUAAUAUUAGUUUCUUACACCUUUCUAAUGUCAGAAAAUUAAAAAGAUAUGUAUGUCUAACAUAAUUCACUAUGCUUUACAUUAGGAUCAAUCAGGUGUAAUGCCCAUCAAUCUCAGCCAGCGGAACUGUCUAAAACAGGCUUCCCCAAACGCGGCCCUCCAGAUGUUGCUGUACUACAACUCCCAUGAAUCUAUGAAUGAAAUAGAUAGGCUGAGAAUCAUGGGAGUUGUAGUUCAGCAACAUCUGGCGGGCCGGAGUUUGGGGAAGCCUGGUCUAAAAGGUUCAUGUCUGUGCUGUGUAUGCUGUAUGGGUGUGCAGGUAAUGAGUCACACUGCUGGUAAUUUUAGAGCUUAUAAUACAAUGUAUUAACUGGUAAAGAAAAGAUUGUGUUUAGCAUUGAGUGUUAAGGCAGAGGUUUUAUCAUAGGUCAUUCUUCCUAUUAAAGUAGAAUUUGCUGAAUACGUUUCCAGAUGAAGAGUUAGAGUGAGUUCCCUGAUUAUUGUUAAAUAUUAUUGGGAAUAUAACUGAUAUUAUUAAAUGUAUUAUUGGUGAUUACGACAUACAACUGUAUAAGUAAAUUAACCCUUUGAUUUAUUAAAACUAUCCAGUGACGCACUUAACUGUGUUCACAUAAAAAACAUGGGGUUUAUUCACUAACAAAUUUAUUUAGAAAAAUUUGAAUUGUUGGAACUUAAAAGUGAAUUUAAAAAUUUGAGGCCAAAACAGCUGGAUUAGAAAAUUCCCCCAAGUUAGAUAAGCUUUCAGUUUGGCUAUUAAAGGGAAACUCCAGUGCCAGGAAAACAAUCCUUUUUUUUAACCUAAAAUUUGCAAUUCUUGUUCGUUCACCAUAAUUCUUAUUUUCAUAGAAAAAAAAAACAAAGUGUAGAUAAUUGCUAAACCAGAGUUGUGGUUUGCUUAACCUGAAAGUUGUCAAGUGUGAAAACAUUAAUAAUGGAAAUGCUUAUUCCUGUUUAAUCAAGGUAAUCUGUUCAUUAAAUAGUGAGUUGUAACGACAAAAGAAAACUAUGAACAUUUGUGCUUAAAUAGCAGUUGAAAGAAAUUAAUUUUAGAUUUUUUUUAAACUCGUCUCAUUGCUUUAAGAAAACGCAAGUUGGUUUUCAAGGUGCUGUUUUGUAACGGACUGGACACCAUAACAGAGUAUGGCAUUUGGGUUUGUAACACACCUUACAAAACGGCAUAUUCCUCUUUUGCUUGUUAUCAGAAUAUUAUUUGGUGUAGAAUUUGUUCACCUGGGGCCUAAUAGUUGUUGUAGGAAAGCAAUUCCUAUUGUUUGCACUUAUUCAGAGACAUUCAGCGCCUAAUUGCUUCAUACAGCGUGCUUAUUACACCUGUUUACUGACUAGGAUGUCUUUGAAGAAUGGGAAAAUCAGAACAUUUUAGCUGAUAUUAAACUUUAACUCCCAUGUCGGUAAUUGGUUUCUGGUUGAGGUCUAACCGAUAUGCUGCAGGUUGUUAUGUUUUACACCCAAUUAAGCUAAAAUUACAUUUUAUUUGUCAGAAUUUAAACUUGUUUUCCUCUUUGACCUGAUUUCAUAUCACUGCUGCUAUAGAAUCUAAAAAGCAAAGUUUAGAUUGUUAUAAAUUGGUUGAAUUUUGUAGAUACCAGUAUUAUAAAAACUUUAAUGAUCAAAUCUAUUGAGGCAAUUUUCAGACUUUUAUUUGACAUAGCUCUUCAGUUUGACAUGCACUUGUUUUGGCAUUAAAAUAAUCUCUACCUAAAAAGAGAGCAGCAUCCAUUAAUCCAGGGGUCCUCAAACUCCACCCCCCAGAUGUUGCUGAACUACAACUCCCAUGAUUCUCUGGCUAUCUAUGUAAUUCAAAGUAUCAUGGGAGUUGUAGUUCAGCAACAUCUGGGGGGAGAGUUUGAGGACCCCUUCCAUUAAUCCAUCCAACCAACAAACCAACCAUCCAUCAAUCCAUCCAUCUAUCAAUUAACACAGGAAAGGAGUCAAUAAGUCUCAGUAUAAUGUGGAACCACCUUCCUAAUUCAGCGUAGAAUAGCAACAACAGUUCAACACUGGCUACUUACAAAAUCGCAGUUCUGCAACUACUGGUGCAUUUAUUAUAAAGUUAUAUAAUAAUGUCUGUUAAUCGGGUGUACCCAUCUUUCUUUUGUUAAUACGCAUUUAUUAUAAAGAUCAGCAAACAGUGCAAGAAACAAAAUAGUUACAUAAAGAGAACAGUAUCUGCAAGCAAAGACUGCGUAAAGUUUUUAAUGCAACUUUAGCCCUUACUCAUCAGCUUAUGAAUAAGGGCAAUUUAAUACAAUGCAUUAGGCAGUCUAUCCCUUUGAUGCUUGCUGAUUACUUCAAAUAAAUGUGCCAGUAGUGGCAAUAUUGGGUGUAGUCAGUGAUCUUUUUAGAUUGUUUGAGAAUAGAUUGUGAUGCAGACGUAAUAUAAUACUAUACUGCAGUAUCUUGCAAUAGAUAUGUAGAAAUACUCACAUAUCGCAUGAAAUGCCAUUUCUGGCAAACUAAUGUGUGAUCUGCCCAGGCAGAUUAAACAUUCAGUGCACAGAUUGACUGACACUGUGGAGUUUUGGCAUGCCUGAGCUUGGUAGGAGUUGCAUAUGCCGCCCUUCAGACCUCCUACAGUAAUGAUAUUGUGGUAAAGGAGUAAAAGAUAUAGAAACACAAUGAUUUUGGUUGUGUCUCUCCUCUCUUCAUAUAUCAUUAUAAGGAGAGGGCUUAACUAAUGGCAAUAACUGUCAGACUACUACAACCACUAACUACAACCACUAACUACAACCACUAACUUCAAGUAGACUGGCUGCCAUAAACCAAGUUUCACAAAAAGUCAUAAUAAUAUAAUACAAAUUCAGGACUUAGAAUUUCAAGUUCUAUGCUACCAGAUUGGCCUAAAAUAUAUUCAACACUCAACAAUUCUGAAAAAUUCCAUGACACACUCACCAGUGGUAAAUUUCUACUCGGCAAGGCUGAAUUUUCACUGGUCAAUGGCUAGUGGGCAAGUGGUUAGCUGAAUCCCUUUAAAUAUAAUAUAAUACAAAACAUAUAUAAAUGCUGUAAUAAAAAAAAUAUAUCUUGGGGUUCUGAAUGCAUACAUAGUCAUCUGCUUUAGUAUUUAACUUUUUGGUGAAAUAUUGGUUGAACUGUGAAUUUAUGCGCCAUAAGAUAAUUAAAUACAUUUGAAUUUUGUUCUAACCUGAGUAGACAAAUACAAUUUAUUGUUUAGAUCUAAACAUCAAUCUCUCUUUCAGAUGUAUAGAACACAAACUGUGUUUCUGCGGUAAUGGUUUAAUAAUCUAAGAUAAGUUUGUAUUUUCUAAGUUCCAACUUUGAUGGUAAUUUAGAAAAUAAUCAGUCAGGACAAAUGGCUUAUAUUUAGACUAUGAGGGUGAAAUUAACCCUUUCAAUGAUGAUGGGUGAGAAACAUACGUUUCUAUAUCUACAACCUAAUAAUACAAUGUUAUUGGACUGAAGGAUUGUGGGGUUUUUGAAUACAAAUCUCCAGGUCCUGACUGGGAACUAAAAGCAGCCCUGGAAAAAAAAUUCUAUACCAGCCCCAUUAUGCAUCGCGCCAGCAUAGCGUGCAGAUAGGAAAGCCGGAAAAAAAAAACCUUAAAACCGAAAACUAUCACUCAAACGUGAAAGAAAGCAGUCAUAUGACUUAAAAAUAAACAAAAGAGAGGAUUUGUUGUAAGCAGACAUGCAUUUGCAUAUAAUUAAUGUUUCAGUCCAACUACCUUGACAUAUUAAGGAAAGUUUCGUAAUUGGACUGAAAUUGUGCUCUUUACUUUGUCUGACAACUAGAUGAUCUCAGUCAACACAAAUUUAAUUCCCAUAGGAAAGCAUUGGGAGGGUAUUACGCAUGUGUGGCAAAAACGCUGUGCUUCAUCACACCAAUCAGCAUCUCCUCAUAGAGAUGCUUUGCAUCAAUGCAUCUCUAUGGGGAGCGUUUAGCGCCUCCACACAGAGCAUGGAGAUGUUCAACAUAGGUGCCGCAUACUGUACAGCACUGGACUAGGAAGCAGCUCUAGUGGCCGUCUGAGUGACUGUCACUAGAGAUGUUCCUAGGCAGCAAUGUAAACACUGCCUUUUCUCUGAAUAUAUUUCAGGCUAUAGACACCAGAACCACUACAUUAAACUGUAGUUGUUAUGGUGACUAUAGUGUCCCUUUAUUACGAAGUCUUUCUCUCACCGGUCAACUCUAAAUUACAGGGAGAGCAGGAGACACAAGUGAAGAUGCACUUUGUUUGUGUCUUUCUCCCCAAGCCCCUUUCAUGUGUCUCCUAGCCCCAGCCCAUUUGUCUCUUUCUCCCCUUCCCCAACCCUUCUGUUAGUCUCUUUCCCAGGCUGCAGCACCUCUGUGUGUCUCUUUCCCCACAGCUCCUGUGUGUGUCUCAUUCUCCCCUUCCCCAGCCCCUCUGUGUUUCUUUUGUUCAUCUUUCUCAGCCCCUCUGUCUCUUUCUUCCCAGACCCCUCCUGCUGGUGUAAUUACGCUGUGCAACCCACGUGCCGGUGCGCACUGUGUGGUCGCGCACCAGCCCGAUAGUAUGCAAGCCCACCGAGAAAUUUCCCAGUAUCCCGGUGGGCCAGUCCAGCCCUGCCCCUUCAUGUCUUUUUUCUCCACAGACUUUUUUCUGUGUCUUUUUACUCACCUGCCCCUCCAUGCGUCUCAUUACCCCAGCCCCUCCACGUGUCUUAUUAGCCUCCCACAUGUCUCAUUAGCCCCCCAGUCCCUCCAUGCAUCUCAUUAGCCCACCAUUUGUCCCAUUAGCUCCCUCCCAGCCUUGUAUGUGUCUUAUAAGCCCUCCCAUGUGUUUUAGUAGUCCCCCAUGUGUCCCAUUAGCCCCCCAGCCCUCCACAUGUCCUAUUAGCCCUCCCUCCCAGCCCUCCAUGCAUCCCAUGAGCCCCCUUCCAGCCCUGUAUGUCUUAUUAGCUCUCCCAUGUGUCUCAGCAGCAUCCCCACAUGUGUCCCAUGAGUCCCCCCACGUGUUCCAUUAGCACCCAGCCCUCCAUUUGUCCUAUUAGCCCUCUCUCCCCGCCCUCCAUGUGUCCCACUAGCCCCCUCCCAGCCCUUCAUGUGUCCCUAUACCCCCCUCCCAGCCCUUCAUGUGUCCCUAUAUCUCCCUCCGAGACCUCCAUGUGUUCCGAUACCGCUCCCAGCCAUCCAUGUGUCCGUAUACUCCCUCCCAGCCCUCCAUGUGUCCCUACAUCCCAAUCCCAGCUCUUCAUGUGUCCCUUUCCCCCCCCUCUAGCUCUUCAUGUGUCCCUAUUGCCCCCCCCAGUUCUCCAUGUGUCCUUAUAACCCCUCCCAGCCCUUCAUGUGUCCUUAUAGCCUCCUCCCCAGCCUCCAUGUGUCCCUAUAGCACAACAGGCAGCCCUCCUGUGUCCCAUUACAGCCCCCUCCCCAACCCCCAUGUGUCCCAUUAUAGGCCCCCCUCCCAGACAAAGGUAGACAAAAAAGAGGGGUGGCUAAAACAGACAAUCACUCAUACACAACCUGUAAAAUGUACCUGUUCCAAGGCCCCCACUCACCGCUCCAACAGGGAGAUAGAGGCAGCGCUUUGCUCGUGUACGCCUCUUUAUGUUCUGUUACAACGACUUUUCAAUGGCGCGACACCUAGAGACCAUUCAGCAGUUCUCUCUGAAAUUCUCUAAAAUUAUGCCAAACAAUUACAGCUAAGCAUGGACUACAUAUUUUCCAGUCUUUUUACUUCAAAUCACCCUGUUGUGGUUCUUGCAUAGCCCAUCCUAUUAUGAGUUAUCUUGUUGCUGACCAUGGCUUGUUUAUAAUUUAUUUAACUCUCCAUGUUCCUGAUUUUUAGCUUGUCUACUAUUUUCCUGUUUUCUCCUUCCCUUGAUUCUGCCAUCACUUUUACUUUUCUGUACAUUAAGUUUGGCCACUUUAAGGCCCGGUAAUAUGGCCUCUAUACCUUUGUUGUAUAUUAGGCACUGUGUGCGGGUUCCCUUACAAAUAUCGUGACACAACCUUAGAAACAGCUCCCUCACCCAAUAACACAUGCAGUCCACAUUAUACAGACAAGUACUACAAUCAACCCUCAUACUCAUAUUUAACAUAUAAUAGCCAACACAUACACAUAACUCAACAGGCAGACCACAUAAACACAAGCAAUACUACAAACAGCUCAGAUACACACAACACCAAAAGCAGCCUCCACCACACAAACAAAUAGUAAAAUCAACCCACAUAUACACAUUUGACAUCACAGACAGCCCACACACAUUCAUAGCAUGAACAGUCCAUAUACAUACACAUAUCACCAAAUAUAGCCCCACAUACAUAAAUACCACAAACAAUGCACACACACAUACAUAGCACAACAGGCAGCUCAUAAAGACACAUACAGUACCACAAACGGCUCCCACUCACAAGCAUCCAACACACAUGCAUGAAAUGCUGCAAUCCCCUCCAUAGACACAACGCCACCAUAAACACACAUAACACCACAGACAUUCCACACACUUGCCUAAUGCACAAAGACAAUGGAUACAACACCAGGCACAGCACGUGCAUGCACACAUAAAACUUUACAAAGCAGCUGCUGCACCCAUAUAUAACACACGCAGAACAAACAUAAAUGUUGCCUUUUAAAAAAAAGGUCUGAAACCUAUCAUGGGAAGAAUAUAUGUGUUUGCAUAACGAUUUUUUUUUAUAUACUUUGUAAAGGUAGAAUGUAGUUUUAGAAUUGAUCAAGAGAGCCAUAUGGCCAUAUGUAUACAGUACGUGUGAGCAUUAGUCACUUCUAAUGACUGAAUUCAUAAAUAGUGUUAUCUCAUGCCUAACAGUUCCUCUCUAAUUUGUGUUGUCUGUGAUCAAAAAUAUUAUUUCAGCUGUAUGAGAUGUUAGUAUAUGCCCAUUCUAAUUAAAGAUGUUGAUGUGGGAAUACAUGAAACGUUGGAAAAUUAAAAUGGGGUAGAUUUUCAUAAUAGUAUCCAUUGUAAUCUACUUAAAGCUAUAAAAGAAGGCCGUCUCAUCAUUUUUUUACAACAAUUGUGAUGUUGUUUUAGUUUUCCAUCUAUCAAUGUAUAAUAUAAUAUGUUGUAAAGAUAAUAUAGCCACAACCCUUUUUUGAAUUCAGAGCACUAGACAAUAUAAAUCCAUCUGACACUACAUAUUAUGAAAUCCACAUUCUCCCCACACAGUUAGUAGGUUUAAAUUCUCCUUCAUUUAAAAAAAAACAACAAAAAAAAACUAGAUAUUUAACUAGGAUAACAUUUUGUCAGUCAGCAGAAAAUAUUUAUCAGAGUAAAGAAGUAAUAGCAGUCUCCCAUACAUAUUCCAACUUUUUUUUUUUUUUUCAUAUCCUGAACUUUGGUUGCAACAUUCGACCUAUCUAACCCUUGUUUCCACCUUGCGCCCUUGACAUCUGGUACAUCUUGCUUUAUCAUUAUCACAGUCUGUAAGUGGGUAUCAAUAUCAAAAAGAAAUGAGGGUAAUUAUUCAUGAAGAAUAAAACCUGUUGCACAAAGGCGGAAAUAGGGGAGAUCUUGCAUGAAAUAUACUGUUACGUAUCCAUAGGUACUUACUGGCAAUGAAAGUGUUGAUGGCCCCUGGACUUGUGAAUUUUCAGUGUAAUCGAGCGUUUGGAAGCUGAAGAUGACAGAGUCAAAGGGUACAGGACAGCUUGGAAGAGGAAUUUUAAAUUUACAUUUACGUACAAUUUAUGGAAUAGGUUAUUUGGAUAAGUUGAAGAUUAACGUGUAGAAGUUGGUACUUUUCAGGGAUGAUUGAAGCAUGUCAAUAGUGAGUAGGAGAUAAGUGCAAGUUUUUCUGAGCUGAUGAGUUUCCAAAGAGUGACUAAAUUGUUCAAAAGUACAAGUGAAGCAUAGGAGCAAAUACUGGAGCCUCAAGACAAAAUUACAAUAGAAGAGUUGUGUACAUUAUAGGUAGGAUGAUGAGCGUGUUUGGGAGGUUAUUUGAAAAACAAGGAAGGAAGAGAUUAAAUAUUAUUUUUUUUUAGUUGACAAUUUAGUUUUAAUCCCUUUAUUACUGGCUAACCAGAAAAAAGAUAAUUUAGGUUUCAUGGUGUCGCGGAAAUAAACACUAAUUAAAUUGAUUUAAAGAAUGAAUGUAACAAAAAAAGAAAAAAUAAAAUCAUCUUAUAUUUCUUGUUUCACAUUAUUUGUUAAUCCCUUAAAAAUAAUCAAAGAGGUUUAAAAAUAGCCCAUGUCCACAAAUCUUCCAACAAGCUCAGAAUAAUUAAGAUCAAAUAUACUGUAUUGAAUAUGUCACAAUUGUGACUGUAAAAAAAACAAAACAAUAAAAUGCAGAAUUACCCUGCUCACUUGUGUGGAAGAUUGAUAUUUAGCAUGUGUUGGGCCUAACAAUAGUCAUUUAAUAGAAUUUUUUCUUUCCUGUGGUUUCUCUGUGAAUAAACCUUAGCUACAAGUCAAUGUUUUGUAUAGGUCAUUGGGGCAUUUUAACAGGUUUCACUUAACACUUAAACUGCCAGUAAUUUUAAUGACAGCUAUUUUUUUCUUUUGCCUAGCAAUGGACUUAUAUAACCAGUUCUUCUCUUCGAUGCGAUGCAACCAAAUCUUUCUUUUUGUAGUUAUGUACUUUUCACAACUCAUAGAGCAACAAAUUGCCAACAUAUGUUAGUUGAUAAUUAGACCAAUAAGGUUUUGAAGUGUGCUUUAUAAACUGGAAAAGUAGACAAAGUAAUACUAUGGGUGAAACGCGUCUGCACAACACUUUCAGAACAAGGAGAUAGACAGCACACAGACUGAUCAUGCAGGGAUACAUUCUUUUUCAAUUGCUUUGAAGUUUAUUUUUUUAUUUUUAAACAUUCAAUGCAUUCUAUAUUCCACCUGCAGUUUACAUAGGACAUUGUAAUUUGUUCUUUGUAUUUCAACAUACAUUGUUAGUUGAGUAACCCAUUUCCCCAACACUGCAGGACCACACAAAUUCAAUAAUGCUAACCCUUAUUGGCUCACUGACACACUCUAACACUAACACACACACACUCUAACACACACACACUAACACUAACACUAACACACACUCACACUCUAACACACACUCUAACACACACACACACACACACUUUCUAACACACACUCACACAUUCUAACACACACUAACACACACACACUCACACUCUAACACACACUCACACACACACAGUCUAACACACACACACACACACACUAACACACACUAACACUAACACACACACACACACACUCUAACACACACACACACACACACACACACUAACACACACUCACACACACACUCACACACACACACACACGCUAACACACACACUUUUGGGAGAGCUGAGGGGAUUCCCUGGGGUCCAGUGGUGUUGCUGGCCCUGCUGUCAUCGGGCGAGCAGGUAGGCUGACGGGCGCGCGAUGGAGCACUCUCCCCUGAGUGCUUCCUGUUCAGCUCCCUCGCGCGCCGCGUACUGAUGCCAGAGCCAGAGGAUGACGUCAUCUUCCGGCUCUGGCAUCAGUGCGGCGCGCCAGGGAGCUAAAGAGGGAGCACUCAGGGGACAGUGCUCCCUCGCGCACCCGUCAGCCUACCUGCUCGCCCGGUGAUACCAGGGCCCGCCUCGGGCCACACUGGCAUACAUACCGGGUCGCAGGGAAGCGACCCCGGUAUUUACGCCACUGGUAGAAAUAUUUGUUAAUAGUCACAUAUGUGAAGCAUGUAAAAAGAAGGCACUAUAACAAAAACAUGGAGAAUUCUUAAAAAGCACAAUUUGUAAAGGUAACUCAAGUAAUCAGUAGAAAUUAUUAAAAAAUCACCAGAGGAUUACAUGGAAAAUGGCAGUGAAGAAUAAGAAAUUGAAACAAAAAUAAAAGUGGAUGUAAAAAAACAGCUUGAAACCUAAAUAUUGGAGGAGUGAAACUGUGUGACAAGCAAAGCUUUUCUGUUGUUAUUAUUAUUUAUUAUUAUUUAUAAAGCACAAACAAAUUCCACAGCGCUGUACAAUGUACUGUUAAGCCUAAGGUACUCUAAAUAAUCUAUGAGUACUAUGAGUAUGCAAAAAGUAGCGCAAGUAUUAGAAUCAAUCCUGCUCUGACACUUUCUUUAGGUUUUAAAUGGUAGCUGUUUAAUUGGUUGCUUUAAUUGACAGUUUCUUUUUCAACAUUUAAAAUAUAUACAUUUUUAUUAUUGAUCAUUUAUAAUAGUUAUUAUAAUUUAUAAUAAUUAUAUUACAUUGAAAUAGUGACAAAAGCACAUCACAUUUUUAGUCUUAUAAAUUGUAGGCUUGUUUGGGCAGGAUCUUCUUUACUUCUUGUUUCUAUAAAUAUUCUGUAUGUCAAUCACUUGUCAAAUAUCUCCAUUCUAUAAUUGUAAAGUGCUGCGGUACAUGUUGGCACUAUAAUAAUAAUAAUAAUAUUAAAUAGUUUCUGCAGCAAUAAGAGAAAAAGCUUCAUUGACCUUUCUAUGUUACUUUGGAAUUCUUUAAACUAUUGAUGCAAUAAAAAACCAUUACCGUUAAUGUAUGGUGAUACAGUAACCUGUAUAGGAUUUGAGAUGGCAAGAGGCCAUGACGUGGAGAGAUAUCCUCUUAUUGUUUUUUUCCCCUUGUCUCCCACCCCCAAGUUGAGUUUUUGUUUUCUUCCCUUUUUUUCAUAAAACUGUUUUUUAGUCCUCAAACUCACUAGAGUUUAGGUGCAUCCAGUGGUGUAUUUUGGAUUUGUGCUGCCCUAGGCACGACUAAAUUUGGGCACCCCCAAAAUUCGUGUCAAGGCCGCUUUUUUGACUGACAGACACAUGCCCUCAUUGAUACAUGCACUGAUAUACACUCACUGACAGAUACACAGUCAUUGGCACACACUGUUUAACCAACACACACUUUCACUGACAGGCACACACUCUCAGAUACACAUAAAAUGACAUACACACACUGAUGCACACUCCCAGGCACACCCAUUCUCACUGAAAGACACACUUUCAUGGCGUUUCUUGGCGCCCCCUGAAAAUGCCGCCCUAGGCAAAUGCCUUGUUUGCCUUGUGGUAAAUACAUCCCUGGGUGCAUCACCUAAUUGAAUGCAAGUCUGUGCUUGAUAUUUAAACACUAUUGUUUACCUACAUGGAUCUAUGGUCGGCAUUUUCAUUUACAAUGUCUAGAUGACUCUAACACUUUUUAGCUCCUUGAAGUGCUAUUUUUAAUCAAAAUGUGUCUCAUGUUCCAUUGUAUGUCAAUGCAUUUUUAUGGAUCUUGGAGUUUUAUGUAAUUAUUUAUUUUCUGUUUCGUCAUGACCUUGUGUCCCUUACUGCUGUGAGUGUGACUUUGGUCUGCAUAUCUGGCCCUUUCUUGUAAGAUUCAGACCUCUGAUAAGUAUUACAUGCUAUGAGUGCUCCCUGAACAUCAUACUUUGUGAGUUGGGCCUCUGAUAGGUGCAAAUCACUUUUAGUGCUCCUUCCCAGUUUGGCAUUUCUUUUUAAGUCAGAUCACUUAUUUAUACAAAUUUUAUGUUUAAAUCAGACAAUUUAAAAAGUGCUAUUGCAAUAUUAAUCUCUCUGGGUUGCUAAUAUGAUGUUAACAGUGAAAUGUUAGAACUCAUUUACUCAUCCUUCCUUCCUAAAUGUAGGAGUGGUGUAACCCAUGAUAACUUACUUUACUGUCUGGAGAUUGUCAUUUUCAGCACACUUGCAGGUAUUAAACGAGUAACUAGUGUUUUUGGGCACAGUUAUUCAUUCCCCUAAAGACCGCUAACUAUCCCUUUUGUAUGAAUGAGGGUGAGUGAAACUUUACAGACUAACCUUUGUUUCAAAAAUAAAAAAAUCAUGAAAAACAAAAAGGACUUAUAUGCCUUAAUAUGCUCUUGAAUAAAUUUCGAGCAACAUCUGAGGCUGCAUUCCUGUAACUCCACUCCUGUACUAACAUCAACAUAAAAAGGUACCAACAGGUAAGCAAUAGGUGCUGAUGGUGUAUGAAAUAUAUUACCACUUUAGAUUAAAAUGUGAAGGGUCCGUACAAUCUGCAUAUGAAAACCUUAUAUUGCUUGGUAUCAAUACAUGCGAGACAAACACAAUUUUGUUUUUUUUUUAAUCUCGCUUAAAACACAGAGUAUUUACUCAUUUGAUUAUUUUUUGUGCUAGUUGUUCAGACUUGUACCUAGAACUGUGUACACUCUCAGUUUGUGGUUAAUUGAGUUUAAAAUGUGUGAUGGCAAUAUGGGAUGAACUGGUACCCUGCUCAGGAUUCUGCAAAGCUAUAAUCAGGCUCUCAGCUGGCUACUGGGAAAAUCUAACAAGUUAUAGAGGAAGAUUUGAUAGAUUUUAUUUUUUUAUUUAGGCCACUGCUUGCUUCUCACUGUUGAACAAGUUUCUUCUUUCCAAAAUAAAUAGAAAGAGGGUGAUGAAGCUUUAAAAGCAAGAAGGGCUCCCUCAUGGCUCUCCCCUAACCUUCAUCAUACAAAAAGCACCACCCACGGUCCCACAACUCCCAUCAUGCACAUUCAGCCUGUUGGCAUAUGCACAAAGCUCCCAUUACAUAAAUUUAGUCACACACAUAUAUGGACUCUACAUUCAUUUCUUGUAAACGCACACAUGUAGUCACACACAAAUAUGAACACACAUUUGCAGCCCUCCAAACAUUAUCAUAUAGUCAGCUUUACCAAGAUGCAAGAAAAGGACUGAGAGGUAGAGAAAAGGUAGGGAGAGAAAAGUCAUCUCCAGAGAGGAAGGAGAGCGACAGCUUUACCCAACACUCUAAUCAGCCUCAGCCAGCAACUGGGUACCAAGGAAGCCAUCCCCCCCGCCCCCCCGCACACAAUAGAUAUGUUAAUAGAAGGGUGGUUAUAAAUAUAAGAAUUAUGACAAUUAUAUUUAUGUAUUUAUUAUUGGUAUUUAUAAAGCGCCAACAUAUUCCGCAGUGCUGUACAAUUGGGGAAAAAGACAAUACAAUAAGAACAGACCCAUACAACAGGUAGAGGGCCCUGCCUGUGAGCUUACAAUCUAGGGGUGUGUAUGCAUGUGUUAGUGUGUGUGUGUGUGUAUCUGUGUGUCAAGAUGUGUGAAUGUGUUAGUGUGUAUGUGUCAGGGUGUGUGUGUCAUGGUGUGCUUAUGUGUCACAGUGUGUGUGUCAGAAUGAUUGUCAGGGGGUGUGUGUGUGUAUGUGUCAUGUGUGUGUCUGUCAGACAUUUGCAUGUGUCAGUAUGUGUAUCAGUUUGUCAGGGUGUGUCUAUGAGUUAGGGUCUGUAUCUGUGUGUCAGUGUGUUUGUUUGUCAUUGUGUGUCAUGGUGCGUGUAUGUGAGUGUGCGUAUCUGAGUUUGUGCGUAUGUUUUAGUGUGUGUAUAUGUCAGUGUGUAUCUGAAUGUAUGCGUCAGUGUGUUUAUAUGUGUGUAUCUGUGUGUGUGCUAAUGUGUAUGUAUAUCUGUGUAACUAUGUAUUUAUGUAUGUGGCAGUGUAUGUGUGCAUGUGCAUUCAUUUUGUGAGGUUUGACAAAUAAAAUUAAAUGUUGAAAUCCACUAGAAACCUCUAUAAGGAUCUGUUCUAUAUAUCUGGCAGUCGGCACAGAGAAAGAAUAAAGGAGAAAUUAAAUAAUAUUUAUAUUUUACCUCAUUUGCUAUGCUUGUCUUGACUUUGCUUUGCCUGAACUGGUUUGUGAUAUAAUUUGCUAAAUCUUUAAUAUAAACUUAAACCAAAAACCCACAUCACAAGAUAAAGGUGAAUCAGGUUAUAGGAACUUUUCUAAUAUUUAAUUCAGAAUAAAAUGUCCAGAGAAGUGACAGUUCCCCUUUAAUCUAUUCAUAUAUAAUGCAAGUUCACAAGAAUACAGAAUAGACACUAGCAAAAUAAAAUAAUGUAAAACUCUUAAAGGAAGUUCAUCAAUUCAAAGUACAUAUACAAUCAAUGAAGUGGUGUUACUUCUUCUAUAACCUUUGUCUCCACAGUGCAUCGUUGUGCUGUUUAUUUACCAGAAGCGUUUGUUGUAUUCAUUUGCUUGGAUGAUGGGGGAUUAUAUCAAUUAUGCUGUUUUGCUUUUUUUUAAUUUUAUUUCUAGAGAAUAAAAUCUGAUGGAUUUUCUCUGCUGAUUAAUUUUCUACAAAAUCUCAACUGCAUGUAUAAGAUGGUGAUUAAGUUGUUAUCGCUAAUUAUUAUGUCACAAGAACUGCUUCAAUGUAAAAUUCCUUUUGAUUCUACAAUGUAGCCAUAUAAUUACUCUGUCUAAAAUUUGGAUAUGAAUCAAUGGGGAAUGGUACAAGUAAUGAGAACACCAGUUUUGCCUCCUGUGUUAGAGUUUUAACUACUUCGAUGUUGAUGAGAGGCAUAAUGUUCUUAAAAAAAAUAUCUACAUUAAUUUUCUGUAUGGGUGAGAUGGUUUCUGGGAAAAUGUUGUAGUGUAGGUUUUCAGAGAAGUAAAUGCUCAUUGACCUUCUACAUUUGAUAAUUGAUAUGUUUUUAAACAAGUAAGGAUUUAUUUGUUUAUUUAUUUUGUAUUAAUUUAUUUAUUUGAGAAUAUGGUAGUUAAAACGCAGCAGGGAAUUAAGGAUCAACUAUAUCUAUCCAUCUUUAUUUUGGUAAAUUACAUUUUAAAAGAGAUAGCAAAUUAAAUUCUGCCUUUCAUAUAUUUACAGUGUUCAAUCUAAGCAUUAUUUUGUGAGCAGUCCAACACAAAACAGUUAAGAAACCAGUCUUUAUCAUACACCUCAAUAACUUAAUCAAUUAAUGUAUAUAUGCUACAUGUUUUUUCUAGUUUUGGAGACCCAUCUAGUGACUGCUUCAGUUUCAGAUGACAAAUAUUUAAACUGAAACUCAACAUUUUUAAAGGGAAUAGUUGUUAGCUGCCCAUUUACUGGAACAGAAUAUAAUAGAUGUGUAGCCCCUUAAGGACGAAGGCAAUUGUCCAAGUAAUUUUAAUUAAUUGUCCAAGUUCUGAUCAAAACAAAAUAUUUAUUAUAUAUAAUUUUGUCCAGGAGAAACAGGGCUUUCACUACACAUAACAAAUUAGAUAUGAAAAAUAAUUUAAUAGGAAUAUAGUCUAAAAAAGUGUGAGAAAUAAAGAAAUGUUAUUUCCUUAGUUCUGCAUGGCAUUUUAACUGUAAAUGUCAUAAUAUUAUUAGUUUUUACUUCAAUAAAAUACACAUGUUUGUGUUCAGCGAUGUCUAACAAGUACAACAGUAUCCCCCAUGUAGAGGCUUUAUGGAGUUUUGGAAUAUUAAAGGGUCAAAUAUAAGACUUGUCCAUUUCAGUUUUUACAUAUUGAAUCUAGCAGAUUGGUUUGCAGGGCAUUUGUUCCCUUUGAGACCAAAAAUGAAAAUUACCACAUCAUGGCAUUCAAUCUGCAAACGUAGACAACCCAGGAUAUUCAAAAUUGGGUAUCUCCAGCCUUUUUUGUAGUAGUCACUUAGUCACAAACCUUGGUCAAAAUUAGCAUUCAUAUUUGUUUUUUAAAUUUUUCACAAAUACAUUUCCCUUUCGUCGAUGAUAUCAUCAGCAUUAUACAUUUAACCCCUUCUGACCGGAGGACGUACAAUUACGCCCUAUUUUAGGCGGCUCUAAAUGUCGCCGGGCAUAAUUGUACGCCCUCCGGUUUUUGCUAACUUACCCGGUCGCCGGCGGUCCCACACCCAGGGAGCCCCCCCGCGGCAGAUCCUUCUCCUCCGGUGCUCCCCGGCCAUGUGAGAGUGGGGUCCUAGGACCCCACUCUCACAUGGCCGGGUAGGCUGCCUCCUGCAUUGCCAGCAGGGGGGCUGCCUGUAAUGACAGGUGGUCCCCCUGCUGGCUGGAAAUAAAAAUAAAAUAAAAUUUAUUGGUGUAAAAAAAUAACAAUAUAUACUUAGAUCAUAUAUAUAUUAUAUAUGAUCUAAGUAUAUAUAUACACAUAUACAUACACACACAUACACUGUCUAGGUGUAUUUUACUAUUAAUAUAUAUAUAAUUAUAUAUAUAUAUAUAUAUAUUAAUAUCAAAUUACACGUAGACUGUUACUGAUUAAAUAUAUAUAUAAUUAUUGUUAUAUAUAUAUUUAUAUAUAAUAUAAAAAAAUUUAAUAUGUAAAUACGUUAAAAAAUAAAAUUAAAAAAAUAAUUACAAAUAAAUAAUUAAAAAAUAUAUAGAUGUGUGUUAUUUCGUUCUAACUGUAUUGUGAAAUUAAUAUAUAUAUAUAUCAAAAUACAUGUAGAACGAAAUAAUAUAUAUAUCUAUAUACAUAAAUAUAUACGUAUAUAUCACUAUAUAUAUAGCUAUAUAUAAAUAAAAAUAUUUUAAAAAAAUUAUAUAGAUAUAUACACAUACGUAUAUAUAUACAUAUAUUAAUUCUACAUAUAUAUCUAUGUAAUAUUUUUACAUAAUUAGGUAUCUUAAUUAAUUACAAUUAGCAGGACCUGCCUGACAACCCAUGCCGAAAGUAAAGGGAAUUUAAUUUGCUAGCACUAUAUUUAACCCUAUAACUUUCCGAGACACCAUAAAACCUGUACUGUUCUACUCGGGAGACUUCGCUGAACACAAAUAUUAGUGUUUCAAAACAGCAAAAUGUAUUACAACGAUGAUAUCGCCAGUAAAAGUGACGUUUUUUGCAUUUUUCACGCACAAACAGCACUUACACGGACGAUAUUAUUGCUGCGAUACUUUUUACUGUUUUGAAACACAAAUAUUUGUGUUCAGCUAAGUCUCCCGAGUACAACAGUACCCUUCAUGUACAGGUUUUAUGGUGUUUUCAAAAGUUACAGCGUCAAAUAUAAGGCUUGUUUUUAAUUAUUUUCACAUUAAAAUUUGCCAGAUUGGUUACGUUGCCUUUGAGACCCUAUGGUAGCCCAAGAAUGAAAAUUACCCCUAUGAUGGCAUACCAUUUGCAAUAGUAGACAACCAAGGUAUUGCAAACAGGGUAUGUCCAGUCUUUUUUAGUAGCCACUUAGUCACAAACACUGGCCAAAAUUUGUGUUUUUUGCAUUUUUCACACAAACAAAUACUAACGCUAGCUUUGGCCAGUGUUUGUGACCAAAUGGCUACUAAAAAAGACUGGACAUACCCAAUUUGCAAUACCUUGGGUUGUCUACUAUUGCAAAUGGUAUGCCAUUAUGGGUGUAAAUUUCAUUCCUGGGCUACUAUACAGUCCCAAAGGCAACGUAACCAAUCUGGCGAAUUUCAAUUUCAAAUGUAACGUGCUAUAUUUGACCCUGUAACUUCCCAAAACGCUAUAAAACCUGUACAUAGGGGGUACUGUUUUACACGUGAGACAUCGCUGAAUACAAAUAUGUGUAUUUUAUUGCAGUAAAAGCAAACAGUAUUAUGACAUUGACCGUUAAAAUGUCAUGUAGAACUAAAAAAAAAUUAAAAAAUCUUAUUUUCUCCCAUUUUUUUCAUAUUAAAUUAUGUUUCAUAGCUAAAUAUUUGAUAUUAAAUGAAAUCCCUGUUUCCCCUGAAUAAAAUGAUAUAUAAUAAGGGUGGGUGCAUUUAAUAUGAAAGAGGUGAAUUACGGUUGGACAGACAUGUAGCGCAAAUGCCAGGUUUUGUUUAAAUUUUUUUGGUUCACAACGUGUAUAUUUGGCUCCGUCCUUAAGGGGUUAACUUCUCUAAAACACUCCUAUUUGUGUUCAGCAAUGUCUCCUACAUACAAUAGUAACCCCUAAGUCUAUUUUUUUUUUUUUGCUGCCGCAACGGCUUUUAAACCCAUUUAAGGCAGGACAGCAUAGAAUGCCGUAACAGUGUUAAAGGGGUAUACAAUGGUAAAUAUAAUACUUCUGUCAGAUUUGGUUAUUAUUAUGUUAUCCAGAACCAGUUUCUCACCACCAACACUUAAAGGGAGACAGUAGGCAGGAAUCUUCUCCUCCAUUUUUGUAUGCAUCAUACAGAUAACCGCAACACACUAUAUGCAGGCAGCCUGAUAGACUCAGGUAAUACUGCGGCACAUCAGAUUAGAACAAGGCUGCUGGUGCCAGGUAUAACCAGUCCUAACCCUUACAGUUUCUAUUCUGUGGUUACAAACACUAAUGACCUUGUUGCCUUGUUGCCAUAUCCUAUAAUAUAUUUCACACUCUCACCUUGGGCAAGAAUAUUCCUCUCCCAUGAACGCAUCAGUAAAUGAUGUAGAUUCAUUAAUGAUCUAGAUCUUGAUUCUCCUCAUCCAACUGUGACCACUCUAUUAUCUGAAUCAAGAAAGAUAUAACCAAGAAAGAUAUAUCCAGAAAAAAAAUAUAAGCUCAUUUGUCUCCUUAAAAAUGUUUGCAUAUCUGAAGAAGGACCCUGGGAGUGAUCUCAUUUAGCAUUAAAUACUUACAAACUCAAGCUCCAAUUCAUGAAAGCUUGGAGGAUAAACCUAGGUCUAUUCUAAGCCUCCUAGAACAUGGAGGUGCUUGUGGAAUCAGCCAAACGUUUUAACAUUCUUCUAUAGGAAAUUUGUAUAUAGUCCUAUUUUUGGGUAUUGCUUACCUACUAUAAACACCUGGUUUCUGAGCCUUUAAAUAGUUUCUCAGUCUGGUUCAGUAGGAAUCACAAUCAUGGGGAAGACUGCUGACCUGACAGUUGUGCAGAAAACCAUCAUUGAGACCCUCCAUAAGGAGGGAAAGCCUCAAAAGGUAAUUGCGAAGGAAGUUGGAUGUUCCCAAAGUGCUGUAUCAAAGCACAUUAAUAGAAAGUUAUGUGGAAGGGAAAAGUGUGGAAGAAAAUGGUGCACAAGCAGCAGGGAUGACUGCAGCCUGGAGAGGAUUGUCAGGAAAAGGACAUUCAAAUGUGUUGGGGACUUUCACAAGGAGUGGACUGAGGCUGGAGUGAGUGCAUCAAGAGCCACCACACACAGACAGAUCCUGGACAUGGGCUUCAGAUGUCAUAUUCCUCUUGUCAAGCCGCUCCUGAAUAACAAACAAUGUCAGAAGCGUCUUACCUGGGCUAAAGAAAAACAGACCUGGUCUGCUGCUCAUUGGUCCAAAGUCCUCUUUUCUGAUGAGAGCAACUUUUGCAUCUCAUUUGGAAACCAAGGACCCAGAGUCUGGAGGAAGAAUGGAGAGGCACACACUGCAAGAUGCUUGAAGUCCAGUGUGAAGUUUCCACAGUCUGUGUUGAUUUGGGGAGUCAUGUCAUCUGCUGGUGUUGGUCCACUGUGCUUCAUUAAGUCCAGGGUCAACGCAGCCGUCUACCAGGAGAUUUUGGAGCACUUCAUGCUUCCUUCCGCAGACGAGCUUUAUGGGGAUGCUGACUUCAUUUUCCAGCAGGACUUGGCACCUGCCCACACUGCCAAAAGCACCAAAGCCUGGUUCAAUGACUGUGGGAUUACUGUGCUUGAUUGGCCAGCAAACUCACCUGACCUGAACCCCAUAGAGAAUCUAUGGGGCAUUGCCAACAGAAAAAUGAGAGACAUGAGACCGAACAAUGCAGAAGAGCUGAAGGCCGCUAUUGAAGCAUCCUGGUCUUCCAUAACACCUCAGCAGCACCACAGACUGAUAGCUUCCAUGCCACACCGCAUUGAUGCAGUAAUUGCUGCAAAAGGGGCCCAAACCAAGUACUCAGUCCAUAUGCAUGCUUAUACUUCUCAGAGGUCCGAUAUUGUUCUAUGUACACUCCUUUUAUUGCUUGCAUGUAAUAUUCUAAUUUACUGAGAUUGUGGAUUUGGGGUUUUCAUGAGCUGUAAGCCAUAAAUAUCGCACUUAUGACAAAUCACGGCUUGAACCAUCUUGCUUUGCAUGUAAUGCGUCUAUCUCAUAUAUUAGUUUCCCCUUUUAUGUUGCAUUACUGAAAUAAAUGAACUUUUGCACAAUAUUCAAAUUUUUCGAGUAUCACCUGUAUAUCGAACAAAAACACUGUAAGUUUUGGACUUCACAAAUGUGCUAUGUUUAUUGGUACAUACAUGAGGUAAAGUAACAAACAUUUUACCAGUGCGCAAAAGAAACAUUUCUACAGAUCAAAACAUUAGAAAACACGAGAGAGGACUAGAACCAUUUAGACAGGCCGCUGCAGGAAGAGGGGUGGGUGCAAACAGGAGACAAUGGUUAGCGGAGGUCAACAAUACAUACACAGAGAUCGUCCCGGUGAGACACACAUGAACACGGAGCAAGAGAGCAAUAUGGAAAAAAUGAACCUAUUAUAUAGUUAAAGCAGGAUUAUGUUUAGAUAUUAUGUAUAUAGUCAAGACAAGAUGUGUAAACGAAAUUGUAACAGUACAGAACAACGUGAUGGAACCUACAAAAUCCGUGAAGGUAUGGCGAUGCCAGAAAAAAAAAAAGUUUGAUGUUGUGAUUGUACACUAAAGAUUGUCUUCCUCAAUAAUUGUUGCUAUAUCCUUCUAUAUUGUAACCUCCCUGGCCUUGGGAACAUGUACACAAAAGGAUACUGAACAUUAUUACCUGUGGAAUUGCCCCCCCCCCCUUUCCUUCUGUACCCUAUGUAAGAAAAUGUUCAAAAAAAACGAUUGAAAAAAAAAACAUUAGAUAACAGAUUGAUUCAAAAGAGAUUUGAAAGUUAUUAAAAAGUCAGAAAUAUUAAGAAAAAAUAGCUUGAACAGAGAACUGAAGACUUUGCGUAAAAUAUCUCUGUGACGGACAGUAGGAAAAGUGAUAGUAGUUUAAAUCUGGAAAGAACAGCUGUCAAAUAUAAUAGUUUGACAUUAUCUAAUGCAGUCUAACAAAUAUUACGUGCAUUCACAUCUCUGGUUAUAAGCAACAUCUUCAAAUGGUUCGGUCUCCACAUAUGGUCAACAUACAUUCUUCUGGGUUCCUGUAUGCUUUGGCAGUAAUGGUGCCCAGAUGGGUUUUGCUGAGUUGGAGUAGUGAUUAUUUUCUCCACUUUAUUCGAUAGCCAUCAGCUCCUCGUUGUCCUAGUUCUGGAACUUGGGCUCUGUACUUAAAACUACUGUUAACAAAACAAGGUAUGUUAAUGGCCUUUGAGAAAUAGAUUUGAAAAAUGACAACAUAGUACGUGGUGUAUAGAUAAGAAUUUCCUAAUAUAUAACUUUACAUUUCCUUUACACCUGAUAAUUGAAAGCUCUUUUCUAUAUUAUUGUUUACAAAAAUAAAUACAUAUUUUUUCUAUCCGUGCAUUAUUUUGUUGCUGUAUCGUAUACUACCCGCUUGGCAUUCUUCUUAUAUUGGCAAAGACACUGCAAAUACCUGUAACCGCGGCUGAGAUGCAAAAAUAUCCAAAACUCUACUAACCUCGUGUAAAAGUCAGUGCUUGAGGGGCAUCUAAUCAAAGUCCAUCAGCUAACUCAUUGUUCAGAGUUGCUGCAGGAUCUGUCAGAUAAUUCUCAUUUGAGUUCCCACCAAAGUUAAAUGAAGGAUUGAUUGUCUAGUUGAAAGGAAAGACAAUCUGCUCACAUGGCUGUCAAAAACCGUGCAGCUGAACCUGGCAGGGUUGUUGGUGUCAAGGGAUCUCAUUGAAUACAGCUGGCAAGUUGGUGCAAGCUUCAACAGAGUUAAAUUUAGUAAACACCUAAGGUUAUAAUUCUGAGUCAAGUACCUGAGAAUUCUCAUCUCAGUAGUGCAGCGGAAACAACUUGAGACUAAGUGCAUAGAGACCUAGAUACAAACUUGGUAUCAAUGGAGAGGAGUUGGUUUUAUUCUGUCAUUUAUGGUGAUUCAAUGUAACCAUGUUGUACUUCUAGGCUACAACAGCAGAAAUGGAGUUUGCAAUUAUGGCUCAAAAUCUGAAACCAGGUCAGCUUUUCACAAGUCAGUGUUUAGUGUAUAAACCAAUGCACUCAUACUUAAAGGGACAGUUUAGCACCAUAAGGCACCCUAAUAACUUAAUAUAAACGAAGGAGGUCCACAGGUGCACUCUUACUUUUAUGGGUUCAACUGUUUUUGAACUGUUUAACCCAGAAGUUGUCUCCAGAGCCACUUUCAGCUACCCACUGGCGGCAUCCAGCUUCAGAUAUAUCAGAUUCAGGAAGCAAAGAGUGCCGAACGAGCAGGUGUGCUGCUCAUUGGCUUAAAUCAAUAACAUUCAAAAAAAUGGCUUGUAAAAGGUAUGUUUCUUUCCAAGCCAGUUUUAUGUAUGGCGAGUCGAUGAUUAGCUGAGAGCGUCAGCUGACAGCUCUCAACAAUCAGUGGCGUCCCUGCCCAACGGCACUCCGCGCUUCCUGAAUCCAAAAUCUUUGCAGCCAAAUGCAGCAAGGAGGGGUGCCCGAAAGCACAUUGUGCUGUAAAAAUGCAUCCUUUUUUCAUGGAGGCUGUGUGAGACACAGCCAGUGGAGGUGUGGCUACCACUGCAUGAACAAUAUGACUUAACUCAUAAAUUGCAGAGAAUUGAGAAGUGAGACUGCAGGCACAUGAUCUAUACACCCAAAUUGCUCAUUUCUGUUGUUGGGGGGUGCUAUGCUGUGCGACAAGUGAAGGGCUUUAAAGACAUUAGAGUGGCAUAGCUAGGGUGACCACAUUUCCUAACUGCCAUUCAGGGACACAUACUUUCACGAGUGCAUUUAAUCAAAUUUAUACUUGACACGUCACGUGACCCCAGCUGCGAGAUGUCUAGUGUUUACGCGGUCACGCUACUCGAUGCAGCAGGGCAGGGGAGGAGCUACACGCAGUGCCAUCUUGAUAGAAAAUGGGCCCCGUGCAAAGCUGUGCACUGGGGCCCUGUCUACACAACAGCUCAGAGGAAUAAAAUCGUAAAUUAUCUAUAAAAUUAAGCUUAUAUUUAUUGGUACCUUGCAAUACAUACAUACACACAGACUGUUGAACACAUUCACACACCAAAUGCUGAACACACGCACACACCGACUGCUGAAUACACACAGGCUUCUGAAACACACACAGAUACUGCUAAAUACACACAGGCUGUUUAAUACACACAGGCUGCUUAAUACACACAGGCUGCGGAGUACACACAUAAUCAGACUGUUGAGUAGACACAUACAGACAGCUGAGUACACACAGACUGCUGAAUACACACAGGCUUAUGAAACACACACAGACUACUGAAUACACACACAGAUACUGCUAAAUACACACAGGCUACUGAAUAUAUUCACACACUGCUGAAUACACACACUGUUGAAUACACACACAGACAGACUGCUGAGUACACACAUACACACACACUGCUGAAAAUAUAUACACACACACACACACACACACACAGACUGCUGAAUACACACACAGAGACUGCUAAAUAGACACAUACUGCUGAAUACACCCAGACUGCAGUGAGGGGACUGUGUAUGUGUGUAGGGGUGCUGUGUGUUUGAGGGGUGCUGUGUGUGUGUGUGUGUGUGUGUGUGUAUGAGUGAGAGGGUGCUGUGUGUGAGGGGUGCUGGGUGUUGUGUGGGGGUGAGGGGUGCUGUGUGUGUGUGCGAAAGAAAGUUGCUGUGUGUGUAAGGGGUGCUGUGUGUGUGGAGGGGUGCUGUGUGUGAGAAGCUCUGUGAAUGUGUGUGUGUGUGUGUGUGAGGGUUGGUGUGUGUGAGUGAGGGGUGCAGGGAGCAACUGCUUUUUUAAAAUUAUUUUUAUUUUGUUUUAAAUAAUAUCUAUCCAUUUAUAAUUUUUUUAUGCCCCCCUCCCACGUUUCGUCUUACCUUUGGGGAAGGUGGGGGGGCACUGCCAGCCCUUGUGGGCCAGUGGUGAGUAGUGAUCUAUAGCAUGCAGCUCCUCUGGCUGCAGGCUGUCUUCACUCUCGCGCGCAGAAUGCUGUGUGGAGCGUUGCCAUAGCAACGUGCGGCAACGUUACACACAGCAUGCUCGUGGGAGGAGCGAUCUUCCGCCCAGAUCGCUCCUCCUGCCCUCUCUCUCCCACUAACGAAGGGCCUUUAGGCCGGUGAGGGAGAUCUUUGAUCUCCCCACCGGCCCGAGAGGGCAAAUUGAAAGAAAACGGGGCUGCAAGGGAGAUAAAAAGAUCUCCCCUGUCGGCGGCGGUGCAGCUCAGCUCAUUCCGGGACACUACAUUAUCCCAGAAUGAGGGUGCCCAGGACAGAUGCUCAAAAUGCGGGACUGUCCCGGGCGACCUGGGCCACGUGGGCACCUUAGGCAUAGCAUAUCCUAAGAAUCUGUCCGCCUGCUCAUCCAGUAUGCCAAUCGUGGUCUGGGGGUCUGACUGUCCCCUGCAGCCAAUGCCACCAAUUCAUGUCAUUUGACGUAGUGACAGCCUGUACACUAUUCUCUGGCUCUCUGUUUCCUCACUUUCUUCUUAAGUGAGAGAGCACUGAUCACUGUUACAAGUCCCAAACUGUUAAAAACAAGUGUUUAAAGAAAAAAAUAAUAAUUUUUAAGCAUUUCAGUGCUGAUAACUUAAUUUCUCACACUUUUUAAAAAAAAUGUAUACAUAGUUAUUUUAGAUUUAGCAUGUACAGUUAUGAAUAUUGUGAUUUGAAGGAAUACUCUAAGCACCAAAACAGUUUUAGUUUAACCCUUUAAAGACAUAUGCAAAUGUCUAGGUUCUGAACCAAAACAAAACCUAGAUUUUGAGCUUGUGCAUCUUUUAUAAUAUGUGCACCCACAAUUAUAUCUGAAGCUGAACAUAAGCCCCAGAAAAUUGUAAGUGACAUUUUUCUUAUUUUACCUCACCACCUAUAGAUUAUACUACACUAUAUUCUGUUUUCUGUCUUCAUAUUUUCCAUACUGACUCACCACCAUACAGAAGACGCUGCUUCCCUGUACCCUUUCCCGACCUAUACCUAGUUACUGCAAGAUAGAAAGGACUCUGGUUUGGGAAGUACCAGCUGCCAUAUCCGGUUCUAACAAGCGCUAGGAACCUCGCCAUCGCACGUAUUUGUAUGUCAUUGUUUGUUUCUGCGCAUCAGUGUGUUUUUGUGUAACUUAUUGUUAAAAUGGCACCUGCCAAGAGGUGGGAUAUAUAAGGAAGCAAGUGAAAUUUGGAAAUAAAAAACAAUUCUCGGUAUGUAACACCCAGGGUUAUUCAGUAAAAUAAAAAUACACUGUGAAUUCAAAGUGAAUUUAGAAUGUACCUGAACUUAAAACAUUCUCCAAGUCAGUUAUGCUUCCAGUUUGGCUAUUUCGGUGUAAAAUGUCAAAUUCACUUUGAAUUCACUUUGACUUCCCCACAAUUCUCACUUUACUAAAUAACCCUGUAAGUCUUAAACGUACAUGUGUGCAUAACAUCACACAUGCAUAAUUACAAGGCUGUAAAGCAUUCAGGCAUACUCAUUCCAGAAAAUUUAAAUACAAAUAGUUUAGAAUUUAUCUUGCUUUCAGCAGUCAAUUUCCUGCUGGGAACUGAGGAUGCAGGAUGAGCAAAUUGCUGUUUUGCCUGUAAAUGUAUUUUUAUUCUGUAAAACCAGGCAAUGCAGAUAGAGUAGGGUAAGUGGUGUUAACUUGAGAUAGUAAAAACAUACCCAGGGCAUGAAGUAUCCCUUUAAUCUUUUGUUUUUAUUUAAAGAAGUAUAUUUAAAACCGUAUCUUGCUAAACUAAAAGAGAAUUUGGAUCCAGGUCAAAAACAGCUGUAUCUUCCUAUCUGACUCAUCAUAUAGGAAGUAGGAUGCUGGGACUGCAUUACUGUCAUUCAAGCAGCUGGUUAAUACAGUGAUAAAGUAAACCCUUCCUUGUAUCGUCAACAGUGGCAUAAAAAUAAUUAUUUUCUAUAUAUUUUGUUUGUGGAAACCCUGGAAUAUUGUGUAAACUAAACCCAGUUCUAUACGUAGCAUUUUAAAAGUAGCAGAAUUAUCUACUGAAGGUCUUUCAAAGCACAAUCACAACUUAAUUGCAAGGCUAAUCUUACAUAGAGCGCCCUGAGUCUACUCUCCGCUCUGAAGAAUGAGAAAUGUCAAUCAAGCAGCAAGAAAGCUGGCCUUUUUAGGACUCCACAUUCCACCAGGCGUCUUCCAAAUACCGCUAAGAAGAACACUUGACGUAGCAUUUCUAUGCUAUAACCUAUAGACUGAAAAUUAUCCUCUGUUGCCAGCGUAUACACACAUGAUAUACAAAUAAAGCAAUACAAUUGUCUAAGUUUAUGCAAUUUUAAUAGUUAAAGUACCUCUAAUCUAUCAUCUAUAAACAAGCAUGCUGUUUUAUCUAUUGUUGUGCUGGUUAUAUAUCCCAUGUUUCUGGUGCUUAUUAUAUUUAAGAUAACUUGCUAGUGAAGGUCUUAAAUUGCCAGAUUGCUUUUCUGAUCUCGAUUGAGUUUAUUAUCUUAGCGAACUAGAUGCAAACAAAUAUUUUGAAAUUCUCAAUGACCAUUAGCAUGACAAUCCUUUUUGACUAGUAUUGUUUUAUUUGGCAAUUCAGCUGAAAAUGUGGUGCUCGAUAACAUACUGUCACGAUAGAGAAGACACACUUUGCAAAGUGACACAGAUGUACUAUAGAGAGAUAUAUGUAUAAGGAACUAGCAAUGUAUCAUUCUAGUUGUCACACUGAAAAGAGGGAGUUGGGGGGCACACUCUGAACAUGCUUUUACAAAUUAAAGGAACACUACAGCGUUAGGAAUACAAAUGUAUAUUUUUUUAAUGCUGUAGUGUCCUAGUCACCAUCUAGUUGACCUAUCCCAUGCAUGGGUCAAAAUGUUCGUUUAAUCAUUUUUCUCCCAUGCUGUGCAGCCCCUACCGUGGCUAGCCCUGCUUACUUCACUGUGAUCACCAGUCUUGAUGAUCUCAGCCAAUCCAAUGCUUCACCAUAGGACCAUCUGAUUGAAAUAGCCAAGUUAUACUUAUUAAUUUCUGCAGGAGCACCUCUAGUGGCCAUCAAAGUGACAGCCACUAGAGGCAUUUACAGGCUACAAUGAAAAAAAUUGUCAUUCCUGGAGAAUAAGCAAUAUUUUCAUUUGCAGGGUUAAAAUUAGAGGGACAUGACACUAAAAUCACUUAAUUGAGAGGAAGUUGUCUUGGUGCCUACACAGUCCCUUUAACCCCUUAAGGACACAUGACAUGUGUGACAUGUCAUGAUUCCCUUUUAUUCCAGAAGUUUGGUCCUUAAUGGGUUAAAGGACCACUAUAGCAUUAGCAAUGAAGUUGUCUGGGUGCCAGGUCCAUCUAGUGUUAACCCUGCAGCUGUAAACAUAGCAGUUUCCGAGAAACUGCUAUGUUUACAAUAGGAUUAAUCCAGCCUCUAGUUGCUGUCUCAUUGACUGUGAAAAUCACAGUAAGAAGACGCUGACGUCAAUAGGAAAGCAUUGAGAAAUGCUUUUCUAUGGACUGUUUGAAUGCGUGUGCGGCUCUUGCCGUGAAUGCGCAUUCAAAGCUGACGUCGGGAGAAGGAGGAGAGUUCCCCAGCGCUGAGGGAGUCCGGCGCUGGAGAAAGGUAAGUGUUUAACCCCUUCAGCCCCCUUCAGCCCGGCGGGAGGGGGGCCAUGAGGGUGGGGGGGACCUAAAGAUCCUAUAGUGCCAGGAAAAUGAGUUUGUUUUCCUGGCUCUAUAGUGGUUCUUUAAGGAACAGCACACACAUAAAAAUACAAUUUUACAAUAAGCCGUCCAUUGCAUCACAAUACCCCAAAUUUUGGUGGGUUGUACACUAAUUUUAGCAUGGGAGACUGCUUCCAGAGACUGUCCUCACAUUUAUACUUAACUAUGGUCACCUCCAAAGGGGAACCUAUAGUGGAGGGGCCAGGGCCGGCCUUAGGGGUGUGCGAGCUGUGCGACCGCACAGGGCGCCAUGGAACAGGGGGCGCCCUGUGGCCGACACAGCUCACUCAUGGCCGGAGUGCAGGGGAGCUAAAAGAGGUACCUGGCUGGAGGAUUAAUUAUUCUCCACCCGGGUCUAUUUAAAAAAAAAAAAAAAAAUCGCGGCAGAGGGGGCGGGGUUUACCGAGCGGCGGAGGCGGGGCUUAUCGAGAGGCGGAGACGGGGCUAAUACCUCCCGAAGCCCCUGCUGUACAGGAAGAGGGAAAGAUGCUUCCCCAUCAGCCAACUGCAUCCACUGGAAAGAGGUAAGUGUGUGUGUGUGACUGUUUGCCUGUUUGUGUGACUGUCUGUCUGUGUGUGUGUGUGACUGUCUGUCUGUGUGACUGCCUGUCCUUGUGUGUGUGUGUGUGUGUGACUGUCUGUCUCUGUGUGUGUGUGUGUGUGUGUGUGACUGUCUCUGUGUGUGACUGCCUGCCUGUGUGUGACUGUCUGUGUGUGUGACUGUCUGUCUGUGUGACUGCCCAUGUAUGUGACUGCCCAUGUAUGUGACUGCCUGUGUGUGUGACUGUCUGUCUGUGUGACUGUCUGUCUGUGUGACUGCCCGUGUGUGUGACUGCCUGUGUGUGUGAGACUGUCUGUCUGUGUGACUGUCUGUGUGUGUGACUGUCUGUCUGUGUGUGUGACUGCCUGUGUGUGUGACUGCCUGUAUGUGUGACUGCCUGUAUGUGACUGCCUGCCUGCCUGUGUGUGUCUGUCUGUAACUAUCUGUCUGUGUGUGACUGCCUGCCUGUGUGUGUGACUUUCUAUCUGUGUGACUGCCUGCCUGUGUGUGUAUAACUGUCUAUGUGUGUGUUACUGUGUGUCUGUCUGUGUGUGUGACUGCCUGUGUGUCUGUCUGUGUGUGUGACUGCCUAUGUGACUGUCUGUCUGUGUGUGUCGCUGUAGCUGUGCCAUUGUUUGUGCCUGUGCCUGUAUGUGUGACUGCCUUUAACUGAGUGUGUGUGUACAUGCCUGUAACCGAGUUUAAAUUUCCCCCACCCCUUCCUGUCAAGGCCGCACUUUGACUGACAGACGCUCACUCACUGACAGACGCACACUCACUGACGACACAUACACACUCACUGACUGACAAAUACACACUCACUGACUGACACAUAUACACUCACUGACCAACACACACAUUCACUCACAGACACACACACAUUCACUUACAGACACACACAAUUACACACUUACAGACACACACAAUUACACACUUACAGACACACACACACACACACACACAUUCACUUCAAAAUAAACACUCACAGACACACACACAGACAUUUCCACUAACACUCACAAACUAAUAUUUUUUACAUUUAUUUUAAAUCCACCCAGCCUCCCUGGGAAAGCUGGAGUGGAUUUCUUACCAGCAGUCCAGUGUGGCUGCUGGGCAGGCAGGCAGGGGGCGCACAGGCUGAGUAAGCAGCGCUUAGUGAUGCCGGGAGCCGGACUGACGUCAUAUUCUGGCUCCCGGCUUCAUUAAGCGGCGCAGAGGAAGCUGAGCAGGAAGAGCUCAGGUGAGUAUGCUCCUUCGCUGCCCGCUGCCAGCCUUGGGGGGGCUCAAAAGUGGCCAGCCGGUCAGCUCUUGAGCCCCCCAGGAUGCGAGGCAAGCAAGGGAUCUGCCUGGGGGUUUGGAGGGAUGCUUUUUUUUGCCGCCCCCUGCAAAGUGGCGCCCAAGGCAGAUGCCUUGUUUGCCUCGUGAUACACACGUCCCCGGUGCCUGUGUGUGUUACUGUAUUCAGGCAACUUGGUGGGAGGUGGGGGGGCGCCGUGAAGACUUUUUGCACAGGGCGCCUAAUUGCCUAAGGCCGGCCCUGGGAGGGGCAGUUAAACCAAAAAGGAAUCUGGGUCGGGAUUACAAAUAUAUACCACAGCAGACAGCUAUAUACCACAGCUUGACAAAGACCUCAUGGUAAGGUCAACAUGUUGUGUUCUCAAUAUGAUCCAAUAAAUACUGCUAUGUUUUGAACUACUGUAUGCCUGGACAUAUAGAGCUAUCUACUGAAAAAAAAACAGUCAAACUGUCAGUGAAAUCAUUUGUCUCAUGAAAAAGAAGGAAAAUAACGAGAAAGCACUAUUUUAAUCACAGUUCUUUGCAUUAAACAUCAUUUGCCAAAAUAACACAGAUGAUAUAUUUUAAUGUUGUUCUAUUUCUUUUACAUUUGUGCCAAACUUCCUCAUUAAGAACAUGUGAUUUCCAACGCUUUCAACCGAGACUGCCAUAUAUUUGCAAGCUACUUUAGUAGCAACUAGAAACUGAAUUACUAUAGUUUUGUAAGUAAUGGAAUAUAAUUGCUCUCUACAAUUCAAAUAGAGAGAAGCAGUGAUGUGAGCACAAGGGUUUUCGGAACAUGAAAAAGUAAUGAACCAUUGAGUACAGGAACGUACUCUCUGCAGACUUACAAAAGUAUAUCACAUUAUAGCACCAACCAUCUGUGAUAAAGUCUUUUGUUUAAAAACGAACGUCAAUAAUGGCUUUCCGCACCUAAGAACAUUAUGAUUUAUACAUUUUUUCGGAAAGUAACAUUAUUAGAUUCGUAAUGAAUAUUUCAUAUUCAGAAAGCAAGCAAGACUUUGGGAGAAGUGUUUAUUAUAUGUUUGUAGUAAAUAAUCUGGAAGUAUAUAAACCGCUGCAUGAAAAAGCUAAUGGAACUUAUUUAUUUUAAUGUUACGGAAAUAGCGUCGAAGUGUUUUUAGUCAAUAGAUUUAAGAACUGAAACCCCGAAGGAGGGAAAAAAAACACCAUUAAGCCUCUCGUGUUUUUCGUGUAUGUUGUCUUAAUUCUACUUCAUAAUAAUUCACUAUUAUGCAUCUUUUUUUUAUUCCAUUCCGUAAGAAGUGAAAGUUAAUGUGUCAUGCUGUGCUGAAAGAAUGUUUAAGGAUCGUUCAGAAAUACCUGUAUUUUUUCAUUAUACUGAUCUAAAAUGUUUCAUCUGAUCUUUUUUAUUAAUCUUAAAAAUAGAUAAAGGGAAUCCAAUUAAACAAGUCUUCUUUGAACAGUGAUAUUGCAUAUAUUGUCUCUGUCACAAAAGUAUGGCUUAAUGCUAUUGUUUCUUAAACGUGAACAGUUGUACAGUUUGGUUUGCUUUCCCUUUUGUCCUUUCUUCUUUUGUAACAAGUUGUUUUAUUGAUAUCAUUCCCAUGUUAAGCAGAAAAUGGGUUAAAAUAUGCAUAUUCUUUACAAACACAAGAUUAUGCAUUUCUGCUUAACGUGCUUCAAGACAUGGAUAUUUUUAGAAUCUGAUAGAACACAACUCAACAAGUGCACUUGAAAAAAGACGCAGUAAAUAAAAAAUAAUUACAGCUAUUCUUGCUGAGGGUCCCUCUGUUGCUAAAUAACCAGCAGCCAUUUAUUUUCUACAUGUUAUAACGCUGUGAACAAUUCUAGAAUGAGCAGAUCCAUUGUAUAAUGUCUAUCUAACCCCCACCCCGAAAAGAAAUCAAUCCAGCAACAUGAAUGACGAAGAUCCAAAACAUUUUGCAAAAGCUGCAGAGCUUCUUGUCUGAAUCGUCUUGAUGCCCUCUCCUUCCAACCUCGGCCAGACUUUAUGUGGCCGUCCAAUCAUAGACUUCCCAAUGUAGCUCAAUGAGAAGUCUUUGCAAGGCAGGUGCUCUGGGCAAUUGCUGCCUCUUGAGUUUAGCUUCACUGAGCUAACCAAACCAGGAAGUAACAGGACCUGUUGUCUGAUUGACAAUCGGGGGUGUAACAAGCAGUCUUUAUAAAAAAAAAAAUAUUUCAGGGAGCUAAAGUGCUUUAGGGAACUGGAAUGUCACUUUAAAUCUUUGUGGAGGCUCACCCACUGUAGUAGAUAGAACAAACUGUUACUAUAUACACUGUAUCACUUUUGGUUUCAAAUAUCCACCUUCACUUCAAUUUCUUAUGAUGACAGACAGCUAGCACGGUUCACUCAGCGAACAUUUGUAUUUGUACACAGAUGGACAAUGUAUAAACCCAAUGAAAGUUCUUUCUUACCUCUUUUAUACAAGCUGCCUAUGUAAUGGAUUAUUGGUUUUAUAUUAUUUUAUUCUGUGCAAAAAACAGAGGUGAUAUUGCAGUGAGUGUUUUGGGGAAUGUUAAAUGCUUUAUUCAGUUUUUGUUUUGCUGUUAUUAUUUAUGCUACUUAUAUGUCUCCUUUGGAAUCAGUCAGGCAUGGAUACAGUUCCUACUUAAUUGUCAUGUAUUCAUCCGCACAUAAAAAUGUGGUUAAUGGCAUUUACUGUCCUAACAGGAAAAGUUGUGCCGAGCAACAUUACCCUCCUGGCAGGAAAAGUUGUGCCGAGCAGCAAUCAUGCACAUGGAAACCUGGUAAUUACUUUUGGGUUUAAAGGCUGGUCAUGGCCAAUCAAAUCCACAGGAGGGUAUGUGCUGAGCAGCAAUCAUGCAGAUGGAAACCUGGUAAUUGCCUUUGGGGUCAAAGCCGGUUACAGCCAAUCGGAUCCACAUGAGGGGUAUUUAAACCCAAUUCUUCUCUUGCUCAUUGUCCUGUCGUGGUUUGAUGCCUAUGGUUAUCUGAGAGUGUGUUCCUGAUCUUGAUUUUCUGGUAUUUGACUUUGGCUUUGUUUUGACUUCCCUGAUAUUUGGUAUCCUUGACUUUUGGCUUUCCCUCAUCGUUGUGUCUGAUUCUGUGUUCCUGACCUCAGCAAGUAUUUUGACUAUUCUUGGAUAAGUUCAGCCAUUCUAAGGUCCGGUUAUACAUUAUCCUUAGUCCUAGGUGUGACACAGUUCUGCAUGCUGGAUCAACUUGAAAUCCUGACAUUAAUACUAACACUUCAUCCACUUCACACUGAUAUAUUAGGAGAUACAGAGUGUUCCUCCAGUGUAAUAUUAUCCUUUAUUUCACUACACAUAGAAUGUUGGAGAAUGGGGAGAUUAUUAUCACUAUUAUCUAACACCAAUAAUAACACUUAUUAUAAAUAGUAAUAACAUAAUAAUACCUCAUUUGGUGUUUGAUAAAUCAGUGAGUAUUAAUGAGUGGACCAGUGAUAAGUAUGGACCAUACCACUAGCCUCUCCAAUUAGAAGGAUGCCAGGUGGUAACCCACUGAAAUAACUAACAUACAAUAACAAAUAGUAUGAUCAUCAUAACACAAAUAUAUUUGCUGUUUACUACAAUAUUCAGUCAAUCUAUUUAUUUGUUUGACCUCACUAAAGAUAGAUAUGUUUGUAGAACAUUGUGAAUUGUACAAAUUUCACUAUAAAGGAUUUUUUUUUAAAUGACUCCCUGGGGCAAGCUACAACUUGCAAAACAUAUAUAAUGAAUUUAGUGCAUUCGUAUUGAUGAUAAGUUACAUUUCCUACUGCUGGAAAUGAGGACACAUUAGCAUAAAAGCUUCCUACUUCAUCAAGAAUCUUACCCUCCCUACUUCUCAACCUUGUCUAUAAUAUCAAUCUGUAGAUAAAAAGUCUAUCUAUCUAUCUAUCUAUCUAUCUAUCUACCUAUCUGUCUAUCUAUCUUUCUGUCUGUCAAAUUUUCUUCCUUGCCGUGAGCACUUUCUUCCUUGCAAUGGAAAGGCAAAAGCCAGAAAGAAGCAUCCUUUUCAAGCUCAGUCCAAUCUAUUUUUUCAUAGCUGGCCGUCCGAAUUCCAGGAGUCCAGGAAGACUUCCAACAUAAUCUACCAGAAUGGUGAUGGCUUUAUCGAUAAAGAAGAUCUACAUAACAUGGGUGCUUCUCUUGAUGCCCAAUUAAAGGAUCACUACAGGGUUAGGAACACAAACAUGUAUUUGUGACCCCAUAGUGCUAAACCCACCAUUUAGGUGGCUUGCCCCCCAUAUUCCCCCUAUAAAUAGUUUAAAACUCACCUUAGUUCCAGCGCCACACAGGUCUGCCCUCUUUGUGACAUCAUCAAAAUGGCUGCUUUUUAGCCAAGCCAAUGCUUUCUCAUAUAAUCGGCACAGCGGCGGGACCAAAUGCUAUUUUGGCCAAUCAGGACCUCCUCAUAGAGAUGCAUUGAAUCAAUGCAUCUCUAUGAGAAAAAUUCAGCAUCUCCAUGCAGAGCGUGGGGACGCUAAAUGGCAGGGCUGCUUACUGUGCAGCCGUGAGCCAGGAAGCACCACCAGUGGUCAUCUGAGGAGUGACAACUUGGAGGUGUCUAGGGGCAAUGUAAACACUGCUUUUUCUCUGAGAAUUCAGUCAUUACACCUUCUCUGAAAUUACAGUGUUUACAUGAAAAUGCCUGAAGGGAGCUAUUAUACUCACCAUUAAGCGGUAGUUGUUCUGGUGACUAUAGUGUCCCUUUAACUUUACCAAGUUCCUUCUCAUGACUGAUUAGAAACUAAACUGCAGAAAUGUAAAUUAUGUAAUCAGUAAUGCACUAACAUGUUUUGAUGAAGAAACAACAAGCUGCAUCCAAGAGGAAAAACUGCAAGAACAGCUGACCACUGUGGGCGAUCAACUCACAGAGGAGGAUGUGGACGAGCCAUUCAUCGAGUUUGCAGCUAUCUUGAUAUGCGGAGUUAAAGACAAGGAUGAAUAACAGAUCUUUCAAGACCCACAACUACAUUAUCAAGCUUUGCUCCAUCAAUGGAUGUCUUCUCCUUGCAUGUGUCUCUAUAUCUUUCUUUUUAUUUAUAGAAUUCUUCAGGCAAAUAUGAUACAUACCUAUGUAACCAAACUUGAAACAAAAGAUGUAACCGUAUCAUUUUUUGUCAUGUUAGAGCAACACAUUUUGCUUUUGGACAUUAACUGGAUUGUUGGCAAUUUUGUAAUGGAGUGAUACAGUAUGAAUAAAGAAAGGUCACUUAAAAUAUAUCAAUACAAUGUGACAGUGAAGGUGUGUUGUGUGUCUCCUUAAUGGCAUUGUAAUUGGUCAAAAGUGUCAGCUGAAAUAAAACUACUCUAGCCGUUACUGUGAAUGUAAAGUUAAAGUAUACCAGAGUUCCUCUCAAAUGAGUGCACCUGCUAAAGGUUAAACUCAUGUGGCUGCAUGCUGUCUAUAAAGUAAUUGGUUUUCAUCUCCUUGAAGUAUUUCGUAAGAACAUUACAAUCUUAUCAAAAUGCCUCCUAGCCUGAAGAGACCUAAUCAUUUCAUAUCAUAAUCAUAUUUUCAUAUCUAAUAGUCUACAAUAUUUUAUAAAAUUAUCAAAAUUAUUGUUAAUUGUUUUUGUCAUAAUGUUUUUUUGCUACUAUAUUGUUUCUUAAAUGUAGUAAACAUUUCUGGAGUUUUUAGGUCCACACUUGGUAUAUAAUGAGUUGAAAGGAAAGUAGCUAUUAUGGAAGUAGCAACUACAUAGAGCAGGCUUCUCAAAACUCCGGCCCUUCAAAUGUUGCUGAACUACAACUCCCAUGAGUUUCUGCCUAUCUAUUUCAUUCAUAGAAUCAUGGGAGUUGUCAUAGAAUCAUGGGAGUUGUAGUUCAGCAACAUCUGGAGGGCCAGAGUUUGGAGAAGCCUGACAAGUGUGCUUGUAAACUGCACAAUCAUUGAUGGUCAUACCAAAAUUCUCAGUACCUCCACAGUCAGCCACAGUAAGGACAUGGUCACUCUUAUGUGGCUAGCUUUGUUAAGAUUCAUUUGGCACAAGUUUAUGUCAGGUUUCCGCGGGCGGCUGCGAGGGGAGGCUGCACUCCGCUCGCAGUACUCACCCUCCAGCCGUCCACGGUCCCCUCCUCCUCGUGGGUACGGCAAGCGGCAUCCUUCCAGCCUCGGAUGCCGCCCGCCGCUCCCUCCACGUCCCCCAGCGGCAGCAUGCAUUACGCUGCACGCUGGGAGACCGCCCAGGUUUAUACACGCCGGGGUCAGUCACCUGACCCGGCGUUAAAGGCACAGUGCCUCAAUCACAGUGGGAGGUCUAGAUAUCUCCCACGUGUGAUUGUUAAUUCUGAUUGGAAAUUAUCCAAUCAGAAUUAACCUGAUGGUUUAAAUACUUACCUUUCCUGUUCCUCCCUGCCCUGUUGUGGUCUUUACCUGCUAGUAUUGAUACUGAACUUGUGUUUCUGGUUACGUACUCUCUGGCUUGUUUAUCCGACUUUGUGACUUUCUCCUACCCUUUGACCUCGGCUUGUUUCACGUUAUUCUGUCUUCUGGUUCCCCUUUACUCGGCUUGUUUCCUGACUAUUCUGUGUGUGCUUAGCCCGGCCACUCUAAGGUCCAGUACGGCACCUUUUGUGUGUGUGCGUGUGCCAGCGUGUUGGGUUCCCCGAAUCGUGACAGUUUAUAAAUGAGUUGUAAGUGCUCCUUUCAGUCCUGUAACUAGCCUUAACUUUAGCUUGCAAGCCAUUAUCCUCAAUUGAUAAGAACAUUCAGGUGUUCUUUGUCCUUGCUUGUGGCUUUCUAUUUUAACUUUUUGCUUCUGAUUGUACUGGAUUUGUGUUUUAUAAGAAGAGAAUAUCAAAUCUUCGCCUGUAUAACGUAUGAAAGCAAUUAAUUCAAUACGAGUUCUUGAAAGCAAUCAAGUUAUUUGGGGCAGUAUUGAGGCAAUAAACUCUGAAAUCUGAUAUGACAAUUGCCUGAGGUCACGAUAUCCCUACUUAUCAUAGUAGCAGACAAUUAAGAUGGUCUUAGGCAUUAGUGAUGUCUCGAACGGUUCGCCAAACGGUUCGCCACGGACGGCGAACAUAUGCGCUGUUCGGUCCGCCCGCUAUUCGUCAUCAUUGAGUAAACUUUGACCCUGUACCUCACAGUCAGCAGACACAUUCCAGCCAAUCAGCAGCAGACCCUCCCUCCCAGACCCUCCCACCUCCUGGACAGCUCACUAAGAAUGCAACUUCACAAUGAAUGUAAAAUGGAUGCUGUCCAGGAGGUGGGAGGGUCUGGGAGGGAGGGUCUUCUGCUGAUUGGCUGGAAUGUGUCUGCUGACUGUGAGGUACAGGGUCAAAGUUUACUCAAUGAUAACAUAGGGGGCGGACCGAACAGCGCAGAUGUUCGCCACCCAUGGCGAACCGUUCGGGACAUCACUGUUAGGCAUGCAUAAUUAUUGAGAUAUUGAGACAUUGAAAUAAAGUGCAUGAUGUGCAUUAAUGACAGAAGGUCACAUGGGAAGAUAGGAACACUUAGUAACAAAUAGAAUUUUUUGUACAUACAAAGACAAGACAUAUUUGAGCAAACCCAGAUUUAUAUACAUGACAUUGAUUACAUUUGUACUAUAUCUUUAGGUCAUUGUGGAGAUUAAUGAUUUUUUUUUUUUUACGCCUGUUAAAAAUUUGGUUUCAUAUGGAAGGGAAAAGGGGUCUGCAUAAUUCAUAAACAUCUGAUAAAUUCAGAUUUUAUCUUUGUGGAUGUUGCUAAAAAUAACAAAAAGAACUCAGUGAUACUCCCUGAGAGAUAAAUUACGCAUGCUAUCCAGAAUGCAGGAAAGUAUGCUGACCUUGAUGAUGGGAUCAGAAAGAAAAUAUGGCAAUAAUAUUCAUAGACUUCACAGCCUAGAAUUAUUCAAACAGUGACACUGCCCAGUGAGAAUACGGCUAUUUAUAAGAACACAUUUUGAAUUCUGACAGCAACUUCUUUAGCAAGAGUAAGUUACUUUAUCUUGGUAUAUUUUUAGCUUGCCGUCAUAAACCAUAAACCUUAUUACAGUAAGCGUGAGCUUAGUAAUUUUUACAGAUAACCUAUAAUUCAAUUUUACAGAUAAACUAUAAUUUUUUUAAAACAUGGGGUACCUAGUGAGCAAUGGUAAAGUCCCACCUUAUUUUAUGCACAUAACAUAACAGAUUUCUAAUUUAAAAAGACUUCUGAAUGCUUUACUUUGGAUAAGAAGCAAUAUUUAAGUAUAUAAUUGUUAUUAUGGGAAUAGCAGCUUGCUGAUACAAUGAGAAAUUUUAUAGCUAUUCUCCUAUCAAGGUUGUUUUGUUCAAAUUUAGUCCUUUAAAUUUGAUUUUGUGCCCUCUUUGGAUCAACAGCAGAAACCGAAAUGUGUGAAAACAUGAAUCUUUUAUCAGUCUUUAUUUGUACCUAACUAUGUGCCUUCGCACUAGAAAUCUGUACAAUGUGGAUCCUCUCCAGCUCCUCCCACAUACUUCUGCCAUAACCUUCCCUGAUCUCGCAACAGCCCAUUACAACAAAACUCUCUCCUCUGUACUAGACAUGAUUGCUCAUCCAAAAUCCUACGCCAUCAGUUACAGCACUGGCACUUCCAACAAACUUGGAAAAAUAGAAAGGAGAAAAUCCUGCUCUGAUGCUGAUUUCAUCCACCACAUAUUGAUUUUCCAUUCAUAUUAUUCUAUCCUCCAAGCCAGACAAAAAUAGUUCUCUACUCUUUCCUCCAACCCUAAACAGCAUUUUACCUACCUACCUUCAGCUCUAUCAUCUACUCACCUGCAGCACCUUGAUAGUCUGACUUCAGUGCUGAAAACUUUGCAGACUACUUUUUAAAAAAACUCUUACUAUAAGAGGCAACAUCUCAACACAAAUGUACAACACUCAGCCUCCUCCCCAGGCCACCACCAUUGAGACUCAACCAAUAUGCAGAAUAUAGCAUUGUAAAAAAAAGUACAGACAAGGGCAAUCCAGAAGGUGAUGUCAGGUCAGGAACAAGGUUAAUCCCAGCAGCAAAGGUUCACAGGUGAGUAAACUUAGACAAGGAUCAAUAAUUGGGAAGCACAUCUUACAUGCAAAACAAUCCUCAAAUGCACCAGCUCAACGGUCUUAGAACAAUCAAUAUGACAAAAAAGUACCAGGUAGAAACAAUAAUUUAUUCCAGUAUAAAACUACUUUAUUGUAAAGGAAGGACCUUAUACAUGUGUCUGCACCACCACCAACUCUAACGUUUUGAACGCAGGCUCGUACUUAAGUUAGAGUCCUUUAAUGUUGUGACAAUAGGGACUCUGAUGUAUCACAUGGCACAAGAGGCAGAGCCUCUUCCCUCCAGUUGGGACCAACUAGAGUUUGUGAUAUUGACUGUCAUGCUGCGAUAUCUGCUAGGCCGAUCUAAGUAGUUGUGGGAAAAAGUGGGAACUGUAACAAAUAAUACAGUUGAAUAUUGUGUGCUGAGUUUUUAAAAACCCUGGUUCCUGUAAAAGAAAGUCAGCGAUUUAAAGUUCGAGUCAUUGCACUUAUAGUAUAGUAUAGCAAUCAGCUGUGCAAGUUUACGCAAGUACCAACAGAUUAUAUAAAGCCUGAACUGUUGGUGCCUUCGGUAACAGGAACACCAGGGCUUUAUUGUCACAAAUUUAUCUUACUAAUGACUGUCAUAGCAUGUUAGCACCAGUAGACCUUGUCUUCUAUAGCACAAGCCUGCUGCCAGUGCUUUUUCUCAGUGCUGAAUGUUAGUGGAGCCAGCUGAUUGAGAGAGAGGAUGUAAUGUGGUAUCUCCUCCUCCCUUAUGACCAGGCUCUUCAUACAAACAGCUAUGAGCGGAAAGUAUAGACUGCAAUCAAGUUGCAAGGAAAGAAGGGACUGCUGUUGGCACCAUGUUAUCAUGGAUAAAAAUAUCUACUAGGGGUAGAGGAAGACCUGGAAAAAUUAAGCAAGGUUAGAUAAAAUUGACAUAGGUAAAGUGAAAGUGUUAAUUUGCAUUAUCAAUGUGCUUGAGUUUUGUUUUUUUUUCUCUUUUUUCUCUAUAGUCCAGGAACAACCCCCAUUUAGAUCACAUUGUUCAUAAACACUUGGUGAACUGAAGGGAAGACUCAUCAAAUCAGGCUAAGACUGAUGACUUAAUGGAAGUGUCCACAGGAUGAUUAGUGUGGACUCCAUCACCACCAGUCUAUUUAGCAGCCUUUUUAUGUUCGCUUAGAUUAAACUUCUGCUUAAUGAUACCAUCAGUAGAGGUAGUGAGUCAAAGUACGUUGCCCUACACUGGGAGUUUGAGGGUGAUGUCUCAGUUGCCUGGCAGAGUUUACAUGGACAAAAGUGGUGAUGGAAUAGGCCAGCUGAUAUGCAAGACUGCCAGACUUUGUUGGCCUACAGUAGUUUUUCUCUCGAGGAGUAAGAUAACAAGGUAUGAUAACAAGUGAGAUAACAGCUGAGAUAACAGAAAGCUAUGUGUUGAGGAGAAUUUUUACGGUGGAUCGUUUAAUGUUUGUAGCUGGGUUGCUGAUAAUUAAUGUACAUGGAGCUUGAUGAACACCCAUUUCCAGGUGACAUCUUUUGCACAAGCAGACUACGACCUGUCAUAGCCCUAAUUUUAUGUGAUCUAGGGUGUACCUUCCAUAAUUGUUUCUCCUAAAGAAAUAUAUUUUAACUAGAUCAAUCUUGCAGAGUGAAACUAUAAUCAUACAAUCUUCAUCUUCUGCAUAUUAUAAUAGUUGUCCCAUAAAAUAAAAUUCCCUUGUGAUACACAUAAAACAGAACUUAAGAAGGAAUACAUUUUCUUAGCACAAAGACUGUAUCAGUAAUAAUAUUACCACUUAAAUUCAGGAGACAUCCCUGCUGCAUAGCUGCAAAGCCAAUUAGAAAGAUUUGCAAUAUAACAGAACAUACGCAAAUAAUUUUAUGAUUGAAGAGCAGCAAGGAAUAUAUAAAAAACAGAGGUUACUAUGUAGCACUGUAAGUCGGUUAGAGUGUGUAAAGGGGCUCGUCUUUAAAUUAAAAGUCUAAAUGAUUAAAUUAUGUUACUUCAAAAUAGCGUGUGUGCGCAAGUUAAACCUGCUCUGCUGUGAACAGAAAUGGCGUGCUUUGAAUAUUGUGUUUCUGUUAUUUAUAGUAGUCCCAAGAGAACGUAAAGGAAAAUGCAGGGAUUUUUCUGUUUCGCGACUGUCCAGGAAACAUAUUGAAGAAGGUCUGAGUGAUCCAGUCUGUGAGUGGGACUCAUGGGAAUCAAUUUCACCUCAAAUGAUUCCUCCAUUAGAGGCCCCAGCAAAUUAAAAAUUAAGUUUAAAAGGAUAUUAUUUUCCAUAUACCAUUGCUAAGAUGGUUUGCCGGGGAUGGAAAAAUCCAUUGAUAUUGCUCAAGUUGUAAAGGAAAUGCGGCUUGCUUGGAAAAUGUCCUAAGUAAAAGAAACAUAAAUCAUAUCAUUUUUAUCCUUUUUUUAAAAUAAGGGUUAUUUGCUAAAUUGGGAAUUCUGGAGAAUUGCACAUUUUAAGCCAAAAUAGUAAUACUGAAAAUUUCUUCAGCAAUUUUUUUUUUAACAUGGUUAUUUAGCUUGACCUAAAAUUGCAAUUUACAUUAAUUCUUUAUUUUUUCUUUAUUUAGCUAAAUCAAUACUAAUAAUUAAAUAUGAAAACAUAGAUUUAAACAUAAUGUAAUUUUAGCAAAUGAAUAAAAGAUUUUCAAAAUUUGUGGGACAAUUCUCAAAUGUCCUACAGUCUGGCUAUUUUAGUCUAAUUUUUAUAAUUUUGUUUUCCGUUUAGUAUAAUUUGUUGUUAAGUUACCAAACCUUACCAGUGCUCAAAGUAUACUGGCUUCAGAAUGUGUGAUAAUUAGGCCAUGAAUAGAUUUUUUUUAAAAAAAUUAAUUACUUCAAUAUUAUUUAUAAUGUAAAUUGAAAAAGAAAUGACCAAAUAUUGUGUGCAAAUUAUAAUGGGCAGGGGAACUAAUAAAGGCACGUUUCUGGCCACCACUGGCAUGCAGACAGGUAUUAGUUCUUCUCAUUCAUGACCUAAUGCACUCUUGGAAGGGAGACAGGGGGGGAGUGGAGAAGAUUACAGGGGGGGAGUGGAGAAGAUUACAGGGGAGAGAGAUUACAGGGAGGAGGGAGAAGAUUACAGGGGAGUGGAAAUUACAGGGGGAGUGGAGAAGAUUACAGGAGGGGGGUAGAAGAUUACAGGAGUUGGAAAGGUUAUAGGGAGGGAAGUGGAGAAGGUGGAGGAGGGGGGAGAAGAAGAAGAUUACAGGGAGGGAGGGAGGGAGGGAGAAGAUUACAGGGAGGAGAGAAGAUUACAGGGAGGGAGGAGAGGGAGAAGAUUACAGGGAGGGGGGAGAAGAAGAGAAGAUUACAAGAGGGACAAGGGAGGGAGGGGAGAAGAAAGAAAGAUUACAGGGAGAAGAAGAGAAAGGACAGGGCAGAAGAAAGAUUACAGGGACAGGGGAAGAAGGAGAACACAGGAGGAAGAAGUAGAGGAAACACAUGGGGGGAGAAUAAGAGGAGAACACGGGGGAGAAUAAGAGGAGAACACCGGGGGAGAUGAGAACACAGGGAGGGGUGGUUGAGGAGAACACGGUGGAGGGAGAGACCACUAAAGAAGGGUUGGGGUGGUGGAAAGACCACUAGGGGACGGGGGUGAGGAGAGACCGCUAAGGGAGGGGGGUGGAGGAUAGACCACCAGGGGAGGGUGGGGGGAGAGGAGAGACAACUAAUGGAAAGGGGGGGCAGAGGAGAGCAGAGACCACUAAGGGGGAGAUGAGAGACCACUAAGGGGCAGGGGAGAUCACUAAGGGAUGGAAGGGAGAGCUCUAUAGGACAGGGGGCAGGACAGGGGGCAGGACAGGGAGCUCUUUCACACCACACGCACACACACACACACACACACACACACAAUGCAUCCCUGUACACACAGAAACACAACAUGCUUCCCUUACACACAGAGAAACAUACAAUGCAACCCUUACACAUAAAGACAAUGCAUCCUUUGCACAUAUACACAGAAACACACAAUGCAUCCCUUACACACACAUGCAAACACACACACACUGCUUCUCUUACACACACACACACACAUACACACACAGAAACACAAUGUAUAUCUUACACACACUCAACGCAUCCCUUACAGACACACACACUGCAUCCCUUACAUACACAGAAACACACUUUGCAUCCCUUAUGCAUACAAAUACAGAUCCACACAAUGCAUCCCUUACACACAACAAGAAACACACAAUACAUCCCUUAUACACAAACACUCACUGCUUUCUAUCCCUUACACAAAAACACACUGCUUCCACUACACACAAACACACUGCAUCGCCUACACAAACUGGUAUCCCUAUACACUACAUUCCAUAAGCACACACAUUAGAUCCUCUACAGUAACACAUAACACAUCCCCUACACACUCCACUCCCUGUGAGCGAACUCAUGGGUGGAACAUGUAGGUGGACUUAUGGGUGGGCCUUAUGGGCAUACUCACCGUCAGGCCCUGGGGCCCAGACCUUGAGCUAUGUAAGAGGCCCCAAAAAAUGGAGCUGCUUCCCGUUCUCCCAGAACAUUAAAUUUUGUAACCACAGUUACAAACAGCCUCCAGAUAUCCUGUUCUACACCAGACCAGUGGAGCCAGACUGCAGCCAGAGCCCAUCACCAUCAUCAUCAGAUUGUAAAUAGGCAAUCUAGUAUAUUAUUAGUGACACUAAUCUCUAAUUUACCUCACAUUAAAUGGACACUAUAGUCCCCAGAACCAUUGCAGCUUAAUGAAGUGGUUCUGGUGUCUAUAGUCUGUCUCUGCAGGCUUUUUAAUGUAAACACACACUGUGUGCAGCACUGGCGUUAGUUCAUAUGGCAGAUCAUAUGGGUGGGGCGUUGCGAUGUCACUUGGGGUUGGGGGGCGGCAAAUCUUUCUUUUGCCAAGGGCGGCAAAAAUCCUUGCACCGGCCCUGCCCAUGGACACUUACUGGGAUUCAAACCUGGGUUUUUCAGUUAUAAGACAAUAAUGUUACCACCAGCAUGAUACAAACUUUCUACAUAGGGUCCAGUUGACAUAGUAUGAUACUGCUAAACCCAAGGGAAGUGUGCUCUGAAAAUUAGUUUGUAUAAUUGUGAAAUAUUGAGAUUGAAUGUCAGUGUGUCUGCGUGUGUGCUUGUGUUAUUGAAAGUGUUAGUGUGAGUUUAUGUAGGGCUCAAAAUUUUAACUCACCCAUUAGCUGUUGGCAAGUGAAAUAUUUACAACUAGUGAUAGGUACAGUCUUUAGCAAUUUAUCAGACUUUUUUGUUGGGAACUAUUGCGCAUACAGACCUACCAGUUAUGGACACUUUGCAACUUUGUAUUUUUUUGGCUUUAGUCAUACAAAGGGAAGUUCUAUUUCCUGAAUACAGUUGGCAGCAUCUGAUAUUUGGAUUUCAAUUCAAGGAAUUGUUUGUUCCUAUCUAUACACGUGAAAAUAUGGUUUUGUAACCAUAUAACAAAGUCUGGUUGAGGAAGCAACUCGAAUUAUAAAUAACAAGUAGUGAAUAAGGUGAGGGACGAAAGGUCUGAAGAACAGUUAUAGAAUAUGGAACACAGUAAAAUUUAAAUUCAGAAGUAGUGAUUAAAAAAUAAACAAACCGGUGGUCUCUCGACACUCUUACUUUUUGGAAACUGUAGCCUUACUACCAUUUCCCUGUGUUUCAUUCCCUAAAUAAUGUUCUUCAUAUUUUAUUUACCCAAAUUAAAACUUAAUUCAAAUAAAUGUGUGGCAUCAGUAUGAUUUAACUUUUUUUUUUAAUGAAAAAUAAGUUGCAAAAAUCUUUAGUUAAUAAUAAAGCCCACUAGCAUGGACACACAUUGCUGUAACCCAACCUAAUGUAUCACAUGUAUAAUGACAUGUUUUCAGAACUUCAGAAAUAUGAUAUCAAUUAAAGGGACACAACAGGCUACAGUUCACCUAUUAUCUCUUAAUGGAUAGAACAAAAGAUGCAUUUAAGAAUAAAUACAAAACCCAUAAAAUAUAAAAGUAAUAAAUAUUAAAAAUAUACUAACAUUUUAAGUGCCUGUCUAUUACACUUAUUAUUAGGGCCUCUGCAAGGAAACAUUCCCAGACAAGGAAGUGACUCAGCCAAUCAUGAGGCUUGCUUAACUCUGUAAACAGUGCUGAGUUUAUACCAUAAGUCUCAGGACAUCAAAUAUUUUGGAAGUUCAAUUGUCACCUUUCUGCCAUAGAAAUUAAUUGCUGCACUUAGGGAGUGAAAGACAGAAACACUGUGUUUGUGGAAUACAACUGUAUUCAAAUGAUUAUGAAUAAUAAACAUAGCAUAACUAAACCUAAUACUUAGGGAAGUGCCUGUAGGGUCUCCUUAAUUCAUAUUUAAGGAAUUUAUCUAUUGACUGUUAAUGGUACACUGCUUGUAUUGUACAUGCUUCUCAACGGGAACCAAAACCAUUCUCAUGCCUGGUGUAACUGAAACAGGAACAGAUGAUCAAAAAUGUCAUAAUGUAAAACUGUUUCUGAAAAUAGAUUUCUAUGGAAAUUGAGAAUUUCAGUUUAGCUUGUAAAGUGUUUUACAGAUCAGCUUUUGAAUGACAAGUACAUGAAAAUUGUUAAUAUCUCCCAAGUUUAUUGAUUUUGUUUGUGUGCACAGAGUGUAUAGUUUUAAUUACUGUAUAUGUAUCAGUAUGUGAUAAAUACAAUCAGUAGUGGACAAAAUUGUUUAAAUAGCCUAUACAGUUUAUGUAGUGGUUUUCAGAGUACUUCAGCCAAUGGGGAUACAAAGUACUAGAUGGUACUACACAGUGAAGAUAGAAGUAUUGUCUCCCCCCUGCGGCCCCCACCCAUGAGCGGCGGGUGGUAGCCCUAAGUAAAAAGAGGACGGGGGGAUCUAAUGUCCUAGAGCCUCUAAACACCCCCACCACAAUAAAAUUAAACACUACCUACCCCCCUCACCCUAAACAUAGUGAGGAGGGAACAAAAAACGAAAUACCUGUAAAUGAAAAAAAUCAUACUUACCAUUAGAUGUUUUCUUUUUAAGGUCUCCCCUUAUUUCAAAAAAAGUAAGACCAAAGUGUUCUCACAGUAAAGUGAGAACAAGGUCCCUGGAUAUAAUUCAGUAUGUUAUAUAGAAGGGAUAGUGAGCUAUGUUGCAAUUUGAAAAAGUAGCUAUUUAUUGAUCUAAAUACCUACUUUUUCAUAUUGUAACCGUGUUAUUGUUUUUGCUAUAACUAUUGGUUACAUGUACUCUUACCAUAGCUCUCUAUCCUUUCUAUAUAAGAUACUGACUUAAAUACAGCGACCUUGCUCUCACUUUACUCUGAGAAUCAUAUUCUUUUCACCCUCCUUAUUGCACUAGCGACUGGGCAGUAGUUUUAAAUGACAGUGAGCAACCACUGGCUGCUCGCUGUUUAGGCGACAUGCCGCAAGUAGGGGCAUACAGGAGGAUUUAACCUCCCUUUUAUUAAUAUCAGGGUCAUAGUGACCCCCAUAGGUUUUAAUGCAGGUGGGGGUUAGGAAUUGUUAAUAUUAUUACAAGGAGGGAGCUGGUAGCGCUGCCGUCUUAAUCCUUGCUUUUUCUUUUGCACAUGUGCAGUGUUAUUUUGUCCUAAUGAGUGAAAAUAAAUACUUUUUUUACUGAAUUUCGGCCGAAAAACUAAUGUUUUACGGAUGAAAUUCGGAAUUGACGAAUGAAAUUUUUAUUUAGUACGAAUUCAUAUUUUACUAUAUAUUCAGCAAAAUCUUGUGUAUGUUCGAUACCUUUGCUUGGAAGCUAAAACCAGGUGGACUGUUGGAGGGCUUGACAACUUGACAGAGAUUUGUGAUUAUUUUUUAUUCAGUGAGCAAUUUUAAUGCUCUAUCAAUGCCAAAUUUUGAAUUUUGAAAUAACAGAAAUAAUUUGUACAGAGUAAAUUAACUCACUAACUGGGUGUGACAGAACCAUCUGUCUAUUUAUUGCGGUGGAUUUGUCUGCUUCUGCCCCAUUCGUGUAAAUGGCUGUUUUCUAUAGCCCAGCCAUACGACUGACUGUUUUUUCCCGAACAAACCUAUUGAUCCCAAUUAGAACGUUGUGGUUAACCGCAGACACUUCUCAAUUAAACCGAAUUCAGGGUGGUCGUCGUUCGUAUGUCGACCACGAGGCAGCGGCCAUUUAAAACCAUGCGAAAGCCCAGCGGUGUUCAGCUCUAUUUUCAUGGAACUAAAAACGGACACUCGAACACCGGCCGUUCGGGAGGUUUACAACACAUGAAAGGACUUAACCCAGAUAGCCUUCCCAUGGAGUCAUUCGUAUACCGAAAGACUGUAAGAACUUUGACUACAUGGCGAUUGAACUGUGUGUGUGGGAUCUGAGCGCUAUUCGCUAAUAAUAUGCACUCAGAUCCAGGCUAUCUGGGGAUAUGUGAUGCGAAUGGGAAAUGUUUGGUUAUUUUAAAGUUAUGUAUUUUUAUAUAUUUUUUUUGGUUUUAUAUUUCAGAUGGCGAUUGUCUUUGUCCUGGAGAUAAUUGAAUUUCUUCUCAAUUAUCUCCAGGGCAGAGGGCAGGAAACCAUAGUGCAUUGAGGGUAAAAGCUGUGACUGUACGUCUGGAAUGUCCCCAUGUCUGUCUGUCAUUACAGUCUCCCAUUUGGUCCCCUAGGGGAGUAUCCACCAAGUGGGAGACCUGCAUAAAUACGGGCAGGUAGCCCACAGUAAAGCCAGAUCCUGUUUGACCCUCAAUGCGGAGCUUCUGUCUCGUUAUUGGGGGGGAUUUAUUAUUUGCGUUUAGAGACUGCUGAUUGGAACCGAAAGCCGCUUGGUGGAUAUUGUUGUUCGGUGGCUAGCAGUAGUUCGUGGAGUUCCAUUUGGGAGGUUGGAGCCGUUCACGGAUCCCGGUCGGGAGAUUACCGCUUCCCCUGGUUAUGGUUCGUGUAUUACACAUUGAUGCGAAUGGAUUACUGAUAUUGCGAAAGGGGAAGGUGAACUAAACGGCGGUUUCCCUUAAAGACACCCGGGGUGUCUUAACACUGGGUUAUUUACUAAAGCGAGAAUUUAAAGUGGAUUCAAAGUGAAUUUCAAAUUUCAAAUCAAAAUAACCAAAAUGGAAACAUUCCCUAAGUCCGCAACGUUUUCAGUUUGAAAUUCACUUUGCUUUCUUACUUUAAUAACCCUGUAAAUAUUAAUUCGGCUCUGUGAGACUAUUAAAAGCAACUUCCUCACUUAAACCGAGAAACCUCCGCUAGGUCAUGCUAAUCUGAAAUUACAGUUCUGCAUUUUUACCUGUUUACCAUGAGCAUCAUUCUGUGCAUUGUGCAAGUACCUAAAUGCAUACACUGUGGUUUUAGAAGGGUGCAAUGUAAGGCCUUCAUGCCUUGCAUGUGCACAAACCCAAAUGGCAUCUAUGACAUGAUGACCUGCAAUUCAGUAAGGAGCCUUACCCAGUUCCUCUAUUCCCGUAUUUUUGGAUUCAUUGUACUGUAUCUGUAGGCUGAUGUCCAGUGUCCUUUUCUUUGAUCUGGUCCCUUUAAAUGUAUUCUGCCCUGGGACACCCAUUUACCCAUCUCUACCAUUGCAUGUUGAUGUAUUGGAGUCAUAUAUGGCCCCUUUUAUGAGAAAGCUGUGUAGUUGAACUUUCCUUGUCCCUGACAUGAUAGAUCUAUGUGUCCUCAAGUACAACUUUCACUGUGCUCCUUUCUAAACCUUGCUUUGUUUUUGGUCCUUCUAAACUGCAUUCUAACUGGUAAAGUGUUUCUCUUGACCUUUGGCCAUGAGUGUUAGUAGUCUUAGUCCUAUACUGUAUCUGUGUCAAAAAAGUGUAGAACUAUUGUUCUACACUUUUGACAUGUUUUGAUCUUGUUACCCUGUUUGUCAUCAGUAUAGUAUUAUUAUACACACUGGACGUUAGCAAAUUGAUGAGCCACUUAAACUCUGAAGCCAAAUUUAAACCACAGGGUUGGCUGAUGUUCCAUUCAGACACCAUGGCUUGACCUCUGGUAGCAGGUACUUCUCCUGCCAUUCCACACAAUAAUUUGUGGUAUCUUAUUGGAUUAAAAUACACAGAUGUGACACGGUGCAGAAAACCAGAGAUGCUCUUCGUUAAGGUACCAUUUACAUUUCCUGGGAAUAUUUCUCUUUGCACUCCAUGAAAAUCUGUCAGAACUUUUCCAGAUUCAAGUUAAGCAUUAGCUCUGCCAACAAGAUCAGCAGCUGAUGAGAGCCAUAAAUAAUGUACAUUUUGAAUCCAAAAUAAUGAAGAGAACAUAUAUACACAAGUAAGAUUUGAUAAGUGACAUCUGCAUGUGUUAAAAACAUAGCUUAAACGUUUCUUCCUCAUUUUUAGGUUUGCUCUUGAAAUUGAUCAUUUAAAGAUCUCCAUACUACAGCAAACUCUGUCAUUUGAUGUCCAUCAAAGGUGAGUAGCAUGUCUUCUAAAACAAUGAGCUCCACUGCACAGCCAGGUUAGCCAAUCUUUAAUGAUUUUUUAGUGUCAUAACAUACUUUAUCAAAUAGCCUAUCUGUCUGUUGAUUAUUAUUAUUAUUGAUAUUUAUAUAGUGCCAACUAAUUCCGCAGUGCUUUACAAUAUUAUGAAGGGGGGUGGGGGGGGGAAUUUACAAUAAAUGAUACAAUUACACAGUGGCACAGGAACAAUAGGUAAAUGAGGACCCUGCUCAAAUGAGCUUACAGUCUAGAUGAGGUGGGGUACAAAUACACAACAGGGCAGCAAGGGUGACAGCCACCAAACAAGGUGGAAAAGUAUCAGAGCUGGAGGUAAGAGUGGAGUAUGGCUCUUUUUGAGGACAAGAGACAGAUUUGGAUAAGUAUAGAUUGUGACAAACUUCCCUUCCCACGUGAGUUUGUCACGAGCUCCUGGAGGAGCCUGCUUGCUAGCCUCCUGCCCACAGACUAUGGGCUCUGCAGGGAAACCUGUAAAAGACUGUUUAACUGGCUCCACUGAAACCCUCCCAGCAGAAGAGCUGGCAUCAGGUCAGAGCGCAGCUGGCCUCUGCCCUACCUGUCUAUUGGUUCCGGGGCUUGAUGAAAAACGGGCCAACCCAGCUGAAACGCUGGCUAUGAGGCAGAGCGCCACUGGCCUCUGCCCACCAAGCAGGAUGGCCCCAUAAAUGAGGUCCAGGGAGAGGAGAUUGUCGGUCCCACUCCCCAGCGGCAGUAUGGUUUAAAAGGAGAAAGGACCCUCUCCCCAGCGGCUGGAGUUACCCCCUAGAGCGGGAAUUGCCUAUGUCCCCAGCGACAACUUGGUCCACAGGGGGGGAAGUGCAGCCGGGUUAUUUCCCAGCAGGGAAUUUUCUGGAUUUUCAAAAGAGAGCUUGUGGCUGGAGGCCUUCUGGAAAACUGCACCUUUUGGGAAAGGUCACCAGACUAACACAGACCCAGACAGAUUGGAGGUCUGGGGUCUGGAUAGUCUCCCCAGUAGGGGGAAGAUAUGUGACAAACUCCCUUUCCCAUGUGAGUUUGCCACAAGCUCCUGGAGGAGCCUGCUUGCCAGCCUCCUGUCCACAGAGUAUAGGCCCUGCAGGGAAACCUGUAAAAGACUGUUUAACUGGCUUGGUUCAUGUAAUUUCCCUAUACCGUUCGGAAACCGAACAACCGCAGGAACCAAGGACCACCCGGGAGCUUGUUAACCCAUAUAAACACAUUGGAACGGUUCUCACCUCAGUGUUCUAAUUGUUCGUCUGGGUGGCCGCAAUUCGUAUGAAUGACCACGAGGUGGCGGCCAUCUUGUUCGCAUGAACGCAAGCAGCGGUGUUUGGUUGUUAAGUUCAUGGAACUAAAAUCGGACACUGAAACACCCGAACAUCGCUGGACUUCCAUCAUCACUUGCGUUCGGUUCUGUAGGUCCUAGAAGAACACUGUUUGGUGGAAUUGUUCAUCUGGGUGAGGGGAACCAGCUCCUUGGUUCAAAUUGAGACUACAUUCGGUAUUUUCUUCAUUUUUUUUGUUACUGAAGUUGAUUGACCGCUAGCCCUGAUUUCAUGGAACUGUUUUGGGCAUAAGACCAUGUGCGUGGUCUGUCAAAUAAUUGACUUCCAUGGAAAAGUCGAACCCCUCAACCGAUCUGGGUGACUUUUGGACAUGUUGGUCACCCAGAUCGGGGCUAUCAGGAGAUGUAACUUUUGUGGGCUUUUCAUUUGCUUUGAAGGUACUUUUGGGGUGUUUGUAAAUUGUAUGUUUUUCUGUGCCUGGACAUAAUUGUGUUUGUACAAUUCCUGACUCAAUUAUCUCCCAGGCACAGGGAAUGAAUUACCCUGUUUUGUGUGGGAGAGUCAUGGACGUAUUUUCUGUGUCCUUGUACUGCAUAAAAGCAGGUCAUUGAGCCUGGAUUAAACAGAUCAUUUUACCCCUUUAUGAAGUCUAGGCUCAUGUUUGGGGGAUUGGGAGCUAUUUUCACACUUAUAAUCACUGUUUCACUUGGGAUUUGGGAGAACUACAGCGGAUAUACUCAGUCGGAGAAUAGGGGAUCCGUUAUAUAGAUAAGUUACUCUGGCAGUCCAUAAGCAUUUCUGAACAAAUGUGUUUUGAGGGACGUCUUAAACAAUUGAAGACUAGGGGAAAGUCUGAUGGAUGUAGGCAGGCUGUUCCAAAGGAAGUGAACCGUCAAGAAGAAGUCCUGCCAGUGCAAGUUAGCAGUAAGGGUGCGAGCAGCGGACAGGAGAAGGUCAUGGGCAGUGCCGAGAGCCAGAGAAAGGGCAUAUCUAUGAAUCAGGGAAGAAAAGUAAGAGGGACUAGAGUUGGUUAGAGGUUUAUAGGUAAGGGAUAGUAUUUUGAAUUGACACCUAUAGGAUACAGGAAGCCAGUAUAAGGAUUGACAGAAAGGCGAGGUAUGGGAGGAGCGACGGGUGAGAAAGAUCAGCCUGCCGGCAGCAUUCAUUACCGAUUGUAGCGGGGCAGUUUGGCUUUUGGUGAGACCAACUUGGAGAGAAUAACAUUAAUCCAUGCGAGAGAUUACUACAGCAUGAACAAGCUCUUUGGCAGCAUCUUGUGUGAGAAAGGGACGGAUGCGGGCGAUGUUUUUAAGGUGGAAUUGACUGGUUUUAGCAACAUACUGGAUAUGUGGGGUAAAGGUGAGGCCAGGAUCAAAGAUAACACCAAGGCAACGAGUUUGCAAGGAUGGACUGAUGCAAGUACCAUGAACUUGCAGGGAAAGUGAAGGAGGAGGAUCAGCAUUAUGAUUAUUAUUGAUCUUUUCUAUCACUCCAUUAUCACUCUUUCUGAGCAUCUAGCAUCUACAUGUAUGUAUAAAACCAUGAGUGAUAGCCUUCUAAGUUAUUAUAUCAAACAAGACCAUUUCUUCUCAACCAAGUAACUGUCUAAAACAGAAAUCAUGUUGCCAUCACCUGUCUCCCAGAUGCAAGGUCAAUCUGUUCUUUCACACUAUCAGAAUAACACUGGUGGAUCCCCUUCCAUCUAGUCUUGGAAUGCUCAUAUCACAUAGAGGCAAUCUAACAUACGCCUGAAUAUUAUGUCAUAAAUUUAUCCUCUACUAGUCCAUGAAUUCCUCAUUACGCAUUCCUACUAGUCCAUGAAUUCCUCAUCUUAUAAGGAUCUUAGCGUUUAACAGCCACGGUGUAGCCAGUUCCAAUGUAUCAUUAUGAGGUGUUCAGUCCUUUAAAGAUGCUUGGAUUUUUGAAUUGCAGCCUCACUUUAACUAAUAACUACUAUUAGAUCGAGCCACUUUAUUGUUGUAGUCCAUAUAUACACAUACCAACUUCAGAACGCGAUCCUGUAUGUACUAAUCGUGACCAUCUAGAAUUGUCCUGACUUUCUACUAUCAUCACAUUAAUCCAGUCUAGCCUGACUGCUACCAUGGCUAUAUACUCAGAGUAUGUCAUACUCUGUAGUCAUAUUGGUUGCCAUCAAAGUUUCAGCAUUCACAAGAAUCUCAAGUCAGAAAACUUCAGUUGACACCAACUUUUAAGGUGAAGACACCAGUUACACAUCUACGCAGACAGAUUUCAGUACUUUGUUACAUAAUAAAUUAUUUUCUAGAAGAUGACUAUAUCGGCUUCAAUCAAACUAACAGAAAGAGACACUAGCCUUGCUCUCUUCCCAUCUGUUCUCAAUGGAUCAUAAAUUAGACUUACUGACUACUCUGGUCAAUAAUCUCUUUGCCAUUCAGUAUUUGACCAUGCCUCCUCACUACAGACAAGACCUUGAUUAAUUGGACUAUAUGAAAGCCACAAUUGAUUUUAAAAACAUAAUCCCUAACCCUUUCCAUUUAUUCCUACUGAAGUUAGUGUUAGUAAUAUAUCAUAUUUCCAUUAAAUUAAAGGCAUGUUUUAUUCUUUACUUUAGUUAAAAAAUCAAACCUUUUUUUUAGCAUUCAUUUUAGAAAUAGCUCACUUUUUUACAGGUUCACGACUUUAUUUUUAGAGAAAAUGGUCCGUAUACCUGUAAAUGAAGAUAUAUGUAAACAGAAUUAUAUUAUCAUAUGAUUCUCUACAUAGAAUAUCCUUUAUUUUCAUAGAUUUUGCAUGUCUUUAGAAUGAUAAACAUAUGUUUGUUUCUUUUCGUUGGAGGCAUGCAAAACAUUUAACUAAAGUAUUAAAACAGCAAUUUUGCUUUACACAGAAAAUAAAACAAGCCUUUAAUUAGAGUUUUUUUAGUUGGGUUCCAGCUAAUACAGAUUUGAAUUACCAUUCAGCUGGGAUUCCUGACUAUAAUUUGGAAUUCAGAUCCCCUGCUAAAUAAAAAGUGGCAUUAACUGUUUUUGUGAAUUGAUGUAAUUAGUCUUGGUUAACAAUUUACAAAUCAACUAUAUAGAUUUCGGCAUUAUUUUAUAAAUGGAUAUAACUUUACAUCCUAAAAUUAUAUGUGCAUGUAUGCUUAUAUAGCUCCAAACGAUUACUGCAGCUCUUUCAGAAGUAGAAAAUAAAAUUUAGGUACAAUUUAAUCCAGUUAUAAUAAAUUUGACGAGAGGACCAAGCUGAUGUUACCAUUUUAAUUUUUUAUUUAAUAGGUGUUUACUAUUAACUAUAUAAUAAAAAGGAUGAUGUAUUUUCAGAAAUGUACUUCAUUAUUCCACAUCAUUAAUGCAGUGAUGUCAUCCCUGUGAAUUACAGGGUUUAUAAACUUAAUUCCGUCAAUAACAAUGUAUACGUUACCAAAGAGCGAUGGGACAUUACCAUUUAACAAACAUACUCCUGAAACCACUGGUCCAAACGCCAUGUCCAAAUCCCAACAAGAGCUGCCAUGAGAGACCAAUAGAAGGAGCAGCUCUGUAACUACUGUAAAGUCCUUUUCAAUCCUCUUCCACCUGGUCUUUUAUCACAUGCAAGAAAAUAAAGAUCCUUAGUGUUGGCUGAGCUAGGUUCUCCUUUUUAUGGAGAUGUUGACUUUGGGAUGGUUUUGGUGUGCGUAUGAGUCUCAAUAAGGCAACCAGAAGCAAGAGCCAGCCCCCCACCCAUCAGAAUGUAAUGUGAGCCUUUUUGUUUGUUAACAUUGUCCAUGAAUGGCUGUGUUUAAUACAACUAAAGGCUGCAUGAUUGUAUAGGAAUUGUUGGACUCCUAUUGGCAUUCUUGCAAUUUUAAGGUUUCUAAAAUAUAGUAGUUUUGAGAACUUAUAAUAUUAUUUUACUAUUGUAUGGAUGGAUGUAAAGCCCAGAUUUGAUUACAUUUCUUUUGGGGCACUGUAUGGGCAUUGACAUUUUCAAAUAACAAAAUGUUUAUUUUUUUAGGCAACUUUCAAUUUGAUGCCAAAUAACGACACUUGCAUUGUAGGACAUUUACCAAACACUUAACGGAUCCUUUCUGUGUUUCUUGUUUUAUUUAUAAUUUUGUGUUCAUUAUAGUAAUAUUACUACUAAUAAUUGGUAUCAUUGUGAAGACCAGCAGCAGAAUUGCACCUGCACAACACGUUUGUUUGUAAUGAUAUAUUUAGAUAGAUAAAAUCAAAAGGAAUAAGGGUCCUAUUCAAAUAAACAUGCAGAGAACUGAUGGCUAAGCUUUGGACCCCAGAUAUUUGCUAUAUACAUUUCCCAUGAUGCUAAGAUGUACGUUCAAGAAGAAGUAUGAUAAUAUUACUUCUUAAGAUACUUUUCCUUUGAAAAGCCAAUAUUUCGGGAUAUCCAAUUUCAGAAAUAUUUUUGUUAUCUCCAGCCUUCCAUUUUCUGGUCAAUAGCCUUUGUACUACCCCAUGUCCAUCCCCCACCCACUUUCUAUUCUUCCAGAGUUGCUCUCUCUUUUUUCCCAGGCCAAUAGGAGUAUUCUUUACAGACCUCUUACCCUUGCUAUUGUGUUCGUGGUCUACUUGUUCACUUUUUACUUUGACCCUUUUAUAGCUAUUAUAAUCAGUUUCUUUAGCCUUUGAAUUACGAGUUGUAGAGCUCACCCUAAUACACCUACUAAAUGACAGCAGGAGUAAUUUAAAGGACCACUAUAGUGCCAGGCUCUGGAAAGGGGAAAAGGGGUUAAACUUACCUUUUUCCAACGCUGGGCGGGGAGCUCUCCUCCUCCGAUCCUCCUCCGAUCCUCCCCGUCGGCUGAAUGCGCACGCGCGGCAAGAGCUGCGCGCGCAUUCAGCCGGUCACAUAGGAAAGCAUUCAUAAUGCUUUUCUAUGGACGCUUGCGUGCUCUCACUGUGAAAAUCACAGUGAGAAGCACGCAAGCGCCUCUAGUGGCUGUCAAUGAGACAGCCACUAGAGGAUUAGGGGGAAGGCUUAACCCAAAAAUGGGUUAACCCAGAAGGACCUGGCACCCAGACCACUUCAUUAAGCUGAAGUGGUCUGGGUACCUAAAGUGGUCCUUUAAGAUAAAGAGUGAAUAAUAUUAAUUAACUAGAACAGUUGAUCUGAUGCCUUAUUAUUCAAUGCAUAAUGCUUUUGGACAUUUAAUACCAAUAGUACUUUCCUUUUUUAUAUAAGGAGCAUAACAUAUUGUGACAAGUUAAAAUGACACAAUGGUUAAUUGUCAAGUGAAAUUUUAGAAAAAAAGGAUUAAAUUGCUAACAUAAUAGAUGCCGUCUGCCACUGUAUUGUUCUUUUAGGUAUUAUAUUAGUAUCAUAAUUAUGCUGUUCUGAUUGCUGUAAAUGUAUCAUCCUCCAUAAUAUAAUGACCUUAUAAAAACUAACCUCGAUCAGCAGCAUAAUGUAUGUACAUUAGCUGCAAGUUAAAAUAGCACAUGUUGCAGAAGAGAAAUGACUACUAUAUUUUACAAAAGCCUUUCAGCUUAAAUAUUUCUCUACUUUUACUAUAGUUGCUGUACUGUGAAUUUAGACCACAAAACGCAUCUUCCACAAGGAUGACUCCCCGCCGGACGUUACCUGCAGAGAGAUUGAUAGAAGAUUUACAGUGUUGCAUCUAUUGCUUUGGUGGGCGAAAAUGUAUCCAAAGGGCAUAUUUCUUUUUUAGUGACUUUGGGGGCAUGAAGUGUAAGAGAUGGGGCUCUAUCUCCAAAUUAUUCAUAUAAGUUGUCUAAUAUUUUAAAAAAUAGCUGUAUCCGUUUAAUCACUGCUGGGCUCUGUGGACCUGUUAACAAAGACUACAAUUUUAGGCUCAUGAUCCCCUGAUGAUCAUUCCCUAGAGUUUAAUGUAUUAUCAGACCCAUACUUUACUGCUUUGCAGGAAAUAAUGCUUCUGGGUGUCUCAGUUGUUUUUGCAUUUUUUUUCCGGCAUAUUUUAAUUAAUUUUAUUUUUAUUGUGCCACAAAUACAUUGGAAUGGCAAGUCAACAAGUCAGGGAAAAGAGAAACAACAAUGCAUUUCUGAUCAUCAGACUACUAAUCACAUAUAGGAAGAGCAGUCAACAUAGCAUUUUGCUGAGGAAACAAAGCAAGAAAUGCAAAAUGAUUAACAAAGAUGGCCAAAAGAGUUCAGAGAGAAAGCCAGUUAAAUGUUAUCAGCAGUGGUCCUGGAAGGUGGUGGUUAGACAUGGACACUCAAGGCUAUCAGGUUUAGAAAACUGGUAGGUCAGUCCUGGAAGACAGGCAUUGUGCAAAAACAGUUCUUGGAACCAUNNNNNNNNNNNNNNNNNNNNNNNNNNNNNNNNNNNNNNNNNNNNNNNNNNNNNNNNNNNNNNNNNNNNNNNNNNNNNNNNNNNNNNNNNNNNNNNNNNNNCUCUCUACCACCAAAGAUUAGAUUCAGUCAGAUCUAGACAAACUAAUAAUUGAAUAAGUCGGCUAAGAAUCUCGGUAGAGAGAACUUCAAGAAGGAGUAAUGUCCAAGAGAGGAACCUACUGCUCCUCGGUGAAGUGCAGCAGAUAGUGUUGUAUAUGGUCCCAUGUGAAACAAGUCAUACAGUCUUUAAAUAUAAUAGUACACAACAUUCUCCUUAUUUUGUGAUUUAUGUGAGACAACAGAAAGCUGGCUAGGCUACUGUUGCUGUAGUUGAUAUGUAUAGCUGCCUAACCUUGAAAGAUUAUUUAACACAUUGUGUUGCAAUUAGUGAUGUCGGGAACAUAAAAUUUUCGGUUCGCAAACGCGAACUUCCUCAAAUGUUCGCGAACCGGCGAACCGGGCGAACCGCCAUAGACUUCAAUAGGCAGGUGAAUUUUAAAACCCACAGGGACUCUUUCUGGCCACAAUAGUGAUGGAAAAGUUGUUUCAAGGGGACUAACUGUGGCAUGCCGGAGGGGGAUCCAUGGCAAAACUCCCAUGGAAAAUUACAUUGUUGAUGCAGAGUCUGGUUUUAAUCCAUAAAGGGCAUAAAUCACCUAACAUUCCUAAAUUGUUUGGAAUAACGUGCUUUAAAACAUCAGGUAUGAUGUUGUAUCGAUCAGGUAGUGUAAGGGUUACGCCCGCUUCACAGUGACAGACCAAACUCUCCGUUUAACGCACCGCAAACAACCGAAAACAGUCCAUUUGCACAACCACAAACUCCCCAUUUGCACAAGGUUGGAUACCAAGUUAGCCAUGUCCCGUUCCUUGUCAUCAUUGAUGUCAUUGAAGGUCUCUUCCUCCACCCAGCCACGUACAACACGAAGGGUCCCCAAAAGGUGACAACAAGCCCCCGGGACGCCUGCUGUGUUUGGUCUUCCACCUCCUCAAAGCCACCUUCCUCCUCUGACUCCUCUUCUUCAGACUCUUCUCUCUGCGUUGUCUCUCUCUGCGUUAUUAUAAGGUGUGGACACUUGGUUGUCCUGUUCCUCGUCCUCAGUGAUCUCACUGAAGGUAUGUCCUUCCCCGCAGCCACAUACAAACCACGGGUACCAGAUAGGUGGCAAUGAGCAACCUGGGAUGCCUGUUGUGGUUGGUCUUCUUCCUCCUCCUCAAAGCCACAUUCCUACUCUGACUCCUCUUCCAGCGUUGCCGCAGGUCCAGCAAGCAAUGCUGAUAAGGCUGUUUCUGGUGGUGAUGGUGACCACAACUCUUCCUCUUCACGCUCAUCUAUGGCCUGAUCCAGCACUCUUCGCAGGGCACGCUCCAGGAAGAAAACAAAUGGUAUGAUGUCGCUGAUGGUGCCUUCGGUGUGACUGACUAGGUUUGUCACCUCCUCAAAAGGACGCAUGAGCCUACAGGCAUUGCGCAUGAGCGUCCAGUAACGUGGCAAAAAAAUUCCCAGCUCCGCAGAGGCUGUCCUAGCACCCCGGUCAUACAAAUACUCGUUAACGGCUUUUUCUUGUUGGAGCAGGCGGUCGAACAUUAGGAGUGUUGAAUUCCAACGUGUCGGGCUGUCGCAAAUCAAGCGCCUCACUGGCAUGUUUUUUCGCCGCUGGAUAUCUGAAAAGUGCGCCAUGGCCAUGUAGGAACGCCUGAAAUGGCCACACACCUUCCUGGCCUGCUUCAGGACGUCCUGUAAGCCUGUGUACUUAUGCACAAAGCAUUGUACGAUCAGAUUACACACAUGUGCCAUGCACAGCACAUGUGUCAACUCCGCUGUCACAAACCACUUUGCCGAUCUCCAGUUGGUGCGGAGUCAGCCACUGAUCCACCUGUGCGUUCAGGGAGGACAGGAGUGCUGGUCUGGUGUGACUCUCUGCUUUCAGGCAAGUCAACCCCAAGACGUGACACUGCCGUAUCCGGGAUGUGGAAUAGUACCUGGGGAGCUGGGGGGGUGCCGUUGAUGUGGAGCAAGACGCAGCAGCAGAAGAGGACUCAGCCGAGGAGGUUAUGGAAGAGGAUGGAGUAGGAGGAGUAGAGGAGGUGGCAGCAGGCCUGCCUGCAAGUCAUGGUGGUGUCACCAACUCCUCUGCAGAGCCACGCAUUCCAUGCUUGGCAGCCGUCAGCCGUCCAUGCUUGCCCCAACACUGUGUGCCAGACAUGUCAUUACUUCCUUUUGCACAAUCGAGUACAGGUUGGGGAUUGCCUUUUGUGCAAAGAAAUUUCGGCCGGGUACCUUCCACUGCGGUGUCCCAAUAGCUACAAAUUUUUUGAACGCCUCAGACUCCACCAGCUUGUAUGGUAAAAGCUGGCGGGCUAAGAGUUCAGUCAAGCCAGCUGUCAGACGCCGGGCAAGGGGGUGACUUUGUGACCUUGGCUUCUUACGCUCAAACAUGUCCUUGACUGUGGGCAGAUGAGCAGGAACUGCUCAAGGCGAGAGACGGAGGGGCGGAUGGUUGAGAGGGGGCAAGGAGGACAGCAGUGGUUAACGUGGCUGAAGAUGCUGGACCAGGAGGAGGAUGGCGGCUUUGAGUUUGUGUGCUGCUUGUACUCAUGUGUUGAUCCCAUAGGCGUUUGUGAUGUGCGAUCAUGUGCCUUCGCAAAGCAGUUGUACCUAGGUGGGUGUUGGACUUCCCACGACUCAGUUUCUUUUGGCACAGGUUGCAAAUGGCAUCGCUGUUGUCAGAGGCAGAAACACAAAAAAAAUGCCAUACUGCUGAGCUCUGCAAUGACGGCAUUCUGGUGGUGGCAACAGCAUGCGUUGAUUGGCGUGCUGUCUGGCUGACGCCGGGUGCCAAUGCAUGCUGUCUGAUUGUGCCACUAGCUCCUUGCAACGACCUCCCCCUGCUUCCAACUCGUCUCCUCCUCCUCCUCUCUGUCUCCCCAUCUGAACUUCCCCCUGUUCUUCUUCUCUUCUAGCGGGCACCCACGUGACAUCCACGGAUGCAUCGUCAUCAUCAACCACUUCACUUGUAUCUGACAACUCAGCAAAGGAAGCAGCAGUGGGUACAACAUCAUCAUCAUCACACCGUAAGUCCAUGUGUGUAAUGCUGCCUGACUGAGACAUAUCCCUGUUAUCAACAUCCUCUGGCAACAAUGGUUGCGCAUCACUCAUUUCUUCCAACUGAUGUGUAAAUAGCUCCUCUGACAUACCAAGUGAAGCUGCUGUGGUGCAAGUGUUGGUGGUGGCGGCAGGCGGGUAAGUAGUAACUUGAGAGGUGCCCGAAGCUAAGCUGGAGGAGGAUGGUGGGUCAAGGUUUCCGAGCGGAAGCUGUUGAAGAUUUGGUGUCCUGUGUUAGCCAGUCAACUAUGUCCUCAGAACUUUUCGAGUUCAGGGUACGUGGCCUCUGAACACUGGGCAUUAUUCUAGGGCUAAAGGGAAUCACAGCACCACAACCACGACGGCCCCUGCGGGGUGGCCUGCCUCUGCCUGUCAUUUUUUUCGAUUAGUGGUACUAUGCGUGCAAGCUACUGUGACAACAGAUAUGAGUGGCACUGUGCAGUGGCAGAAGUUGGCAGAGUAGACGCUGUAGGCCUGAUACACACGCUUGCAGACAACUAACUGCUAUUCAAUCUAUUACAGUCAAAAAAAUUUUUUUUUUAAAUGUACACUACUGUUACACCAGAUAUGACUUGCACUGGUGUGACACUGUGCCCUGGCAGGCCCUGAAACGCAGACGCGUGAAGAAAACUGACUGCUAUUAUAUUACAGUCCAAAAAGUUUUUUGUUUUUUUUUAAAUGCAAGCUAUUGGGACACCAGUGAGUGAGUGGUGGCACUGGGCAGGCCCUGAAACGCACACUCGUGAAGGAAACUGACUGCUAUUAUAUUACAGUCAAAAAAGUUUUUUUUUUUAAUUUUUUUAAAUGCAAGCUAUUGUGACACCCAGAGGCUGCUCUAGUCUUUAUGAGGCCUUAGGUGAAACUCGAACAUGAGGCCCCACUAACAAAAAAGUGUCACAUAUACACAUUGAUGCACAGUUUACCUGUGUAUGUGCCUGAGAGUGUGUCUGACAGAGAGUAUCCUUGUGUGUGAAUGUAUGUCUCUGUGAGCAUGUUUGUGUUUUUGUCUGAGACCCUAUGUGUAUGGGGUAGCUGCUUGAAGUGUGUUGUGUGUAUGGGGGGGGUUGAUGGUGAGAAGGAGAGACGGGUGAUGGUGAGAGACAGGUGAUGGUGACAGGGAGGUGAUGGUGACAGGGAGGUGAUGGUGUGGGGGGUGAUGGUAAUGUGAGGCUGAGGGUGUGGGGGACCGAACAGUGGAUAUGUUCGCCAUCCGUGGCGAACGCGAACAAGCGAUGUUCGCCAGGAACUAUUCGCUGGCGAACCGUCCGGGACAUCACUAGUUGCAAUACAUCAUGUUCAUCUCUUUCUUUUGUAGUGCCUAAUCAAAGUAUGUAUAGAAUAUUUAAACAAGCUCACAGUUAAGAAGACUAAUUAUGUUUAUUAAACUCUUUACUUGCUGACUGUUUGCUAUAUUCUGGCAUUGAGACCAUUCUAAUUUGAGGAAGUUCUUGUUUUGCCUUUUGACCUUUCCCUUAACUUAUAACAUCAUGGGAGAUCUUUGCAUAAAGCUAGUGAUGAUUAAUGAUGUACCGAACGGUUCGCUGGCGAACGGUUCCUGGCGAACAUAGCAUGUUCGCGUUCGCCAAGGCGGCCGAACAUAUGCGCGGUUCGACCCGCCCCCUAUUCGUCAUCAUUGAGUAAACUUUGACCCUGUACCUCACAGUCAGCAGACACAUUCCAGCCAAUUAGCAGCACAGCCUCCCUAGCAGACCCUCCCACCUACUGGACAGCAUCCAUUUUAGAUUCAUUCUCAAGCUGCAUGCUUAGUAAGAGGAGGGAAAGUGUAGCUGCUGUUCAUAAGAUAGGGAAAAGCACAGCUAGGUUAGGGAUAAGGGGCGUUUUUUAAUUUAUUUUUUCUAUGUAAUUUAAUUGCACUUAGUUGCCACCGCUGCCAGCUUCUGUGUCAGGCUCCACAGUGCAUAUUGUCUAUUUUCCUGAGUCAGUGCCAACACAUCUGAAACAAUAGCUUGAUUUAAAACAAAAAACUUUUUCACUGUUAUAGAUUGAAUAGCAGUUAGUUAUCUUCGGGCAGGUGUGUUACGCUAACAGUGGAUACGGUGACCAGUGCCACCACUUAGAUCUGGUGACACAAAGCUUGGAUUUAAAAACAAAACACUUUUUUCACUGUUAUAGAUUGAAUAGCAGUCAGUGUCCUUAAAGCGGGUGUAAAGCGGGGCAUUAUUCUAGGGCUAAAGGGAAUCACAGCACCACAACCACGACGGCCCCUGCGGGGUGGCCUGCCUCUGCCUGUCAUUUUUUUCGAUUAGUGGUACUAUGCGUGCAAGCUACUGUGACAACAGAUAUGAGUGGCACUGUGCAGUGGCAGAAGUUGGCAGAGUAGACGCUGUAGGCCUGAUACACACGCUUGCAGACAACCAACUGCUAUUCAAUCUAUUACAGUCAAAAAAAAUUUUUUUUUAAAUGUACACUACUGUUACACCAGAUAUGACUUGCACUGGUGUGACACUGUGCCCUGGCAGGCCCUGAAACGCAGACGCGUGAAGAAAACUGACUGCUAUUAUAUUACAGUCCAAAAAGUUUUUUGUUUUUUUUUAAAUGCAAGCUAUUGGGACACCAGUGAGUGAGUGGUGGCACUGGGCAGGCCCUGAAACGCACACUCGUGAAGGAAACUGACUGCUAUUAUAUUACAGUCAAAAAAGUUUUUUUUUUUAAUUUUUUUAAAUGCAAGCUAUUGUGACACCCAGAGGCUGCUCUAGUCUUUAUGAGGCCUUAGGUGAAACUCGAACAUGAGGCCCCACUAACAAAAAAGUGUCACAUAUACACAUUGAUGCACAGUUUACCUGUGUAUGUGCCUGAGAGUGUGUCUGACAGAGAGUAUCCUUGUGUGUGAAUGUAUGUCUCUGUGAGCAUGUUUGCAUUUUUGUCUGAGACCCUAUGUGUAUGGGGUAGCUGCUUGAAGUGUGUUGUGUGUAUGGGGGGGUGAUGGCGAGAAGGAGAGGCGGGUGAUGGUGUGGGGGUGAUGGUAAUGUGAGAGUGAGGGGGGUAACGUGAGAAGGAGGAGGGGAGGUAAUGUGAGAAGGAGGAGGGUAAUGUGAGAAGGAGGAGGGCUGGUAAUGUGAGAAGGAGGAGGGCUGGUAAUGUGAGGAGGAGGAGGGGGGUAAUGUGAGAAGGAGGAGGGGGGGUAAUGUGAGAAGGAGGAGGGGGGUAAUGUGACAAGGAGGAGGGGGGUAAUGUGAGAAGGAGGAGAGGGUAAUGUGAGAAGGAGGAGGGGGUAAUGUGAGAAGGAUGAGGGGGCAAUGUGAGGAGGGGUGAUGUGAGAUGGAGGAGGUGAUGGUGAGGGGGGAUUGAUGCUGAGGGUGGUGGGCGUGGUGAGGGGGUGAUGCUGAGGGUGGUGGGGGUAGUGAGGCUGAGGGUGGUGUGGNNNNNNNNNNNNNNNNNNNNNNNNNNNNNNNNNNNNNNNNNNNNNNNNNNNNNNNNNNNNNNNNNNNNNNNNNNNNNNNNNNNNNNNNNNNNNNNNNNNNUAGAUAGGUGCAACUGGGUUGUAGGGUAGGAAGGGUCAAACAAGAUAUCUUCUUGGAUGCUGGUCUUCAGACACUUGGGCUCCAGGUUUCCUAUUUUAUGUAGUCUCCCUUUGAAAUUUACAAGGUUGAUCUUGGAUAUCAUUUAAGCUCCACAUUUGAAACAAUAUUGGGCAAUAUUACUCUGUUAUUAAUUACUACACGUUACUUGGUGAGCUUGUAGCACUUUGUACAUGUGCAUUACAUUGGUAUUUAAUUCAUGAUUGCCCUCAUAAAUCUGCAAGCAAAAUCUCAGCAGCUGAAUGAGCCAGUACUGUAUGGGUAUGUUUCGUCUUUCAGCAUUCUAUAAAUGUAUGUUAAAUGUUUCCUUAGAAUAAAUGAUGCAAAAUGUGGCCCUCCUGUGUAGUUACUUUGUUGUACUUCCAGUGUUUCUCCACUGAGAAUUGGGUUUUCUAAAGGAGUUGGUAAUUCCCACAGCAAAAUCGUUAAUGCAAGUAUCACCUAGGGAAAAAUGGUAAGGGGCUUUGUUUGGCUCAUUAUGUCUGUGAGAUCAUUAAGGAAAUGUUUACAUCCUGUUAAUGUCAGAUGUUUUGGUAUGCAGGGCAAGUGAAUAUUAGUCAUGUUUCAAUAUUCGUACGAUCUUUUUACUUCCAAAGGGAAACCCAAUAUCAUAGCAGCCAAAGAGUUAGCUAAAGAGGAAACGUUACAUCAGUGGGGAAGUUGCAAUCUAAGAGCUAACUACAAAUUCCUAACUUUUGUGUUUGUGUAACACUUUUUUUGUGCACAAUACAAACCUUAAAUAUCCUGUGAUAUCAUGCAUGUAAAGGCACCUGUGGUGUAAGGUAAUUAUGGAAAAAUUACGCCUGGCAGCGAAGCAUGCACUGAGCAUUCUGGGAACGUACAGCUGCAGAAAGCCCGGAACCUCCACCAGAGAUAAUUUUGUUUUGGCUCGCUUCUGCUGCAUGCCUCACUCCAAUAAAUGGCUUCAAAAGCAAUUUGUGAAGAGAGGAAAAAGGGACAGUGAAAGGUAAAUAGUAGGUCCUCUUUAUGUGCAAAUUUAAUAAUUUUUUGGUAAAUUCUGCUAAAUAAACUUGGAAGUUGUGCAAGAAAAGUGUCAAAGAAAGUUGAGGCUCAGUUAAUAUGCAAAUGAAAAAUGAAAUGCAAUAGCCAUGCUUGGAAAACUCAUAUAAGGAAUACAUAAGAUUCCAGCUAGUCGAUAGUUGUUGCCUUAAAGCAGGGGUGCCCAAUAAGUAGAUCCCCAGAUAUUGUAGAAUUACAUCUCCAACGAUGCCUUGAAUGCCUCUAGAAUGUAUUUAGAAUAACAAAGCAUCGUGUAGUUUUAAAACAUCUGGCGAUCUACUUUUUGGGCACCUCUGCCUUAAAGUAUGUCUAAAAGAAGUAGGUUAUAAUAUGCAAUUUGAUGACAGAAACCCUUACUUGUAUUUACCUAUUGUGUGUUAUAAUAUCUGCAGAGGAAGUGACUGUAAUAGGUCAUAUAAUCGUUUCGAAAUACAUUAUCUCAUUUUACUAUUUCUGUGUGGUGUCCAGUGGCGGAUCCAGGGGGGGCAACGGGGCAAUUGCCCCCCCCGAGAAAUCCGCCGGUCUCCCUCCCCUGUCAGCACAUGCAGGCGCCAGCCCUGCAAUGUGCCUGCGGACCGGAGGGGAGAUCAGAGCUCUCCCUCCCCGGUCCGCAGGCACUGUGCUGACAGCCGGCAGGGGAGGGAGAGGGAGGACCCGGGAGCUCAGCCUGCAGCUCCUCCGGGUCCUCCUCUCGUGAGAUUUGAAGCGUUGCCGCGGUGGCAACGCUCCAAAUCUCGCGAGAGUGAACUCUAGCCCGGGAGCGUGGGCUAGAGUUCACUCUCCACACUGGGACCACCAAUGGGAAUCCCCCACCGGACCACCAGGGAAAUGUCCCCCCUCCCCCCAGUAAAGGUAAGAAGGGAGGGGGGACAUAGGAUAUUCAUUCACACAAACUGCCCCCCCAUUCACACAAACUGCCCCCCAUACACACAAACUGCCCUAACACACAACCCCCCCAUACACAAACUGCCCCAUACACACAAACUGCCCCUAUACACACAACAUACACACUAAAUACACCCCUCAUACACACAACUGCCCCAUACACACAAACUGCCCUUCAUACACACACACUGCCCCCCAUACACACACACAUACUGCCCCACAUACACAUACAUACUGCCCCACAUACAUACUGCCCCACAUACAUACUGCCCCACAUAUACACACUGCCCCCCAUACACACACAAACUGCCCGCCAUACACACACAAACUGCCCCCACAUACACACAUUGCUCCCCCAUACACACACACAUUGCUUCCCCAUACACACACACACACACUGCCCACCCAUACACACACACACUGCCCCCCCAUACACACACACACACACUGCAUCCCUGACAUACACUGCCGCCCUCACUCACACACUACAACCUUCACACACACACUGCACCCCUUACACAUUGCACCACUCACACACACCACUGCUCCUAUGCCCUACUACAGCCCCAUUUCCCAGCAGAUCUCAGGUAAGUUGUCAAACUGUUCUUAAACGGUUUGACUACUUACUGUGGGAGGGGGUCCCGGCACUAUUUACACCAUAACCACUACACUGAGCUGUAGUGGUUAUUGUGUCUGGAUUAUUUCUUUAAAUAAUCUACAAGUGCCCCUCCCGAGAUCAGGCUCUGGAUCUGCCACUGGUGGUGUCUGGUGUACAGUUUUUCUUCUUAAAGUCUGUUUGUAUUUGAAUGUCUUCCUGCUGAAUAAUAGAUUAAAUAUUAUUUAUGAUUCUACACGACAAGUCAUUUAGACAGCUGGGUUUGGGCCUUUGAUGAAAUUUGAGAUAGACGUGCAAUAGUGAGACAGCCUUGUCAAAUUUUAAAUAAUUUUUCCUUUUUAAUAGAUAAAGAAAUUGCAAUGCCAUAACAGGCAUCAAACCCCAGUUUCCCUUCAUAUGUUGGUUUCUAAAAUUUGAGGUUGCUAGUCCUAUUAAUUUUCCAAGUAUCCAUAAAUCUCUUAAGUCCAUAUGGCUUUACUGAUAUAAUUUUUUUUGCUAAUAACAUAGUUUCCCAUAUUAUUAAAUUAUUCAACUUUUGCAUGGUUAAUUAGAUUGUUCUAAGGAUAAUUUCCAUCGGAUUUGUUCCAUGUCUACAUUAUUACUAUAACUAAGUCAGAUAAGGACAAUGUAGCAUGCUUGGAUUGCUAUCAAAAUCCAUAAAACCAUUUUAAAACUGAUAUUAGGAUACAAGCAGAUGUAUCUGCUGCAAAAUGUAAUAACAUUUUUAUUUUGAUAUUUAAUGACUUGGUGGAGUUAGGAUUGCCACCUUUGUUGGAAAAAAAUACCAGAUAUGUUAGCUUGCAUAAUGAGUGUAUAUGUAUGACAUCACAGGACGCAAUGUCACCUGGUGCUUUGUAAAAACUCAGGGAGUAACAUAAAAGAAAAAAAAACAUUUGGAAAGGGGAAAAUUUCCUAAAUCACUCAUAAACCAAUUACAAUGUGUGUACUUUGUCUAAUUGUGUGUGUAGCGUUGUGCAUGUGAAUGAGUGUGUAUAGUAGUGUGUCAUUUGUAUAUAACAGUGUGCGCAUACUACUGUCUGAAAUUGUUGCCUGUGUGUGUGUCAUUGUCUGUAUACUUUGUCUAAGUGUAUGUAUAACAGUGUAUGCAUACUGUGUCUGUGUGCCUGUCUCAAUGUCUUUGUAAAGUGAGUGUGUGUGGAAGUGUGUGUUUGCUGUGUCUUUGUGUGUUAGUCUGUGUUUAUAGCAAUGUUUGGACAUGCCAUGUAUAACAGAGACAGAUAGUCUGGCUAUACUUUAACCACUCUCCCAGAGUCCCUUCAAAGUAAAACACCGGCCUUGGCAUUGCUGGUAUUUUUGCAAUACCGGCAUUGGCCAUACAGCCUCAAAUACUGGCUGUGACGCCAGAAUACCAGCAAGGUGGCUACACUACACUCCUAUUACUUCCCCAUAAUGGAUUGGCCCAAGUUAAGGCUUUACCUUUAAGUUGGUUCAUCAAGUAACCAAUCUUAGCUCUAUCCGUGGGAAAAGAUCCCGGUGAGGCCUCAAAGUGGUACUCAAUCUGAUUGAGAAAUCCCCGGCAUUCUUGGAUAUACCCAUCAAAAUGUGGGGGAGGAGAUAGGGAGAUAGUAGGUGCCCUAUAUACUAUAGGUGGAGGUCCAGUAGGCAGAGGUGACAUAUUCGGAGAAACAUCAGGGUGGAAAUGAGCCGUCCGAGUAAGAAGCGUACUGAAGGCCUGAGCAAAUUGAUCCAUAUGGUGAUCAUUCUCCUCUAGCUUUCUCUCGCAAGCUGCUAUGUGCUGACACAAUUCUGCAGGUUCUAGGGCCCUGUUGUAAUGUCAGGAUUACUGUUCAUCCAGCACCCAGAAAUAGUAUCACACCUUGGACUAAGGAUAACGUAUAACCAGACCUUAGAAUGGCCGGACUUAACGUAACCAAGAAUAGUCAAAAUACUUGCCGAGGUCGGGGAUACAGAGUGAGACACAACAAUCAGGGAAAGCCAAAAGUCAAGGAUACCAGAAAUCAGGGAAGUCAAACGAAGCCAAAGUCAUAUACCAGAAAUACAAAGAUCAAGAACACUCUCUCGGAUAACCAGCUAAGGGAAACCACGACAGGGCACUGAACAAAAGGUAAUUUGGGUUUAAAUAACCCUCCUAAAGCUGUAAUUGGCUAUAUGUGACCUACGUGCCUGCAUGUCUAGGACGUGACGUCGCACUCAUGUAAGCGCCAUUUUUUAUAUGGGCAAAGGCUAUUUCUUUAUUUAAAAUGGAACCGCAGUGGCUGGCGUCUCUGUUAACGGCGCACACGGAAGGGGAACGGGAUGGAAAGAGGUCGGGUUUUGAUCUGCCAUGGGUAAGAUGAGUAUUUGUUAUUUCUGUCAGCGUGACCGCUGUUUUUCAGUGUGGCCACGCCGACAGAAACCCGCAGCACCGUGACAAGGGUCCCCCGGGUUCCAACAGUAAGGGGGGGGAUUGGUGGUGGCAUCGAAGCUACUGGGUUAGGUCUCUAUGGUAAGCAAGUCUAUUUUACAGGUCCUUAUUGGUCCUUGGGCUUCCAGUACAUGGUGGGGGGGAGAGAAUUGCAUAGUUCAUGCAGUGAUCAGCUGCUCUCCGGGAAAGGCGGCCUGUAAGGCGAUGUGAGUAUUCGCUGCUGCUACGUCAGACCCCUGGGGCAAAUUUUUCUUCUUGGGGUGGCGAGGAGAAUGUGGUCUUUCUUGAGUUUCUUCUCUGUUUCUCGGGAUGGUUGGUAUAUCUAGUAGUUGUAUUCCCACGGAGUCCAAAAAGGGCUCCAUCUCUGAAGCGCUGGAGAGGAUGCGAGUUUGUCCGUUUUUCUUCACGAUGAGUUUGAAUGGGAGUCCCCACAUGUAUUUCAGCCCAUGUUGGUGAAGGGCUAGCGUAAGGGGUUUGAAGUCCCUUCUUUUCUUGAGCGUGGUUGGGGCUAAGUCCUGAAAGAAGGUCAGGUGGGAGUCCUGAUAACGCGGUAGGUGAUCUCUAGCUUUUCUUUCACAUAAAAAUAGUGGAUGCAUAUGAUCGCGUCUCUUGGGCUCGUGGUGUUGAUGGCUGGAGGACAUAGUGCCCUUUGAGCUCUAUCCAUUUCCAUGUCUGUGGUGGAGAGCUCAGGGGCCAUGGAUUUGAAGAUGUCACUGAGCGUGGGGUUAAGUAACUCGGAGUAACCGUCUCUAGCAGGCCUCGGAUGCGGAUAUUGUUGCAUCUAGAUCUGUUAUUGAGGUCCUCAAGUUCAUCUUCAAUCAUGGAUAAUCGUCCGUGGAAGUAGGUGAUGUCUUGACCCUGGGCAGAGGUGGUAUUGGAGAGUUUUCAGAUCCUGGCCUCUAUUUGGUUGGUGCACGAGGCCAAGGCCUCCAUGUCUUCCUUAAGGCCUGUGAUCUGUUUACCCAACUCCGUGGCCACAUGGGCCUUGAUAUCCAUUAUGACAUCCCUUAACAUGCUACGGAGGACUCAGAUGGUGAGGGGAGCCGCUGGGUCAGCCUCGGUGUCAUUCCCUUUUGACUCUGAUCUCAAGUCUUCUGUGCGUUGAGAGUUGGUAGGCCUCCGCUUAGUUAGUAGUCAUAUAUGUAUAUUAAUUAAAAGGAUGCUGCAAGCACCAUAGCCACUACAUAUUGUAGGAACCAUAACCACGACUAACAAGCAAUCAGAAUCACUUCAGUGUUUUAUAACAAUUUAAAUGGGGCUGACCCUUUUCUCUGAAAAAGUUCAACAAUGUCAUCUAUUGAGAUAUAUAUAUGAUAUGAUAUAUAUAUAUAUCUCAAGAAAGUGAAUCUUUUCCAAACUCAUAUCAUUUGAGAAAACAAAGCAUUAUGUAGCCUAUCAAAAUAGAGAUUCUAAAUACAUUUAUAUUUCUAUAUAACAUUGUUCAUCAUGGUCCCUAGCUUUGCUGCAGUCUUUCCAUUGGGAAAUGGUUUAUAUAAAUUAAAUACUGAAUCAUGCCACAAGUCUAUUAAUAUGUGUUUGUGACUGAUCGAUAGGGGAUUUCUGUGCUAGAAAAUAUUUGAAUUAAAGAGGAUACGGAACAAGGAUAUAUAUCAAAGUAAUAAAAUAAAUAAGAAUAAUAUUAAUAAAAAUAAUAAUAAUAUAAUCAUUGUAUUUCUAGUAAAUUUGAAAGUACACUGGUGUUGAUCUAUUCAUUUCAUCCAUACAGGAAUAAAAAUAUUCUGUGAAUACUCUGUGAGGUGAAAUAGCAAUAUCAGUAAUGCAACCUGGGUCAAAACAAACGCAACAAUGAGCAAACAAACACAGACAAAAAACAAACCACAGUAAAGCACUGAAUAUUGGGUCAGACAGUUCCUGCAUGGUUGUCAUUUGUUUAUGUGGAAUGAUCCAAGUGUGCAUGCGCUGUUCCAGUGUUUGAGUUUGGCACAGCCAUUCGGUAUCACCAAAACCUCUCUGGAAAGAGAGAUACUGUGUGAGAGAGCAGCAUUGAAUACACUGCCAUGGGGGAAUACCACAGGCCUCAUUAUGAUAGUCUUUAUACGUGUGCCGUUUUAUACAGAUUAUUUUGUGGGCAGUUUUUGGUGUAAGUAUAAUGUUAGCAAACGGUAUGAAACUAAAAGGUUUAUCCACUAAACUCUAAAUUAUAUCACUGUUUAGUACAUUUGUUUGAUGAAAGAAUAAAUAUGGAGUUCAGAUUGUAUUUAUUUAUUAAUAGUCUUAUGUACAUAACAUACCCUAAAUGCAUUAAUUCACAGAACAAAGAAUUGUAGUAAAAUAAAUACUGUAAAAGCAAAUUUAGCUUAGUUAUGGUGCUUGGGUGUUCUUUUAACUGUCUUUUAUUUUGUUUGUUUGUGGUACGGAUUAGGAUCCAGGAGAACUGCAUUGGGUGAGGCAUUUUGGCUGUUUUAUGCUUUUAUUUUGGGAUUUAAAAAGCAAAUUUAGCAAUUUAGCAAACUUUCCUAAUUGUUUUUAUUUUGUGAUAAAUGGUCAAAAAUAUUAUACUAACAGGGCUCUUCACUAAAUUGAGAAUUCAAAGUGAAUUUCAUAUUGAAAGCCAAGGAAGCCAAACUGAAAGCAGUUCAGCUACUUUGACCUUAACUCUGAAAUUUGAAUUCACUAUAAUUCUCACUUUAGUGUAUAACCCUGUAUAAUGUUUGUGUGUAUAUAAGUAAACCACGUUGAUAGUUUACAUUAAGGCACCAACACUCCUAAACUGAGAGGCUACGCAAUCAUGGCUCCAAGAAUGUAUGGCUCCAAGAAUUUUAUUAUGAAGAUGAGUCUGUCUUCCCUUGACCUGUAUUCUUCAAGUGGUUUAUACAGCAGUAAUUCUGACUGUACCCCGGGAGUUUGCAAUUGUAGAGUAGAUGGUGUCACAAACUAUAUAUACAAUUACACAAAGCACAUCUUAUUAGUAACAUUAAAAUUAAGAGACACACACAAAGCACAUUACACACACAUGGUACACACUGUAGAUACAAAUACAUGCACAAAGUGAACAUAAAUUACACUUACAUAGUCCGUAAUACAAAAUACACAUGUAACAUGCUGUCACAUUCUACACAUACAUAAUAUUGAUACAUACAUGCAUGCAGAUACUUACAUGUUCAGAAGCAUUCAUUCCACGUACAUGGGCAUUCAGAUACAUUCCACAGGUAGAGAUGUCGCGAACCGUCCGCGAACUUCUCGCGAACGGUUCGCUGCGGUUCGCGGCGAACUGUUCGCGGCGAACUCCGGUCAGCUGACAUAUCCCGGCCAAUCUCCAGCAGACCCUCCCUCCCAGACCCACCUACUUCCUGGACAGCAUCCAUGUUGAAGCUGCCUUCAACAUGGAUGCUGUCCAGGAAGUAGGAGGGUCUGGGAGGGAGGGUCUGCUGGAGAUUGGCCGGGAUGUGUCAGCUGACUGGAGUUUGCCGCGAACCGCGGCGAACCGUUCGCGAGAAGUUCGCGGACGGUUCGCGACAUCUCUAUCCACAGGUACAUGCUGACAGAUGGAAGUUUAGAGGAAGGGGGAGCUUUGAAUGUAAAAUCUGUACAUUAAUACACAAAUACAUUAUUGUACAUGCAGACUCUGCGUGCUUGUAUUCCUUUGUUGCAUGCGUGAUUUUCUGGGCAAACGGAAUUAAAAACCUAACAAAUACUUUGAAGCUUUAUAUUUGGACUUAUUAUUACUAAUUAUAUUUAUAGAUGUUUUAUAAAUAAUACAUGGAAACAGUCUAAUAAAUGCAAAUAGAUUAUCCCCCCAAAAAUGUUUUUUUUCAUAGUCAUACAGGAAACAUAAUGUAGUUCAUUAGUCCAAUAACGGCAUGUGUUGUUGUUACCUGAACUGACUUUGUUCUAGUACUGACUGUUCAAUCAAACUGAUGUUUUGUGUUUGGCAUUUGGAUACAGACAUAAUAGUCAUUUCCUCUAAAAUGGAUUUACUGAAUACAUUUAUACAUAAAGUACUCUUGCCACAUGUUAUCGCUAGCCCUGCACAAGAAGGAAAUUAAAGUUAAAACAAAAAUAUAUUAAUAUCAUGUGUAUGCAUGCUGACUUUAAUGUUGGAGUAAAUUACAAUCCAGCAUCGGCAUUUGAUAGAUUUUUUGAUUUUUUUUCAUUUGACUGGCAUUCCAUCAGUGUAUUCAAGGUGCUAACAAGCCAACAAAUUCACAAACUGUUUUUGAAGUUAAAGGGUAGUUAAGUUAAAACUUGACAGUGUCACUCUGAAAUUGAGUGGUUCCUGACAAACUACAUGGAUCCAAAAUUGAUCUGGCCUGCUUAUUUUACCUUCUUCAUAGUACAUUACUGAUGAUCGUAGGUGAAAUAUAUUGUCAUUAUACUGUUGUAUUCUAAAUCAAUAGUGAUAUUCAUGUAUCCUUUAAAGGAACACUACAGCAUCAAGAAUACAAACAUGUAUUCCUAACGCUAUAGCAUUCUACCACGACUUAGAUUUAUGGCUCCACUAAUCAAAUUAAAAACAUAUUGGGGGAAAAAAAGGCUUUUAUUUGCCCUUUUUUCUAGCUGCUACUCAUUCUGAACAGCCUGCUCUACUUCCAGUGAUGUCUUCCUUCAGGCUGUCUCCUGUUUGUCUUCUCGUACAAUCCAAUGCGUCAUAUAGAGAAGCUUUGGGGACGAGAAGCACAUGCGUGCUGAGUGCCGCAUUAGUCCAAUCAAAUGCUUCUCAUAGGGAAGCAUUGAAUCCAAUGCUUCCCUAUGAUUACCAUUUGAUGAGGUUUGACAUUGAAUGUCACAUAACCGGGUCACGGUCGGUUAUUGCAGAAUAAACACACUCUUGUAGCUCUUAGGAAGACAGCCACUAGAUAUUUGUUCAGCUUUGCAAUGUAGACAUUGAUGUAUCUUCAAAACAGCAUUGUUUUAUAUUGUAGGACAACAAUUAUGGGACUUCUGCACUCAGACCACUUAAUUGAAAUAAAGUAUUCUGAGUGCGUUUAGUGGUCCUUCAAGCAAAUAUAAACUGGGCAUUUUUCUUCUUCUUCUUCUUCUUUUAUUAUUUAUAAAGCGCCAACAAAUUCUGUAGCGCUGUACAAUGGGUGGACUAACAGACACAUAAUUGAGAUCAGACCACUGGAUGUACAGGAACAGAGGGGGUUGAGGGCCCUGCUCGAUGAGCUUACAUGCUAGAGGGAGUGGGGUAUAGUGACACAAAGGGUUAAAGUAGGGAAUUAAAUAGUUUGUUAGAGAAGGGUUUAUUGAGUGCUUGGUAGGUCAUUUCUGACAGUUGCAGGAAAGGAGUCAUGAGGUGGGGGAUGAGAAACCUGCUGACAGUUUAAUUGAUACGCUUUAAUGAAGAAGUGAGUUUUCAAAGAUUUUUUGAAGGAGUGGAGGCUGGGUGAAAGUCUGAUUGAGGAGGGAAGGGAGUUCCAUAGAAUAGGUGCAGCCCUAUAGAAGUCUUGAAGGCGAGCAUCAGAGGUGGGGAUCCGGGCAGAGGAUAGGCAUAGGUCUUGGGCUGAGCGCAGGGGUCUCGACGGGACAUAUUUGUGUAUGAGGGAGGAUAGGUAUGUUGGAACAUCAUUAUGUAGGGAUUUGUAAGCAAGCGCCAGAAUUUUGAAUUGGGCCCUAUAUCUAACUGGAAGCCAAUGCAGGGACUGACAGAGCGUGGAGGCGUGGGAGGUGCGACCGGACAGGAAAAUAAGCCUUGCAGCCGCAUUCAUUAUAGAUUGCAGCGGUGCAAGCUGGGAACAUGUAAGACCGGUGAGAAGGGGAUUGCAGUAGUCAAGGCGAGAGAGAACAACAGCAUGAACCAGUAGAUAUGGGCAGAUGCGCGCUAUGUUCUUGAGUUGGAAGCGACAGGAUUUGGCUGUCAAUUGAACAUGGGGAGUAAAAGAGAGAUCAGAAUCAAAAAGAACCCCUAGGCAGCGAGCCUGCGAGGUAGAGGUGAUAGUAGCACUAUUGACUUGGAUGGAGACAGACACAGGAGUAGCAGCACUUGAGGGAGGAAAAACUAGAAGUUCUGUUUUGGACAGGUUGAGUUUAAGGAAGUGAGCAGCCAUCCAGUUGGAAAUAGCAGAGAAGCAGUCAGAAACACGAGUCAAGGUGGGCGGAGAGCGAUCAGGGGAGGACAGGUAGAUUUGCGUGUCAUCUGCAUAUAAAUGAUAUUGGAAGCCAAAGGAGCUGAUGAGUUUACCAAGGGAGGCAGUAUAGAUAGAGAACAGUAGGGGGCCGAGGGCAGAACCUUGGGGGACGCAGACAGAAAGGGGUUGGGGAGAAGAGGCAGAGCCAGAGAAAGAAACAUUGAAAGAGCGCUGGGAGAGGUAGGAGGAGCACCAGGAGAGAGCAGUAUCCCGUAGACCAAAGUUUCGGAGAAUGUGAAGAAGCUGUUGAUGAUCAACAGUGUCAAAGGCGGCAGAAAGAUCAAGGAGGAUUAGGAUAGAGUAUUGGCCGCGGGAUUUAGCAGCAAUUAAAUCGUUGGAUACUUUGGUCACAUCAGUUUCGACAGAGUGACCAGCACGAAAUCCAGACUGAAGGGGGUCAAGCAGAGAGUUGGAUUCGAGAAAGUCUGUCAAUCUGGCAUACACAACUCUCUUGAGGAUCUUGGAGGCAAAUGGCAGUAGCGAGAUAGGGCGGUAGUUGGAUGGGGAGUUGGGAUGAAGCUUGGGCUUUUUCAGAAUUGGGUUUACGGUUGCAUGUUUGAAGGUUGAGGGAAAUGUGCCAGAGGAAAGGGAGAGAUUGAAAAUGUUAGCGAGAGGAAGAGCAAGAGAGGGAGACAAAGUGCAGAUAAGAUGUGAGGGAAUAGUAUCGAGGGAGCAGGUGGUGGUGCGGGAGGACAGGAGCAGAGCAGAAACCUCUUGUGCUGUAGCAGGUGUAAAUGAGCAUAGGAUGGCAGGGGGAGUGGGGUUGGGUGAUGUAUUAAUAGGGGUAGGAGAGAGAUUAGAGAUCUCUUUCCUGAUUGUAGAGCUCUUCUCAGUGAAAUGAGAUGCAAAGUUGGUGGCGGACAAGGUAGUGGAAGGAGGGGGAGUCACAGGGCGAAGAAGAGCAUCAAAAGUGUGAAACAGGUGUUUGGGUUGAUGGGACAGUGUGCUUAUGAGGGUGUUGAAGUAGUUUACUUUUGCAGUGGAAAGAGCCAUGCUGUAGGAGCGCAGCAUAAAUUUAUAGUGGACAAAGUCAGAUGCAAAGUGAGACUUUCUCCAGCAGUGUUCAGCAGUUCUGGAACAUUUUUGGAGGUAACGGGUCAGCUUGGUGUGCCAGGGUUGUAGUUGGGGGUGCUUGCUGCGUUUAACUGUAGGAGGUGCCAUGAUGUCAAGUUGAGAGGAGAGAGUGGAGUUGUAGAGUGAGGUUGCAGAGUUAGGGCAGUUGAGAUUUGAGAUGGGUAAAAGGAGUGUUUGGAGUUUGGUGGAGAAGUGCUGGAGAUCGAGGGAGUUGAUGAGGUCAAGAUGAGGUCAAGAGUGUUUCCUGCAGUGUGAGUUGCUGAGGAAGAAAUCUGUGUGAGUCCAAAGGAGGAGGUUACAGAGGGCAGUUGAGCUUGUAGAAGAAAGAAAGCUAUAUGUAGUGGUUGUGGUGCAAAAAUCCUGUCCAAUCACUCACUGUAAAAAGGCAGUGUUCACAAUUUGUCCCUAAGAGCACCAUUAGUGGCUCUUACUUUCAUGCUGAUUAGUGAUUAUAGUGCCAGGAGUAGCCUGGUGCCGCACAUGUACGUUAUUGAACCAUUUUAGAGGUUAAACUGUUUUAGAGUGGUUUGACCACUUAUGAUGCGUAAGGGCCAAGGCACUUCUGGCACGAUAACUACUAUAGCACACUGUUAUGGUUAUGGUGUUCGGAGUGUUCCUGAAAUUUUGUCCACGGUACUAUACAGCAUUUAUCCCUUUCAAUCACUUAUUUCUUAAUAUCAUCAGGUUGACAAUCUAUGUUCCUUUCUCUUUAAUGGUUCUUUACUUAAAGGAUAAGAUGUUCUACAGUAAGGAUAUAAAGCUUGCCCAUAUUAUUAUUUCUGUGUCAUUAUUGCCUUAUCUCUAUACACUUUGCCUCUACUUAGGCUGAUUGAACGGACUUUAAAUGUCUGCUGAUAAUACAUUUGAAAGAUGUAAAAUUUAAAAUAAAAAUGUAAGUCCAUAAAUAUUGUAAUUAUUUGCAACCAUACACUUAAAUCAAUCAAGUAUUAUAUUUACAAGUUUAGUAUACAAUAGAGUAUGUUACUGAGGUUUUUUUUUCUCCUAUAGAUCAUAAGCUCCUUUGAGCAGGGUCCUCACCAACCUAUUGCUCCUGUAACAUUUUGUAAUUGUCUAACUUAUUGUUAAAUUUCCCUCUUUUAUAAUAUUGUAAAGCACUGUGGAAUAAGAUGGCGUUAUAUAUGCCAAUAAUAAUAAUAGGGCAAAUUAAAAAAAUGUUUUUACAAAAAAAUUUAGAUUUGUAUGCCUUAAAAUGUAUUUUUUUAUUGUUUUUUUAAAAACAAACAAACUUAUUUUCAAAGUUAUUUGCCAUGCAACGACAAGAGAGAGAUUCUCGCAAAUAUUUAGAGCGAUGGAUGAGAGCACAGUGGGGAUAUCAGGGAUACAAUUUAAUAAUUAAAAAUUUAUAUUACUGUUUAAACAAAUUCCAGCUCUAUGUGCAUUUACUAUAAAAUUCCAAAUAUUUGAGACAUGUAAAAUUUGAGUAGAGAACUAUUUUUACUGUUCACAAAUAAAAUGUUAAAAGGACAGUAAAACCUUUUCUAAUGCUACUUUAUAUGACAAAGUUAAUUAAGAGUGAUAGUCUACUUUUCAAUUUCUACUUAAUAUUUUUACACCAAUUGUUUCCUAGAUCAAGUGAAGAAGUGGCCAAUUGGGGGGGAAAGGAGGCAUAGUAAAAAAUGUAAUAUUUUUAGAUAUUUAUAUUCAUUUGAUAUAUGUUAUAUUGAAUAUUUAAAUUGAAUAUAUAAAUAUAUAUAUCUUUUUUCCUCUCUAUUGUUUACUUUCCCCUCUAUUGGUUACACUUAAUCUGUAAAUAAAAUCAACAUUUGGUGGCUGUCCCCAAACCACUAACAGAGAUUCAGAGUUGUGGAAUUUGGCUGAAUCUCCAACUAGCCCAAAAUUCAGACGAAUUGUGAUUCAUUUGAAAAUCAAAUGCUGAAAGCUAAUGAUUAUGGACUAUUGUUUUUGUUUUCUUUUUUCUUAUGUGUUUUGGUUCAGCCAUCCUUUAAACCCUAUAGAACAAGAUAGUGGUGAUCUUUCAAACCAGUUAUGACAUACCAGUAAUCCACUCCACCAUUUAUUUCAUAUUGCAAGUUUAGUAAUUAUCAUUUGUUUUUAUAUAUGCUCAUUUCACCUUGACAACUAGUCUAUGUUUAUACAAGAUAUAGAAUACACAAGGGGUUACCUGUACACAUUCACACUGUACAAGCUAUAAAUCUUUUAAACCUACAUAAAAAUACCUUUCUACAUUUUGUAGUCACACCUUAUGACCAUGUCAUGUUUAGCCAACUAUUCAUAUUUUAAAUAUAAGCUCUUUUUGACUAUGUUGGAAUUUAUUUCAAAUUCUAACGUAAUCCAAGUAUGUACGCAAGACAAAACAGACUAUUUUGUCAAUCUUUUUCAGUCUUAAAAAGGCAAAGUUUCCAUCACAAUUUUCUUAAUUCUCAUUUGAAUAGAUAUAAUCGUACACAAUGGGCAAUAGAUGAAAAGAUAACUUAUCACGCAUGUGCAAGAAUAGCAAUGGAAGAUCUUGAGAGAUAAUCCAUACAACCCAUUUUGUACUCCCAGGAUUACAUGUCCAAGAAAUUAAAUUUCAAGAAGAUGGAGGCAACUUUGUUGCUUUAUGUCUGUAUUUCCUUCUUUCCGUUUCCCUUUUAACCCCUUAAGGACACAUGACAUGUGUGACAUGUCAUGAUUCCCUUUUAUUCCAGAAGUUUGGUCCUUAAGGGGUUAAAGCUGUAUGUUAUGUAAGCUUGUAAGGAUAUACAAUUACGUAAUUCACAGCACUCACACUUCUAAUUAAAGCUUCUCCCUAACACAUUAGUAUUCAUCUGAUACCAGGUGCUUUUCCCACAUGUUACAAAAUGUUCUGCUGCCCUGACAGGUAGCAAUCAACUGUGAGACUACCCUGUUUGUUUUUUUUGACAAUCUUUAUUUAUCCAUUUUUUCCCCCCUUUGUUAUCGAGUAAAGGAGGGGGUUACAGAAAGGAAUAGGGGGAGGAAAGUCAUACAGUUGUUUGGGGUAUACAUUAGCAGUAGUAAACUUUCACAAUCACAUAGCAUAGUCUUGUGUUUACAUAUCACAAGGUAGUUGGGGACUGGAGGGUAUGCAUAGUGUUUAUUGCAAUUUACACCACUCGGUAUAGUUGUACGUCAUUUAUGGCUCUCGUAGUAUCAUACCCCAACUAUUUGGGUCUUCAUGGAGCCCAAGGGUGUGGUGUAAGCAAGGCAGGCGUGGGACCCCACCUGAGUCGGGAUGUCAACGGGCUGAGUAUGUGGGUGGGUCCGUCCGUAGCGGCACCUCCUCUUACGGCUCCGUUUUGGGUUUUUCGGUGUUGUAGUUGGAGCAACCGGACCCACCCCACCUGUGUCCAGGUGAACGUCCUUUGUAAAGUGUGUCCCUUUCUGCGUUUGGUAGGGGUUAGGUGGUUAAUACACCCCUUGAGUAUGUAUGCCAGGUAGGAGUACUGCCUGUGUGUAGUUGGGCUGAUCCUGGUGCUUGAGGUGGGGCCUAUUGUGCUGUUAUCUUCACAUUUGGGUCAUGUAUCUUUAGGCUUUUGGGGAGUCCUGUGUAUAUGUGUCUCUUUGCUUCGUUUUUUAGGGGUUCUAUCUACUGGCCUUCUACAGGUCCAUGCUUGGUAUAGCUCUCUCUUACAUUUGAGACUACCCUGUUAUGUAAAGUAGGCUUAUUAACCUAGAACACAUUUUUAUGCCAUUACAUUCACAUGCUAUAAAACAGGAGUAGGCAACCUCCGGCACUCCAGACCUUGUGGACCACAUCUUCCCUAAUGCUUUGCCAGCAUCAUGGCAGGAGAUGUAGUCAACAAUAUCUGGAGUGUCGAAGGUUGCCUACUGAUGCAAUAUGGUAUACCUGGUAACUUUGUAGGUAUUCUUGUACUCGCCCCUCCCAUUCUAUGGACAAAUGGAAAUGGUGGUUGUGGGUGACAAUGGAUAGAAAAUCAUAGCACUGCCUACGCAGAUCAUAGUGUGGAGUGCUAAAAGAAGUAGAAUUCCACAGGCGUUACAAUGUAGUGUGAAGGCAAAAAAAUUAUUUAUUGGAGAUCAAAAAGGACAAAAAAAGAUACAAUGUUUGGGCCUAGAGGCCUUAGUCAUGUAGGCCUCUAGGCUGAAACAUUGUGUCUUUUUUUGUCCUUUUUGAUCUCCAAUAAAUCAUUUUUUUGCCUUCACCAUACAUUGUGACACCUGUGAAACUCUACUUCUUGUUGUUCCUGGUGGGCUGCGAAAUCCCCUCCACAGAGCUCCUACUAAACUUACUUGUGUGCAGCACUCCUUUGACUUUAUGGUGCAGAGUGCUGCUAUUGAUGCAGUUUGGCAGGGGGCAGUUGGAUCUAAACGCCAUUCUCUGUUUACAGUUGGUAUUUCCUGGUCUGCUCUGGAGGCCCAGUAAUCAACUAGUCAGAUGUCAUACCUGAAGGACCUGAGCUAGAUCUGGCAAGCUACCAAAAAUUACAGUUACCGGCCCAACAUGUUUUCCUGUACACAUUUCUCUUGGAGAGCAUAUAAAAGCACUGUCUUGAAGUAUGUCGCUUUUCCCCCCAAGGGCAUUACAAUGAUUAAUUAAAUUCUCUCAGCAGCAUUUGAAUGCUCCAUACCAUAGGGCUGCAUACCUGUUGUGCCAUCUAUUAAAAAGCUAUAUGUGUGCAGGAACAGAUCAUGGGUCCAUGUUAUGUCACAAGUGGUUUAAAUGUGGAACACAACUGCAGAUUAUAAAUUUCCUUAUUUUUAUUAUAGAGAGUGAAAUGAGAAUCCUUUAAUUAAUAAGGUUACUGUAGCUUUAAGGCAGCGUGGCUUUUGCAGGUUGUUAGUUAAAGACAUAAAGCAUUAAUAAUUGUAAUAGUAUUUUAGUAGUAGCAGAUUUUAGCAAGCAGGUAACAGUUCAUUAGCAAAGUAAGAAUUCAGAGAUAGUAUCAAAUUAUAUACUUAUGAUUGUAGGGAGUUGUCCUCCAAAGACAGGUUAGUUUGAGUCCGCAGGAUGAUUAAACAUCAAGCAGUCCGGUUUCCAAUAAUUAGAAAGAGAGCAGUUAAAUCCAAUACACGGUCCGUGGUCAAAGGGAGAUGAGAAGGCAGGAUUCCGUUUAAACAGUCCAAGGUUCGGUACACGGUAUUAACGGAGAAGAGCCUAGCCGGCAAUGUGAUUGCGGAAGUAACAACCAGAAAUCACUAAGCAAUUUUGAAUCUGGCGCAGUCUCUCUAUAAGGCUUGAGAGAGCCGCAUCAGAGAGGGGACGGGGACGGUUCCGCAUACCGGAAAUGCCGGAACGGGGCUGAAAAGAUAAGUCCUGACAGUCCAAUAUAUCUACCAGGUAUGCUCGAUUGUUUAAUAAACUUAUUUUACAAAUUCCAGCAUGACAUUUUUAUUAAUGUGUUAAACAAUUUAGACACAAUAAAGAUUAUAUUAACUUUCAAAUAUAUAUUUUUAGAUAAUAUCAAGAUCUUCCCAUCAUUUAAGCCGUAAUGCAAAUAAAGUCUACUUACAGAACUGUGCCUUUUCUUUGUUUGUGUUCUUUUGAAAUGGCAAUACACCAUACCAUAAUUUUUUGCUAAUUGGGAAUAUCUGCUCUCGUCAAAAAUGUUUAGCAAACAGUAUGACUUGUUAAAUACAUUUCUGCAGCUGUAGCUUUUAUCUAAUUUAUUUGCCGUUUCAAAAAGGGCAAAAGCCAUCUGGAUUAUAUAACUUACAGUUUUCAAGACAGCUAAUGCUGGUUCAGAUUAAACACAGUCUUAAAACUAUCAAAGAUCUAUUUUAUAUUUACUUCUGUGCGUUUAUUUUUCAGAAAUCACACAUUUCAAGCAUAUUGUAUUUACAUGAACUAAUAAAAUAUGGUUUACAGCUCAGAGAAGCUUGUGUGAUAUUAACUGUGUUCUAUAAUUAAACCUAUUUACAUUUAAGCACAGUGUAAAAAUGGGAGGAAUCACAAAGAUUACACAAUCCCGUGCCUUAACAGUCAUCUAGAAAUUGAUUUUUUUUUUUUUAUCAUCAGCAGUAAAUAAAUUCAGAGCCUGAGGAGUAGGCAUCUUGUUCUGCUUUGGUAACCAGCCCGAAAGCUGGUUACCAAAGCAGAACAAGAUGCCUACUCCUCAGGCUCUGAAUUUAUUUACUGCUGAUGAUAAAACCAUGGAUACACAGAUCCAAGUAUCCCCUGCAGUUGCACUGGAAAAAGGGGUUGACCUCCCUCUGGACAUGCAACAAGAGGUGAAAGGCCUUGGGGGAACCCUGCGCCAUAUGCAAUCUACUCAAUCUGCGUUCCAAAUGAAACUGGACAUCAUGGAAGACCGUGGCUGGGUAACGAUAUCAAAAUUCGGGGGAUCCCAGAAAUAAUUGACUUGACCAAACUGCCACAUUACCUCCAUCAACUCCUCAUUAAGCUAUUGCCACAUGCCCAGGCAAAAAAGAUGUCAUUUGACUGCCACUCAGUCAAUAAAUCCAAACAGGCACCCUCCAUAGCCCCAUGGGACGUGACCAUCUGAUGCCAUUCUAUGCUAAAAAAAUAAAACAAUUUAUGGCCAGAGUGAGGGGCAAAGCCCCUUUCGACUUUGAGUCCUCCCAGCUUACCAUUUUCCAGGACUUGACAAGAAGCACAUUGCAAUGUGCUUCUGGGUUCGGUAACUGACCAGCUGCAAGAAGCUAAAUUGGAGGACAGAUUGGUACUGCCACAAGUCUUGGUGGUUCUCCUAGAUGGCACUGUAAGGAAACUUACCUUAUUUGGCUGAGGCAACAAUGCAGCCUCGAAUUCCCACACAUAAGACCCAGAAAGAUCUGUUCUGUUCGUCUUCGAGGUGGAGUGAGAGGGGAAACAUUGACCUGAACCACCUCUGAACUAUAGUCAUCAUCUAAUGUUAUUUUCUUUUCAAGUUUAUUCCUUGUUUUACUCGCCUGUCUCACCUGUGUUUAUAUAGACUAGGCUCCAUUUUUCUUGCCACUUGCUUUAGGGCACCCUAUCCGGUCCCAAGAGGGCUACAUGCUCUCAUUUUCUAAUAUACACCUCCCCAACCCCACAAUCUCAUAGGUUAGGGGUUGUAACUCGACUAAUAUUUUACAAAUAAGUUCUUUCAUAUUUCAAUCUCGAUUCAUACUUUAGUUGAAGAAUGUGAUGUAUAUGUACCGGGCCUGUUGCCUUUAUUUACAACUGUUUUGGCACAAUUAGUCUAACCAUCAUAAUGUGUUCCUGGCUCCUCCUAAGCUUCUCAAGUCUACCUCUCCCUACCCCCCCCCCCUUUUUCUAUAAGACUUUGUUAAAUAAAAAUGAGGUAUGGAAUUAUAAUCUGUUUUAACAUAAUCACUCAUUCACUCAUUGUGUAUUGUUCUGCCAUAUACUAUGUGUCUUGAUAUUCAACCUCAUUAAAAAAAAGAGCAUGAAAAAAAAUAAAAAAGGAAACCCAAUGCAGAAACCCGAUUGAGAUAUCUAAAAUUAAUGGAAGACUUUGUCAAAGCAAGGACAUUUCUUGAAAGUUUGAACACUCCACCCACCUAAAGCACUUUAACUUGCUGAGAUGAUUUGUGUGUGAAGAGUGUGUCCUGAUUUUUCAUUUUACAAACAGUGCACAUUUCAAUAGAUAUUGUCUGUGACGGAGCCCAGUCUGAAUACCUCCAUCUGUAGUCUCUUGAUGCUGGAGAAAGUUGCUUUUCAAUGAUUAUAACCCUUCCCAAACACUAGAUGACUCAUAGUGUAGGGUACAACAACAACAACAGUGUAUUGUCACCAGGCAGCCAUAUUUUAUAGGCACAGUAACAACAGGUGGUCUUCAACUGGGACAAUAGGUUACACACUGGUGCCUCAGGGGACAAGUUCAAUUUAAUAUUGCUGACUUUAUUCGAUCCCCAGACUUCAGGGCACCGAACUAAUAAAACAUACAAUAUCAUAAGUUAAAUAUAAUGUCUACACACAUAUUACACCUCCUUGGACAGGUCUCUUUCACACAAACAAAGUGUCCAAAAAGCACCCAGACCGGAUGUGCCUAGCCCAAGAAAUUAUUGAGUUAAGUUUGAUUGGGCUGAGGCUACAACAAAUCCGGCACAGAGCUCCAGGCUGCCAUGGCUAAGUGCCAGUCAAUGAAAUUGUCUGCUUUCUGUUUUUGUGAGAAAUUCCUGGCAGUCAUAUUCCCUAUCUCCCCUCCAAAAUGCCCUCCUGGAUGUUGAAUUGUGGGAACAGGAGCGACCGUUAGUUGCACCGGGCAGUCACACUCGACUAAGCUGACUAAGAGCUCCAUGAAGUUAGCACCUGGUCCCGUUGGAAGGGUUGGGGCUGUCCAGAUAUCCUAGAACAGUUUUCCAGCCUGGGAAUGGGGCACUCAGCACUGCAAGGGUUUGGAGAUAAUAGGGGAAAGCCAGGGAGUGAUCUCUUGUAUCUGUUGUAGUUUAGAAGUCCUGCACCAGUUAAUCCACAAGCAUGGUGCUGGAUCCACCACAUUGGCACCUUUAUAAGUUAUCCUUUUUACACCCCCUGACUGUCAAUCAGACAACUGGCCAUGUUACUUCCUGUUUUGAUUAGCUCAGUGGAACUAAACUCAAGAGGCAGCGAUUGCCACGAACACCUGGCUUGCAAAGACUUCUGAAAGUGGGGAAAUUACAACAGAAACCUACGGAACCAGUAGGAAUAUAUAAUCGAUGAUUAGUUUAAAUUUUGAACCACCUUUCAGAAUAUUUUGAUAAAUCUUAUGCAGCAUUUCGGUUUCUUCACCUCCAGUAUAAAGCAUGCCAUGGCUAUGCCAGGAAUAAACUGGAUUGUUAUGUCAGAUGAUAAAUAGUUUAAAUUAUAUGAAUUUAAAAGAAAACAGAGCAUCACGUAAAGGUUAACACAAGUUUUUCUUUUUUUUCUAUUUUAAAGAAUGGAGUUUUUCUAGAUAAGGGAACAUUUCAAUUUAAUUCAGACAAACAUAGAUGAUGCAAAACGAUUUGUUUUUAGCUUGUACAAUAAAGUGGUUAUCCUAAUUAAAUAUAUGCAUAUUCUUUUUUUUUUUUUUAAUAUGUCCUGUUUUAAAGGUAUUAUUUGUAAACAUAAGUGCUUAUUCAACUUACAGGCUUUUCAUCGUGGUUGCAAUAUGAUAAGGUAAAUUUCAGCCUGCACAUUGUAACUUGAUUGAUGUAUGAGUUCAGCCUAUAGUCAAGUUAUAUGUAAUGAGAGAUUAAGUAAUGGAAGAGGCUUCAAUGACCAGAAAACAAUUAAUAUGUUAUUAUGUUACUGGUUGAAAUCCAAUAGAUAAAAUCCCUACAUUUAUGUAAGGAACAAAAUGGAAGCUAGAAACAAAAAUCAACUAGUGGAGAUGUUUUGCAUUAUGACAUUUAUACACUAAAUAACACAAUUCUGAACAUAUAACAUAUAUAAUAACCAGAGGUCAAAACUUCUUUUCAUGAGGGCGUGUCCUGCAACUCAAUGUGAAUAGACACACAUCCAGUGAGCUCCUGAAAGCUGACCCAAACUAAGCUGUUUUAAGAUGAAUUUGAUCAAAGAUGGGCAACAAAAUGAAAUAUUCAGCACAUCAAGAACACCUAGACCCCAGCUCUAGCAAAAAACCAAGGGAACUCGACAAGUAUUCAAGACAAAGUGAAGGCAUUGGCGGCGGACGCAGAUGACAACAUGGCAUCACAAACCAGGCCCAGCGGCUCUCCUCCAAGAAGCCCAGCCCUCUCAUACUGUUCUUCACUGUUGAGAGAACCGGUGAUACAAGACCUCCUUCAGAACCUACUGUCCCAAUCAGAUCUAUGCAGGCACAAAUCUCUUCUCUGGCAGCAGACAUCCACCACAUGGGCGCAAGAGUUGAGGACCUCGAGGAGGAGAAGGAGGACAUACAACACAGGUUUAGUGCUGUGGAGACUAAACAAGGAGAAAUUGACUCUAAACUUACCUCAUUGGUACGCAACAUGGAGGAUCUGGAGAACAUGGAGGAUCUCACUCCACAGAAGAUCUACCGUGGAAAUUACAAGCCCUGUUUAACUCAAUCCUACAGCGCUCACCAGACUCUCCAAUAACCCUGGACAGGGCACAGAGGGGAAUAGCACAAGAAACCCCCAGGGACGCUAUAUGUAGGCUUCACUAUUAUGCAGAAAAGGAAUUUAUAUUAACCUCAUCUGGAGACUCACCAGCUCUAAAAGUGGAUGAGACAACCAUACAGAUCUUUCCAGAGCUGUUAUGGAUGACGCUACAAGGCCGCGAGGCUCUGCGAUCUAUUUCUCAAAUUCUUCAGGACAGUAAAUCAAAUAUCACUGGGGAUACCCAUUCUCCCUCACAGUCCUACAGAAUGGCAAACCAAUAACCAUUAAAACAGCUGCUUAUGUCCCAGAAUUUUUUUAAACCCUACAUAUACCCCUGGUGGACAUCCUGGAUUGGUAGAAUGCUACAAACACCGUCUCACCAAUGGCACUUCCGCAGAGGCCUAGGUGACAACCCACACCACGACAAACAUCGCAACAGCCCUACUCAUGGGCGCGACAAGACCAAGCGACGACAUGAGCUGGGACUUCAUCUAAGUCAUCCCGUCUUCGAUACAGGGAAGGUGGUAAAUAUUUCUACUUACAUUGACUUCUUAGUGGCACAUAAAGGUCUAACAUUAGUGGAAAAUGUCAAAAUAGGUAGCAUCACAUGGUCAGACCAUGCCCCUAUAACCAUUGCCAUGCACAUUCCGAAUUUACCAAUCACACAAUAUAAUUGAAAAUUAAAAUAAUCUAUCCUACAGAAUAACUUAAUUAAACAAGCUAUUUCUACAUCUAUUACACAAUAUUUUCGGGAAAACAAAACACCACUCCUCUAACGCAAUGGGAAGCACAUAAAUGUGUCCUGCGAGGAGAAUUGGUUAAAUGGGGCUCUACAAACAACCACACUCCUUACAAAUAUUAAAGAAUUAGAACACAAACACAGACACACUAUAUGAACACUGAUGAACAUUACCGCAAACUCAUAUCCCUUCGGACUGACCUUAAAAUACUUCUGAACGACAAAACUAAAAAGUCCAUCUUAUGGACCAAACAACUAUUCUACUCUCAGGGAGACAGAUGUGGAAGGUUACUAGCCGCAGCUUUAAAAACGCAACAACAAAAGGCCAACGAAAUAGCUGACGCAUUUAGAGACUUUUACUGUUCACUAUAUAAUAUGCAAUAUAUUUGACAAGGCAACUCGACUGUAAGAUACCCUCGGACAUGUACCGAUCUUUAAAUGCACCAUUUACAGAGGAGAAAUUAGCUAAAGCCAUUCGCUCGACCCUUACCAAUAAAGCACCUGUCCCAGAUGGUUAUCCUUCUUUAUACUACAAAACUUAUGCAAAGGAACAGUCCUCCCACUUUUUGGAAGCACUUAAUUCCAUCUUCCCCUCCCAUCUCAUCCCCAACUGAGGUCUUGAGGCAACCAUCACAUUAAUCCCCAAAACUUGGGAAAACCCACAUGAAAAACCCCAUAUCGUUGAUCAAUGUUGACAUAAAGUUAUUUACUAAAAUGCAGGUGAUCCAAAUAUGACCACUUUUACAGGGGCUAGUCCACCCCGAUCCGGCCAGUGGCGGAUCCAGAAGCUAAUCUCGGGAGGGGCACUGGUAGAUCCUUUUAAGAAACAAUACAGGCACAAUAACCACUACAGCUCGCUGUAGUGGUUUUGGUGCCAGGAUUUGCUGUGGUGCCCUCCCAGAGUAAGUAGUCAAACCAUUUAAGAAAUGUUUGAUAACUUACCCAGGGUCUGCUGGGAUAGGGGCUGUAGUGUGUGUGUGUGUGUGUGUGUGAGUGGUGCAGUGUGUGUGAGGGUCGCAGUAUGUGUAUGGAGGGGUAGUGUGUGUGUGAGAGGGGUGCAGUGUAUGUAUGGGGUAGCAAUUUGUAUAUUGGGAGCAGCGUGUUUGUGUGUAAAGGGUGCAGUGUGUUUGUUUGUGAGUGGCGCUGUGUGUCUGUGUAUGGGGGGCUGUGUGUGUAUUGGGGCUAUGUGCUUAAGGAGGGGGGCUGUGUGUAUAAGGGGGCUAUGUGUGUAAGGGGAGGCAGUGUGUGUAAGGGGGUGGGCUGUGUGUGUAAGGGGGGCUGUGUGUGUAAGGUGGGCUGUAUAUUUGUGUGUGGUGCAGUGUGUAGGGGGUUAUAGUUUGUGUGAGGGGAUGGGGGGCUGUGUGUGUAAGGGGGGCUGUGUGUGGUGCAGUGUAUGAGGGGAUAGGGGGGCAGAUUAAAGAUAUAUAUAUUUUUUAUUAUUAUUAAAUAAUUAAAUAAAUAUAGCUAAUGUACCCCCUCCCUUCUUAUCUUUGCUGAGAGAGGGGGAGACAUUGCUUUCUUUCCAGUCCCUGGCGGUUCUAGUGGGGGAGUGAACUCUAACCUGCAGCUCAGGCUAGAGUUCACUCUCGCGAGAAUGGAGUGUUGCCAUGGUAACCGCGGAAACAUUCCGUGAUCGCGAGAGGAGAAUCCGGCGGAACUGCAGGUAAGAGCCCCCCCCCGGGUUCUCUCUCCCUCCACCGCCCAGCUGUGUGGGCCGAGGAGGGAGAUCACGGAUCUCCCCUCCGGUCCGUGAAGGCAAACAUCAGGGCUGGUGCUUAUCCCUGCCAGAGAAGAUAAUGCGACCAAAAUCAUUCAUCUGAAGGAUUGGACUGGUGCUUUCUCGUGUUGACAAUGGAGACCUUGGGUUCUGGCCCUAGAUGGAUGUCCUGGAUCCGGGCCAUGUACUCGAGAACGAUGACUAGGAUCAAAGUGAAUGGUAUCCUGUCACGACCUAUGCCUAUUUCCAAUGGUACGCGUCAGGGUGCCGCUUGUCACUAUUACUAUUUAUACUUGUCCUAGAACCUCUCCUCCAAGCAGUACGCAAAAACAAAGUGAUAACAGGGUUGACGAUAGCUAGGAGGGAGUUUAAAGUGUACACUUUUGUGGAUGACCUAUUUACCAUAAGUAAACCAACACAGUCCCUUCCACACCUUAUGACAGAGAUCACAACAUAUAGCAACCACUCAAAUUUCAAAAUAAAUUUAGAAAAAUGCGAGAUCCUUAACCUAACUGUUAAACAGUGAGAGGCAAGAUCCCUACAGCAGACACCUAUUUCAAUGGACAGACAAGUCCAUCAAAUAUUUAGGCGUACACGUCACCCCAUCCCCAAAAGACCUGUAUGAGUAUAAUUGUUCAUGGCUGAUAGACUUCAUGGCAUCAGAUCUGAAAUUAUGGGACAAGCCCCACUUCUGGUGGCUAAGCAGAGUCAAUAUCAUCUUGAUGCAUAUUCUCCCCCGUAUACUGUACCUGCUGAACAUGAUCCCAAUACCAUUUCCCUGGAAAUAUUUCAAGACUGUCCAAUUCAUGUUCACAAAAUGUAUUUGAGCAGGGAAAAAACCCAGACUCGCCUAUCACAUACUCACACAUCUAAAAGACAAAGGAGGAGGGGGCUCCCUAACAUACUUCUCUAUCAAUAUGCCAUACAUAUGUCUAGGAUAAUAGAUAGAAUGUGAAUGUGAUGGCAGAUAAGAACCAUUUGGCCCAUCUAGUCUGCCCAAUUUUCUAAAUACUUUGAUUAGUCCCUAGCCUUAUCUUAUAGUUAUUAUAGCCUUUUGCCUAUCCCACGCAUGCUUAAACUCCUUUACUGUGUUAACCUCUACCACUUCAGCUGGAAGGUUAUUCCAUGCAUCCACUACCCUCUCAGGAAAGUAAUACUUCCUGAUAUUAUUUUUAAACCUUUGUCCCUCUAAUUUAAGACUAUGUCCUCUUGUUGUGGUAGUUUUUCUUCUUUUAAAUAUAGUCUCCUUCACUGUGUUGAUUCCCUUUAUAUAUUUAAAUGUUUCUAUCAUAUUCCCCCUGUCUCGUCUUUCCUCCAAGCUAUACAUGUUAAGAUCCUUUAACCUUUCCUGGUAAGUUUUAUCCCGCAAUCCAUGAACCAGUUUAGUAGCCCUUCUCUGAACCCUCUCUAAGGUAUCAAUAUCCUUCUGAAGAUACGGUCUCCAGUACUGUGUACAAUACUCCAAGUGAGGUCUCACCAGUGUUCUGUACAAUGGCAUGAGCACUUCCCUCUUUCUACUGCUAAUACCUCUCCCUAUACAACCAAGCAUUCUGCUAUAAUUUCCUGCUGCUCUAUUACAUUGUCUGCCUACCUUUAAGUCAUCAGAAAUAAUCACCCCUAAAUCCCUUUCCUCAUAUGUUGAGGUUAGGACUCUAUCAAAUAUUCUGUACUCUGUCCUUGGGUUUUUACGUCCAAGAUGCAUUAUCUUGCACUUAUCCACAUUAAAUGUCAGUUGCCACAAUUCUGACCAUUUUCUAGUUUACCUAAAUCAUUUGUCAUUUGGCUUAUCCCUCCUGGAACAUCAACCCUGUUACAUAUCUUAGUAUCAUCAGCAAAAAGACAUACCUUACCAUCAAGACCUUCUGCAAUGUCACUAAUAAAAAUAUUAAAGAGAAUGGGUCCAAGUACAGAUCCCUGAUGUACCCCACUGGUGACAAGUCCAAGCUUCGAAUAUAUUCCAUUAACUACAACCCUCUGUUGCCUGUCACUCAGCCACUGCCUUACCCAUUCAACAAUAUUGGAAUCCAAACUUAAAGAUUGCAGUUUAUUGAAAAGCCUUCUAUGUGCAACAGUGUCAAAAGCCUUACUGAAAUCUAGGUAAGCAAUGUCUACUGCACCACCCUGAUCUAUAAUUUUAGUUACCCAAUCAAAAAAAUCAAUAAGAUUAGUUUGGCAUGAUCUCCUUGAAGUAAAUCCAUGUUGUCUCUGAUCUUGAAAUCAAUGUGUUUUUAGAUGUUCAACAAUCCUAUACUUAAACAUGGUUUCCAUCACUUUCCCCACUACUGAAGUAAGGCUUACUGGCCUAUAGUUGCCCGACUCAUCCCUAUUACCUUUCUUGUAAAUGGGCACAACAUUUGCUAACUUCCAAUCUUCUGGGACUACUGCUGUUAACAAUGAUUGGUUAAAUAAAUCUGUUAAUGGUUUUGCUAGUACACCACUGAGCUCUUUUAAUAGCUUUGGGUGUAUUCCAUCAGGUCCCAUUGACUUAUUUGUCUUCACUUUUGACAGUUAAAAUAGAACCUCUUCCUCUGUAAACUCACGUGUAAUAAAUUACUCAUUUAUCCUUUUUCUCAACUGAGGUCCUUUUCCUUCAGAACACAAAUAUUCAUUGAGGCAGUCAGCUAGACCUUUAUCCUCUUCUACAUACCUUCCUUCUUUUGUUUUUAAUCUAACUAAUCCUUGUUUUACUUUUCUUUUCUCAUUUAUGUAUCUAAAAAUGUUUUAUCCCCCUUUUUUACUGACUGUGCUAUUUUCUCUUCUGCGUGUGAUUUGGAAGCUCUUAUAACUAGCUUAGCCUCUUUCUGCCUAAUCUUAUAGAUCAUUUUGUCUUCCUCACUCUGGGUUUUUUUAGAAUUCCUAAAUGCUAACUUUUUGUUUUUAACUAUUUUGGCCACAUCUGCGGAGUACCACAGUGGUUUCUUGAAUUUUUGCUUUUACUGACAAGCCUAAUGCAAUUUUCUGUUGCCUUCAAUAGUGCAACUUUUAAAUAAUCCCAUUUCUCUUGGACUCCAUUUAAAUUGCUCCAGGCUGAUAAUGACUCCUCUACACAUAUUCUAAUUUUAGAAAAGUCUGUUUUUCUAAAGUCUAAAACUUUUGUUUUUGUGUGGUGUGACUCAGUCACUGUUCUUAUAUUAAACCACAAUGACUGAUGAUCACUGGAUCCUAAACUUUCACCUACAGUAAUGUCUGAUGCAAAAUCUCGAUUUGUUAACACUAAAUCUAGUAUGGCCUCUUUAUACUAGAUUUAGUGUUAACAAAUGGGGGGGGGCUCCCUAACAUACUUCUCUAUCAAUAUGCCAUACAUAUGUCUAGGAUAAUAGAUUGGUCCAUAGGGCUGGAAUCCAAACUGUGGAUUCCAAUAGAACAAUCCUUCUCCACCCCAGUUCAGUCCAUGCCUUGGGCAUUUACACUAUCUGGAGAAUACCCAAUUACUGGCCAUCCAAUGAUUGCAGCUACCCUGCAGAUAUGGAAGAAAAUACUCCAACUAACGGAGAUAUCUCCACUGCCAUCACCUAGAUAUCUCAUAUCCCAUAACACACUCUUCCCGGCAGGAUCAAAAGGCUUCUUAUGGCCUGUAGACACCAGCUUAGAAAAUUUUCCUUUACGCACCUCUAGAAAGCAUAUAGGGAGAGUCAGGUCUCAAACCACUCGCAGACUCGUUAAACCGAAUACCUCGUCCAUAGCUUAAUCAUUCUAUUUCACUUUAACUAAAACACUUCACCUUCCCAACAAUGGCAUGAGAGAUAACACUGAUUUUGAACAGAUGUGUUCUAAAAAUACCCCAAAACCAAAGACUAAAUCUAAAUGUUACAAAUUACUCUAGUCCAAAAUGCAUCCUAAAUUUCCACACUAUACACGAAAAUGGGAACACCACUUAGGUCACUCGAUUAGAGAAAAAGAAUGGCAUGAGACCUUUAGCACUAUCUUUCAUGCACACUCCAGUGUCUCGCUUCACAAAGUCAAUUAUAAACUGGCUUUGGGAUGGUAUUUCACACCGACAGAUAUCCACCGCUUUGAUCCAACAUCAAUACCUCUCUGCUGGAGAUGUGGAAAAUCGAGAGAUGACUGACUUUUGGAAGUUGGUUGGGGCGACCAUAAGGCAUCAUAGUGGGUAAACAUUUCCCCUAGGAGGCAGAGGCCCUACUGCUUUUCAGAGUAGACAUACCCCUAACUAAACUAAAAUGCUCCCUGAUUUACUUCAUGCUUACAGUGGCAAAGGCCACAAUUACCAUGCGAUGGAAAACUAAGCUGGUUCUGAAUAUGAGGGAUUGGUUCAUGAAAAUAGAACACUAUUGAAUUCUUGAAGAACUAAGAUGGAACUCGCCAGGCAACUAUAAUAAAUAUACAUUAAUAUCACAACCAUGGUUGACGUACAUGACUUCCACACACCACCGAGAACCAACAGGUGUAGACACCUAAAGAGAGACGUCCACUAGACAGGUACUUUGGGCCUCAAUCAAUACACUUAUAUUUAGGUUACAGGACCGAUAAUACACUCUAUAGUGAAACCAGUACAACUGCCGCAUCUACUAAUCUAACAGUCACUAUAUGUUUAUGUUUACGAUUAGAUUUAUGUUGAUGAUUAUAUUGUUAACAUCUUUGGUUAUAGGCAACUUUUAAAUCUGAAUGAUGCGAUUUGAUGUUUAUGUCUAAUACAUUUCUGUCAUACUGUGUCGGAAUUAUGUAAACGAGAUCCCAUCUAACGUUGUAUUGUGCAAAAUGUAAAACUGUCAUAUACUCUGUCGACACAUGUUGACUUGAUACUCAAAAAAAUAUAUAAUAAAUAGAAGAAAAAAAAAUAUUUUCAUCACUGGAGUCUUAACAUUUGCUAAUAAGUGCUAUUUGUCUCUUUGUUCCCAAGAUCUAGCCGUUAUCUGUAAUUCUCUAUGGUCCAACAUUUAAAAAAAAGAAGCACUGUGGGAAGAAGACAGGCAGAUGGAGACAGUGAUAUGCUCUGGGCAAUGUUCCUCUAGGAAACAUUGGGUCAUGGCAUUCAUGUGGAUGUUACUUUGACACGUACCACCUACCCAGAGAUUGUUAAAGACCAAGUACACCCCUGAUGGCAAUGGCCUCUUUCAGCAGGAUAAUGCCACACUGCAAAAUAUGUUCAUGAAUGGUUUGAACAUUAAAAAGUGUUUCCUUGGCCUCCAGAUUCCCCAGAUCUCAACCAAUUGAGCCUGUGUGGGAGGGCUGGAACAAUAAAUCUGAUACAUGGAGGUCCCACCUCUCAACUUGCAGGACAUAAAGGAUAUUGGUGAUUAGUAAUGUCCCGAACGGUUCGCCGAACGGUUCGCUGAAUGGUUCGCCACGAACGGCGAACAUAAACAUAAACUUUGACCCUGUACCUCACAGUCAGCAGACACAUUCCAGCCAAUCAGCAGCAGACCCUCCCUCCCAGACCCUCCCACCUCCUGGACAGCAUCCAUUUUACAUUCAUUGUGAAGCUGCAUUCUUAGUAAGCUGUCCAGAGGGUGGGAGGGUCUGGGAGGGAGGGUCUGCUGCUGAUUGGCUGGAAUGUGUCUGCUGACUGUGAGGUACAGGGUCAAAGUUUAUGUUUAUAUUCGCCAUCCGCGGCGAACCGUUCGGCGAACCGUUCUGCGAACCGUUCGGGACAUCACUAUUGGUGAUAGAUACCACAGGACACAUUCAUGCCCCAUCAGAGCUGUUUUGUCAGCACGAAUGAGACGUACAUGAUAUUAGGCAGAUGGUUUUAAUGUUGCAACUGAUCAGUAUACUGCUGGUAUAAUCCAGUAUGACCUUUUAAAGAUCCUGCAUUUCUGCAUCUUUGCAAGAUGUACACACCUGGUUUUAAUAUAUUAAACUGGACUUGCCAUGACAGAUAUAGUUUUACCAUUCUCUAAUCAUCUGGCAUUACUAAUGUUAUACAAUUAAGUGUUUCUUUUCUUCCCUUAAUACUAUUAAAAGCUCAUAGUUUAAUUUGUUUACAUUACCACUGUCUUAUGCUGAGAACAUCUAUCAUGUUCUUCAGUGGGUGUUACACUUGCAUAGUUAGAUGGUUACAUAGGCUGAAAAGAGACAAGUGUUAAGUCUUUCUCACAUCUGUUUUUGCUGUUGAUUCAAAAGAAGGCAAAAAACUGUUUGAAGUGCUUUAAAAUUUUGCAACAAACUAGGAAACAAAAAUCCCAAAAUGGCAGUCAGAUCUAUCCUUGGAUCAAGAAGCUAUUACCCCCAAAAUUUUUAAUUAUUUCCCUAAUAUUAUGUAUUUGCAAGUAUUCAUCCAGUUGCUGUUUUAAUAUCUGUAUAGACUCUGAUAAAACCACCUCUUCAGGCAGAGAAUUCCACAUCCUUAUUGUUCUUACUGUAAAAAAAAACAUUUCCUUUACCUUAGACUAAAUCUCCAUUCUUCCGGUCUAAAUGCAUAAGCUUGUGUCCUACCUACAGUACUGUUCAUGAAUACAUUUCCAGACAAUGGUGUGUUUUGACCACAAAUAUAUUUUUAUAAUGCUUUCAUAUUUUCUUUGAGGAACCAUUUUUCUAAACUUAACAGAUUAAAAUUUGUUAACCUUUCUUCAUAACUAAAAUGUUUCAUUCCUUUUAUGAAUUUUGUAGCCCACCUCUGCACUUUUCUAGUGCCAUAAUAUUCUUCUUUAGAACAGGUGCCUAAAAUUGCACAGCAUGUUUAAGGUGUAGACUUAUCGUGUAUUUAUAAUGAUGCAAAAUUAUAUUUUCAUCCCAAGAAUUAAUGCCCCUUUUUAUACAUGACAAAACCUUAUUAGAAAGGUACAUUUCUCAGUAUGUACCAUUGGGUAAUAAAUACAAAAGAAACAAAUUAAAACCAAUGUGGCUUAGUAGAGAAGUAAAACAAGAGAUUAAAAAUAAGAAAAGGGCAUUUAAAGCAUUUAAAUCGGACAAAUCAGAUGCAUCUUAUGAAACAUAUAAGGAAGCCAAUAAUGCGUGCAAAAAGGCGAUUAGAUUUGCUAAACUUCAAAAUGAAAAAAUGAUCGCUAAAGAGAGCAAAACCAACCCCAAAGCAUUUUUUAAGUACAUAAAUUCAAAAAACCCAACAAAUGAAAGUGUAGGUACACUAAAAACUUAAUUCAUUCAUUAAUAGUUAAUGAAAAUGACCAGGAAAAGGCAGGAAUUUUAAAUAACUAUUUCUCCUCCGUAUAUAUUAAGGUAGAACCCAUGGCAAUAGAUGUGCAAAUGAUUGCUACUAAAAACUUGCAGAAUAAUUGUAAUUGGUUAACUCAAGACAAGGUGCUGCAGCAACUAAAGAAAGUUAAUAUAAACAAAGCUCCAGGGCCUGAUGGUAUCCAUCCACGAGUGCUUAAGGAACUAAGUGUAGAAAUAAGUGAACCAUUGUUUUUAAUCUUUCAAGAUUCUUUUCUUUCAGGAAGUGUUCCAGAGGAUUGUAGGAAGGCAGAUGUGGUUCCUAUAUUCAAAAAGGGUUAAAAAUCCUUGCCUGGAAACUAUAGACCUGUGAGCUUAACUUCUGUGGCAGGGAAAAUAUUUGAAAGGUUAUUAAGGGAUAAUAUUCAAGAAUUCCCUGAGAAGAACAUGGUUAUCAGCAAAAAUCAGCAUGGUUUUAUGAAGCACAGGUCAUGUCAAACUAACUUGAUUGCGUUCUGUGAAGAAGUGAGUAGAAGUAUGGCUCACGGUGUUGCAGUGGAUGUUAUCUAUUUGGAUAUUGCCAAGGCAUUUGAUACAGUUCCACACAAUAGAUUAGUGUUCAAACUCAAGAAAAUCUGUCUAGAUGAAAAUGCUUGUUCUUGGGUAGAACAUUGGCUUAAAAAUAGAGUACAAAGAGUUGUCAUUAAUGGUAAAUUUUCAAGCUGGACAGAGGUGGCAAGUGGUGUUCCUCAGGGGUCUGUUCUGGGACCCCUUCUAUUUAACAUGUUUAUAAAUGAUCUUGAAGAAAGCAUUGAAAGUCAUGUUUCAGUGUUUGCAGAUGACACAAAACUCUGUAAAAUAUUACAAUGUGAGCAAGAUAUUACUUUGCUGCAGAGGGAUUUAGAUAGACUGGGGGACUGGGCACUCAAAUGGCAGAAAUUUAAUGUUGAAAAAUGCAAAGUUAUGCACUUCGGCGUAAAGAAUACACAAGCAACGUAUACCCUUAAUGGAAGUGAAUUAGGGAUAACAACACACGAAAAAGAUUUGGAAAUUGUUAUAGACAACAAACUAUGCAACAAUGUGCAAUGUCAAUCAGCAGUGGCAAACCCAGUAAGGUAUUGUCAUGCAUGAAGAAGGGCAUUAAUUCUCGGACGAGAAUAUCAUUUUGCCUCUUUAUAAAUCAUUGGUAAGACCACAUAUUGAGUAUGCUGUGAAAUUUUCGGCACCUGUUCUAAAGAAGUAUAUUAUGGCACUAGAAAAAGUGCAGAGGCGGGCUACAAAAUUAUUAAAAGGAAUGGAACAUUUCAGCUAUGAAGAAACGUUAACACAUUUAAACCUAUUUAGUUUAGAAAAACACCGCCUGAGAGGUGAUAUGUUAACAUUAUACAAAUAUAUUUGGGGCCAAUACAAACCAUUGUGUGGAAAUCUAGUCACAAACCGGACUUUACAUAGGACACAAGGUCAUGCUUUUAGACUGGAAGAAAGUAGAUUUUGUCUAAGGCAAAGGAAAGGUUUUUUUUUUUUACUGUAAGAACAAUAAGGAUGUGGAAUUCUCUGCCUGAAUAAGUAGUUUUAUCAGAGUCCAUACAGAUGUCCACACAAAUACUAGAUGCAUACUUGCAAAAACAGAAUAUUCAAGGAUGUAAUCUUUUAAUGUAGGGUGAUAGCUGCUUGAUCCAAGGAUAAAUCUGACUACCAUUCUGGGGUCAAGAAGGAAUUUUUUUCCUAGCUUGUUGCAAAAUUGGAAGUGCUUCGGACUGGGCUUUUUUGCCUUCUUUUGGAUCAACGGUAAAAAACAGAUGUGGGAAAGGCUGAACUUGAUGGACGCAAGUCUCUUUUCAGCUAUGUAACUAUGUAACUGCUAAUUGACAUUGCACAUUGUUGCCUAGUUUGUAGUCUAUAACAAUUCCCAGGUUGUUGUCAUAAGUUGUUAUCCUUAAAUCACUACAGUUUAGAAUGAUAGUUGCUUGUGCAUUCCUUACCCCGGAGGGCAUAUCUUUGCAUUAAAUUGAAUCUGACAUUUGAGUGCCCAGCCCCCAAUCUAUUUAAAUCCCUCUGCAGCAAAGUAAUAUCCUGUUCAUAUUGUAUUACUUUACAUAGUUUUGUGUCAUCAAGAUAAUUUAUAAAUAUGUUUAAUAAAAUCGGUCCCAGAAAAGAAGCCUGAGGAAAACCACUUUUGUUCAGCUUGAAUAUUUACCAUUGUUCUACCCAAGCAAAUGUUCUACCCAAAGAACAAUAAUUUUUUGGAAAUUAAUGUCUUGUAGCUUGAACACUAACCUAUUAUUUGGAACCGCAUCGAAAGUCUUGGCAAAAAACAAGCAGAUCACAUCCACUGCAACACCCUGAUCUAUACUUCUACUUACCUCUUCGUAUGAAUGCAAUUGUUAGUUUGAUGUGACCUAUGUUUCAUAAAACCAUGCUGAUUUUUGCUAAUAACAAUAUUUUUCCCAAUUAAUUCUUGAAUAUUAUUCUUUAAUAAUCCUUCAAAUACUUUCCCAGUUACAGAAGUUAAGCUUACAGGUUUAAAGUUCCAAGGCAAAUAUGUUGUGCCCUUUUUAAAUAUUCAAACCACAUCUGCCUUCCUCUAAUUAUCUAGUACAAUUCCUGAAAGAAAAGAAUCCUGAAAAAUUAAAAACAGAGGUUUACUUAUGUAAACACUUAACUCCUUGAGUACUCAUUGGUGAAUACCAUAAGGCCCCAGAGCUUUGUUUACAUUCACUUUCUUUAGUUCCUGCAGCCCAUUGUCUUGAGUAAGACACACUAAUAUUCAUAUUUUCUGGCACAUAAUGUCUGACAAUAUUGUCAAGCGCUGCGGAAUUAGUUGGCACUAAAUAUCAAUAAUAAUAAUUCCCAAAACAAGUUAAAAGUCCCAUACAUUUAUGUUGGCUUUAUGGGAUUUAAAUAAAAUAAAAAUAAAACACGCGUGUGCUUUUUCUUUCCAUUCCCAGGUUUCCUGUCCAAAGUCCCUGCAAUAAAUUAUUCUGACUCUUUCUCCGGUUUUGCUUUCCCAUUGGCUGAAGGCAUGCAGGAGGGACAACUAGAGGAAGGUUUUCCUGAUAACAGACAUGCCAAGCACAUCAUUCUGACAGGAGAGGGAAAAGGCUGUGUUUUAAUAUCUGAUUUUAAAGAUAUCAAAACAUUUGCUAGCAAUUCAACUAACACAAUUUACAGAUGAAAAGUGAUUAUCGAUCAUUUAAAAUCAAACUUUAUUUGUUGAGGCAGGUACCAUUUAAACAUUAAAUUAUGUCUGUUUUAUGAGAGAACAAAAAUAAAACUAUGAAUUUAUGAUAUUUUAAGCCACUUACAUUUCUGUUAGAUCAUUGAUGAUGUUACAAUUUAUGCAUGGAAUUUAUGAAAAGAGUGUAGUUUAUUGGUAUAUUACAACUGGAAAAGGCAGAAUUACGCAGCAAUUGUGGUUGAGCACUAUGGCAAGAUGAUAAAAAUACCAAUACAUUGGGUAUGUGGAAAGGGGCAAAUAGGGAAGCAGAACCUUCAAUAAUGUCCUCAAAUCCCAAAAAAGUAUAGGAUGAUAUGAAAUGAUAAGAAGACAAUCAAACGAAAUCUAGUGCAGUAUUUUCGUUGCCAUUGAUAUUGAAUAAAAAAUAAAGACAUACACUUACAAUUUUCUGGAGCUCAAAAUCAGCUCCAGAUAUAUUCGCUUGGACGGUACGAUCCCCAUCAAUGGACAUGCUGGUAUAGGUCCUUGUUCUCUGUUGGGAGAUAUCUCGGGAGGCUUGUCAGCGGUGGGCAGCAAUUACCAGUUGCUGGAGAUGUUUUCUUUCAGUGCGUUGUAUUUCAGCAGUACGAGUACACCAGCAGAGAAAUAUAAAAACAGAAAAUAUUGCUCUCUAUAUAGAUAAAUAGGAAAUAAAAAGGAUAAAAAGGAGGUAUACUCACAAAAGGAGAGCAAAGUCAAGUUUUGCUCAAUCCUAUAAAGCAUAGGUGGUAUUUUUCCCACCUAGGAAAUUGAAGUAUUGUGGAAACUGAAGUAUGGUAUUAAAUCAUGUACAAAUUGGAUUGUCCUGGCUUACAUCAACUGACUUUAUAGCUGUUAUGUUGGCUUAUGCCAGGGGUAGGAAACCUACGGCACUUCAGCUGACUAUAACUCCAUAACACUCUUGCAGCCUUCAUGCUGGCAAAGCAUCAGGGUAAUGUAGUUCACAACACCCUGAGUGCCAAAGGUUGCCAAUUCCUUCCUUAAGCACAAUCAUUGUUAAGUUUAUAUCACAUUAUCUGUUUCAUAAUAAUCACUAUGUUGUUCUACAAAUGCUAUAUGUUAUGAAUAAAAAAUGUAAAAAAAAAAAAAAGAUAGACAGAUUAUACCUUGCAUAGAAAAAAAUUACUUUGCAGAGUUAUUAAGAAAAUGAUAUAUGAAAUAAAUGCCCAUAACUCACACUUUUAUGAUUGACAAGAUCCCUUUAAAUAAAAUGAUCAACUGUGAACAAACAAGAAAAGUAGAAUUUAGCUAAUGUUACUUUUUUCAUACCCAGAUUCUUCAAAGUUUCGGGUAAGAUGUGUUGAAUGAAGGGAAGGUGAUUGCUGAACAGAGACUGCUUGAGAUACACAAGAAUAGAAAUAGCGUGAUAUUUGUAAAUGAGGUGUGAGAAAGCAUUAUUUUCACAUUUAUUAAACAUAAAAUUAAACUCUGAUUUUUUUUAACACUUUCAUGCAUAAGAAACCUAUGGUACACUGACAGUACAUUUACAUAUUUUCCAAAUAUUUUUUUAAUUUCCUUUUCAUUUUUAAGUCAUACAGCUAAAAAGCAGUCUUCAAACAAAUUUACAUUUUAAAAACUCACUAAUUUCUUUAUUUUUUUUAGAUUAAUCUGUGGCAAAGGGUCUCUUGGUCUUUCCACUGACUAUACAUACUUAUAGCCUUACUGACAGAACAGGUCCUGUAAAUAAAGUAGGCAGACUUUCACCGUGUGAACAGUGUGUUACCGUUAUACAUAUAUUUGAACCACUAAAUGAGAAAGUAGCACUUCCUCAUAUAUCAUCAUUGGGUAAAAGGGUAGAGUUUUGGCAGCACAGAUUAAAAUUAAAAUAAAGAACAUGACAAUAUUUUGAAAGGUAAGUUUGCAAAAAUUGUUCAACAAUUUUAUGGAAAUAUGUUUAAAUCUUCAUAUAUUGGAUGUGAAUGUCUAACUCCUACAGUUUUUAUUAUUUUUAAAAUAGGAAAUAUUUUUUCAUUUUCCAAUCAUGCUUUAAUAUUUCUGGGUUUUUUCAACGUCUUGGCCAAAGGUGCUGGGACCACUGUGCUCUUCCCUCAGAGAUUCCAUGUACAACCACUACUGAUGCUCUGCCAGGAAAUGAUGUCUUAUGCACACUGCAGGGUGCACAAGGGAGCUGUGCAGGGACACCGCAGUUAGAAAAGACGCCAACUGCGCAUUUUAGUUAGUGGCUGCCGCACUGGAGCUCUAGGAGUGGAGGUUGGGGAGGGCAUACAGUAGGGCAACGAACAAUAGGGGAGUAUUCAGCUGACGUUUUCAGUCAGUGACCACAGUCCGGCCAGGCCCUGCUUAUCUCUACAGAGAUAACUGGAUUCUACUGCAGAAAACAAGAUGCCACCGGCAUUAAGCAUUGUGGCAUCAUAUGAAGUAGUUAUGGUUCAUAGGUCAUUUUAGGUUGAGGUCCGGUCGCUUGGCAGAUUAGCCCUAUCUCUAGGCAGUUCUGAGUAAUCAAGUACAAGUGUGUGUCUGAGGUAAUUAAGAAGUCGAUUGGCUGUCACCUGGUUAAGGGUUGAUAGUGUCAGGAAGUUGGUGAUAUAAUAAUAAAUUUAAAAAAAGAUGAUUGUAGAGAGACGGGAGUGAGCACCUGAAUCUUCCCGCGAUAUGAAACAGUUGUUGUAUCAGGUGGAGAUACAAGGACGUGACGACUGGCGAACACUUGUGAUUUGGUUAUUAACGCAGCUUUCAUCUAUGACUAUUCCGACCUCUGGAAUCCCUGACAAUGGCCCGGUUUACGUGUUCUCCCAAUUAUCUGCACUCUUUGACUUUGGCCUGUCCCUGUUUACUUUUACUUUCAUACGUUAAUCCUUGCCACACAAAGGACUAGUAUAGGUAGUAUAGUAUAGUAUAGUAUAGUAUAGAGUAGUAUAGGUAGUCUAGUAUAAUAUAGACUAGUAUAGGUAGUCUAGUAUAGUAUAGUAUAGUAUAGUAUAGACUAGUAUAGGUAGUCUAGUCUAGUAUAGUAUAGACUAGUAUAGGUAGUAUAGUAUAGUAUAGACUAGUAUAGGUAGUCUAGUAUAGUAUAGUAUGGCAUAGUAUAGACUAGUAUAGGUAGUAUAGUAUAGCAUAGUAUAGACUAGUAUAGGUAGUCUAGUAUAGUAUAGUAUAGCAUAGUAUAGACUAGUAUAGGUAGUAUAGUAUAGCAUAGUAUAGACUAGUAUAGGUAGUCUAGUAUAGUAUAGUAUAGCAUAGUAUAGACUAGUAUAGGUAGUAUAGUAUAGCAUAGUAUAGACUAGUAUAGGUAGUAUAGUAUAGCAUAGUAUAGACUAGUAUAGGUAGUCUAGUAUAGUAUAGCAUAGUAUAGACUAGUAUAGGUAGUAUAGUAUAGCAUAGUAUAGACUAGUAUAGGUAGUCUAGUAUAGUAUAGAGUAGUAUAGGAUAGUAUAGUAUAGAUCAUGGCAAUUUAAAUGCAGCACAGUAUGAGGGGGUGGGCUAGUUGGGGGUCGUGUUGUGUCAUCACCAAUGGAGGCCUUGUCCCCUCAAAGUGAGCAUGACAGUUUGGUGCCUCUUCAGGACCACACGUGUGUAGAGCCCUGUUGAAGAGCCUUUGCAAAGGGAUAAUGCCCUGUAUUCCCAAUCUGGCCCUUUCUACUUCCUUUAAACUAUAUGUUUGAGCAAGGCCUUUAUACCUUCUUGUUUACAUGUGAUGAAUGUCCUCUGCUACAGCUACUUUUACAUUUAGUUUACCUAUCAUACAGCGCUGCAGAAUAUGGUGCCACUUUUUAAGUAAAAAUGAUAAUAGCCUGUGUGAUGCUAUUAUCUUCUAUAAAAUGCAAGACUUUGUACCAUCUCAAUAGCUACAUCUCAAUAGUUAAUAAUAAGAGAACUAUAUAGAACCAAGGAAUUCUAAGUGACAUAUUGUGUCACACAAUAUGGUGACAUGCCAAUGUAAUGUAGUAAUGUACUAUAAUUAUUAUAUUUAUGUUUUGGUACAAUUACUAUAAUAACUUAUAAGUAAAGAUUUUUUGAAUUGCGGUGUGUGUUUGCAAUGUAUUAUUUUGUAUUUCUUAUGGUCUGAAAAGGUCUAGAAUGGGGAAAACUUGCCCCGCUUGGUAAUGUAACAUUUAGUUUCGAGUCGUUUAGCAACAAAUAAAUUUACUUAUAGUUUAAUUGUACUUGAUUUUGACUGUUUUAAUAAAAUAAUUUACCAAGAUCCGUAUAUUGGCUUCCCUGUUGAUUUGAUUGAUUCUAUUGUGUAUUAAUUUAUUACUUUAUUUCUCUUUUGUAUCUCUGUAGGAAGCAGAUUACGACACACUUAUCUUGAAGAAGACCU
rnacentral:lncRNA from 1 species